rnacentral:lncRNA from 1 species
UUUUUUUUUUUUUUUUUGGUGGUAGGGUGAAUGGAAUUGUAUGACAAAAAUAAGUGCAAUAACAGAAUUGGGACAAGCUAUCAAGGGAGCUGACGAAUUGAGUAAACUGUUUUACUCCAGAAAUAUCUAGGCAAUCCAGUAGGCUUCACAAUAUCCAAAAACCAUAAUUUAUUACAUGAUGGCAACAAAAAAAUUUCCUACAAGUGUAACAAUUUAAAUUCAAUAUCCAAAAAAGAUUAAAAUUUUUCUUUGGGCUGCUAUGAUGGGGGCUUUUCUUUGGUCCUUGCCUUUACUCAACAAUUACCUUCAGCUCCUCUCCAUUAUUUUGGUGGACCAUCCUUUUCAGGGCAAUAAAGAGGUCCUUUGGCUUGCUUUCAGCAGUGCUUUUGUCUAGAACCUAAAGAGUACUGGAAUGGUUCAGGGACGUUUUCUAGAGUAUUUUAUUUUACCCAUGAGUGUUUGGGUCAGGAGCUCACGCUUGCCUCCACUAAUCUCUAUUUAUAACUUCUUAGGUCUUAACCAAAGUCCUCCUUUAUAUUUACCACUAGAACAACCCAUCAUGAAAGAUCUUUCUAGAGUUUUGAUUUCUUCUUUGAACUUAUACUCUCCACUGCUUACAUAAUUUCAAUCCCCUAUUUAGGUGAAUGACAUAUUAUCAUGUAUAAUCAGCUAUAUUAAACAGUUUGUUUUUAGUGAUCCUUUUGUUAUAUUCUUGAGUUAUUCUGUAUUCCAAACUGUAUUGUAAAAGAGUAUUAUAAAUACUCUUAAAUACCAGCAGAUAAAUCAAUAAGAAAACAGUUCAGUUGCUAUCCAUUGGGUAUUAGUUUUCAUCACAUAUUAGCAUUGGUACGAAUCAUACGAUCAUAAUUUUAAAAAAGCAGCCUACAAUAUGACCAUAAACUUUAUCCAGCCGGAAAGUGGCAACGAAACAAUAAACAGAAAAUCAUAGCAAAUACAAUCAAGACUAUGUAACGAAAUUAAAUGAAGAAAUCAAUUAAGAAGGGGGGGAGAGAGAUCGGAGUAAUGGGAAGUGCGAGAAAAAUGAAAAGAUAUAAGAACAUAGAAGAAAGGAAGUAAGUAAGUUCGUUGGUACCUUCCCUUUGGAGGAAGCGAAAUCGAUUGCUGGAGGAGAAGGAAGAAUCCGCCUAUAAAAACCCGCCACCGCCAUUUUUCAAAAACUUGUAGAAAGUUUGAUGAUUAAAUCAAAUGAAUCAACGACGAGGACAAGUCGAUGAAUUAAAAAUUGAAUUGUCUCCUCCUUGUCCUCGCCGCUGACAGACCGAAGACUCCGUAGUUAUUUGUUAAAUUCGAACCAAAUCCAAAGCCCAUUUGUAUUCCACUCUAAAUUAAGAAUAAUUAACAAUUGUUCUUCUCUUUUUUCCAAGUCAAAAAAGGGAAUAAGUAAAACAAAACUUUUGGUUACCAAUUAGCAUUCAAAAAAGUCAUUGAUAAAAGCACAAUAUGGAUCAGAAUCGAUUCAACUAAAUUUGUGAUUAAUUUACUAAUAAAAUCUUAUUAUAACUUUUUUUUAUUAGAUUUAUGUAUAAUUAUAAAUCUCACCUAAGUAAAUACCAUAGAUUCAUCAUUUUUAUAUCAUAUGGCUACAACAAUAAUAUCUAUAAUGACAAUAGGGUAAAGACGGAAAAUCUUAUAUAACUUUUAAACGCAACGAAAUUGAGUAUCUUUUUCUCGACGAGAUUGAGUGUUUUGAUUACAAAUUUAGAGUCACACGCCAAUUAAAAUCACAAUAAACAAAAACAAUCAAAUAAAGACCACUUUUCAAUUUACUAUUGAUUUAUUACAAUUACGAAACCUAGUAAGCUCAACAUUUCACUUAAUUAUCUAAUUAUAAUUGGUUAAGUAACAUUUUUUAAAACACUUUUUCUUAAUGAAUAACUUUGAAUACUUUUUAACCACGUUGGUUUAGUGGUUCCAUCGUAGUAAUUCAAUAUCAACAACUUUACAUGUUUUAGUUAAGAACACAACGAUCAUCUCUAUUGUUAUUUCUAUUUCUAUAGAUGAUAUAUAGAGAUACGAAUGAAUGAGAUAAUGUAAAACAAACGACUAAAACAGUUAGUUUAAGUCAAUAUAAACUAUAUUAUAGACGUGUAUACUGACAUGACAUAUUAAAAAGGGUAAAAAAAAAGGAAUAAACACGUGAAAGGAAAGAACAUUUUCAAAUAUAUCAUAAUAAAAGAAUAUUUACAUAAUAUAGUAAAAUUUCUUAUUGAAUUCAUUGAUAAUGAAAUUUUACCAUAUUUUGUAAAUUUUUUUUUUUGGCACAUUUACCGUAAGGUUUCUAAAUAAAAAUGAUGAACGUAAGAAAAUAACAACAAUUUUUUUUUUUAUAAGAAAUAAAAAAGGGAAAGGACUCCAAAUUUAAGGGGUCUGACAUAGAUCGCUGUCUUUGGAUAAAGAAAUGGAGCCGGUAGCGGUGGUGGAGCCAGGGUCGGAAUGAGGGGACUUGUAAGUUUCUGGAGCCAGGUGGGGUUUGGUUCGGGUUGUUUUCUUGCGACGGGUUUGUCUUGGGACGUCCGGUAGGCUUAAGGUGGGGGAGUGGUUGUUGUUGUUGUUGUCCGACGACGAUGGUUCCUUGGACUUUGAAGAUCGUCUUGUUUUUUGUCUUUCCGAUGACCUUUCUCUGCAUGUGGGAGACUCCGUUGAGGAGGAGGUGGUGGAGGAAGAAGAAGGGUGUUUUGAUGUUUUUGUUACGUCCGCCGUUAAAUUUUUUGCUGAUGAACUUGAACCCUUCGCUACUCUUCUGCUAGGACGAUCUACACACACAAACUCAUAAGGUGUCAAUUUCAAGAAUUUUUUUACGUGCAAUGCAAAUUUUCAAUUUUGAAAAAAAUUAAACCAACGUGCGACGAACAAUAUGUGUUUUUGGUUUUAAAAAAUAAAAUUGUGUCAAAAGACUUAUUAAACAAAAUUUAAAUAAAGUUGAUGAGGAGUCAGACAAGUAAGUAAGCAAACCUUCUGAUACCCAUUUAACAGAAACAUCCUCUUUGUUGUCUCCAGAGGCAUGCAGACUCAACGGAGCAGAUGAAAACGAUGGUGGCGCUUUAAAUUCAUUCAUCUACAAAAUUAGUGACCCGUUUUAUAUGACAAACAAUACAAUAUAAGAUUGAGAACAAAUUUUGAUUAUAUAUGCAUAUGGUUAAAAACUAAAUCAAUAUUGAUUUUCGAAAUCUUACCCAGCUUGGAGAAUUGACAGAAGGACCAUCCCAACCAAUAUGAGCAACAUGUUUAACAUCUGUUGGAUGCCCAAUUUUCAUCUCAGCUUCUUUCUCAUUGUCUGUAUAAACCCAAAAUCAUCCCAAAUAAUUAAAACUUAAAAAAAUCAUACUAAUUAAUACUCACAAAACGUAAAAAUAAAUAAAUAAAUAAAUCCACUUGCCAAAUAUUUGAGAUAUGUAUCUUAGGCCCUUUAGAAGCCCCUUGACUCUGCUGUUUGACAUUUACAACAAUCUGUUUGUAAAAUCUUGCAACUUCUCCAAAUCCCAGAAUUAAUCAGUCAAAUCUUCCACUUUAAUGCUAAACAAUCAAAUAAUAAAAAAAAGAACCCAUUAAGUUAAUCCAACAUAUAAUUAAGAAAACACAAUUGAAGAUUUUCUUUAGUUUCACCUCAAAUAAUUACAAGAAAGAAGGUGUGAAGGUGAUCAGAGGUAGAUUAAGGCAUAAUCCUGACAUGUUCUUCUUGAUGCUGUUCUUUAAUUUUGUUGGCAAUUGAAUAUUUAGGAGAAGGUAAGGAAGAAGGGAAAAAAAAGGGGAAUGGAUUAUUGACAAAUUAAACAAUUUCUGUUCCAGAGAAGUUUAUCAAUAAUUUGAGCUGCAUUAUUCCAAAUUAUUAUUUGUUUGUUUGUUUGUUUUUCUUUUCUUAAAAAAUAAAGAAAAUGUUUAGGAAAUCUUUAACCUUUUAACUUCUAAAAUUAGGGUUUUAGCUUUUACAGCUCUUUUUCACUUUGAAUUACAGCCUGUGUGUGUUUAAUUUAAUUUACAUCCAACUCUCUUUGACUCAUCCUGAUUGAUCAAACUUUCUUAUGUGCCCAAAAUUAAUUUACUAAUUAUUUUAUUUCUUUUUAGUGAUUUGUCAAUCACACUUGGAUCCAAUAUUUUUGGAAAUUUAAAUUUAGGUAAUUAUUGUAAUGUUAUAUAUUUGAUAAUGGUCGAUAUUUAGGUGUAUCACGAGUUGUCUUGACGUGUAGUCCACAUAGAAAAUAACUAAGCUAUAGUUAUCGACUAAUUACCGUAUUAUGUUCGUUAAUGGUGGGAUCGUUUUUGUAGCUAAUUAUAAAGUUAAAGCAUAAAGAAGUUAUAAAAAAAUAUGAGAAAUUGUUAGGUAAUUAGUAAGGUUUAUAUCCUUUUAAGAAUUAUUCCAAUUAAUAAUGAAAAUGAUUGAAGAUAUUCUUUUUAUUAACUAAUAAUAUUAUGGUCCUUUUCAAAUAUAAUAAAACUGAUUAUGACUGAUGGAAUCCAAAUUUUGUUAUAUUUUUUAAAAAUGUUUUCAACAAAUUUAAUAUUUACAAUAAUUUUUAGAUUUUUAAAAAAUAUAACAAAACGACAAAAUAUUUAUUUAACAAUUUAGAAAAUGGAAAAAGUUCACAGCUCAUAAUGAAAAAUACAAAAAAAAUGUCCCUGAUUAAUUGACAUCUAGCAUGGAUAUUGUAUUUGAUAAAUGGUCCUUUAACAUUUCGCUAUUCUUUCAUAUACAAUCGUUUAGAUUUGGAUUUUCAUAAGUUCUUUGGUAUGAGAACAAUUUUUUUCAAGAUUUUUUGGUACAAACAUUUAAAUUUGAUAUAAAUUUGGAUAGUCAAAUCUCAACCAUUCUUUUAUUAUAUUUUAUAUUUUAAAAAUAAAAGAAAAAUUGUAGAAGAAGAGAAAAAGACGAUGGAAAGAAGGACGAACAUAAAUAUUUAAAAUAAAUUGUAGAGAAAGAAGAGAAAAAUGAAGUAGAAAGAAAAAAAAGCGAACGAGAGAAAGAGAGGAAAAACUAUGAAAACUAAUGACAAACCUAAAAUAUUUUUUAAAAAAUGAUCCGGUUUUUUCAUUUUAUGAUGUGAGCCAUAAAUAUUUGGACGAUUUAUUAUAUUUAUUAAAAUUAACCCUAACUUUUAAUAAUAUUAUUUGAUUAGAAAUUCUAAAUUCUUGGAAUAAAAUCCUAAAUUACAAAACCACCAAUCAAUUAGGAAUUAAACAUAUGUUAAAGAGACAAUAAUACAUUAGUUCACCCAAUAUAUAUUAUUAAAAACUAUAAUUUAUGUUUAAACAAUGUUAAACUAUGUCUUUAUCACCAACCCAAAUUAAUAAUCAAUACAAUUAGUCAUACAAAUAAUUAUCACUUAAAAAAUUGAUUACAACCUUUGUUUUCAUUCUAAUAAUCAAAUGUGUAGGAUCGAUGCAACUUCCUUCAUUCUCUUUGUAUUUUCUCAAAUUUUGAGGUCAACUCAACCUAACCCUCCAUUGUACCUUCCAUCAUAUCUUCUUCUAAUCCCUUCUCUAAAAAUCCUAUUAAUUCUUCCUAAAUUUCAGUCCAUGGCUACAUAUUGUUAGAUCACAAUCAUCAAAAUCAGUUUGUUUGUUUUUUUUUUUUUAAUAAUUAGAAGCAGUUGAUUAACUGUUAAUCUCUCAAACAUGGAGAUUAAAGCUUGGUUAAGAAGGAAGAGAUCAAGAUGAUGAUGGGAGGGUUAUUCUAUAUUUGGGGUUUAACCAUUGCUCAGCUGCUGCUUAUUCUCAUCAUUCUCAUUAUUCAUCCAAUUACAGCACAAGAGGGUUAGUAUAUAGUGUGUAUUAAUAUUGUUUUGGUUUUAAUUGAUGUGUUCAUGAUCAUAAUUUUAGGUGGAAAUAAUAUAUAUACAAUGAUUAAUUUUUCUUAUUAUGAGAUUAUUAAAUUAACCCUUUAAUCCUACAUCCUUAAUUAUAGUGAUUUUUGUGUUACUUUUGGAGGCUUGAAGGAGAUUUACAUAAUAUAAUAUGGGUCGAUUUUGUUUGAUGUAGGUGUGUGUUUAUAUAUAACAUGAAGUUUUAUCUUAAAAUUAAUCGGUAAUGAGAGAAGUAAUUAACUUAUCUUCGGUUAGAUCUAAAUUAAUAAAAUGAUUUCAUCCUCUCCUUGUACAUAAAUUAAUAGGAUACUAAGAUAAGUUUAGAAUUUAAUCUAGGUUCAUAAUUAGAAUUUAAUUCCUAUGGCUGUGUGUGUCUAUAUAUAUAUGUAAAAUUCUCGUAAGGAUUAUAACUGAGACGAUUUAUUUAUGAAGUUUUUUAUCAAACCAACUAUUUUUUAGUAUAAUUUUUUAGAAAAAUACUUGGAAGCAUCUUGAGUUGUAUUCAUUGUUCUGUUCCGCGUCCUAUCUAAGUGUCCUAAUUCACAAACUAUAUCACUUGACCAAUAUUUUCUUUUUUUGAAAAGAAUAUUUUUUAAAUAAAAAAGAAUACAAAAAGAUAGGUGUAACCUUGGUUAUAUCCAAGUAUUGCUCUAAUUUUCUUAUUAGGCUAACUAAAUCAACCAAAUUAAUAUGAAUGACAGAGUGACGAAUUGAAAUGUAUUAUGGGGUUUUUGCAAAAUAGCAAAAAAAAAAUUAUGAUAAUAGAGCUUAUGUCACAACAUUUUACAAAUUUGCAUAAGUAAUAAAUUUAAAAGUGAUAAUCAUUUGAUAGUCCUAUGAUUACCAUCUGAUAGUCAUAUGAUUACCGUUUGAUAGUUCCUUGAUAACUUAUAAUUAUUGUCUGAUAGUCGUCUGAUAUCGAUAGUUUUUCCAUAUUCACAAUAUGAAAAAAAAUAGUGUCAUGAACUAUUUUUUAAAAAUGUUUUGGUCAUUUGAUGCAAUUUCUCAUUAUUAUUUCUUUUAAAAAUUAGAGGUUCAAAUAAUGUUGAUACUCGAUUGACUAAAACAAUGCAGGUUUCGUGAGCUUAGCUUGUUGUGCAGAAACAAACUUCAUAGACAAGAACACAAGCAUUGAGUGGACACAAGAUUCCCAAUGGUUGUUCCCAAAUUCCUCAUCAACUUGUGCAAACAUAAACAACGAUAAUAACAUUAACAAUAAUGAGAAAUCUAGAAUAUUUGGUAGUACUCUCUUGGGGUGGAAGAGAUAUUGCUAUCAUUUCGACACCAUAAAAGGGGAAGAAUAUUUGAUAAGGGGUACAUUUUUGGUGAACGAGUCAACCAAUAGCAAUCGACGUUAUUCAUCGUCUUUAUUUGGUGUUUACAUUGGGAAUACGCUUUUGAGUCGAGUAAAAACGUUUCAAGACUCGAUAGUGAUUGAAGCAAGUUUCAAAGCCGAGAGAAAAUACAUAGAUUUUUGCUUGGAGAAGGAUGAUGAGGGAGAUGAAGCUUAUAUAUCAUAUCUUGAAAUUCGACCACUUCAGAAUUUUAAUUAUCUCUCCAGGUUUCCAUCUCGUGUUUUCAAAUUGAUUGCUAGACUCAAUGUAGGAGAAUCUACAUUGGAUAUCAGGUAUUUUUUUUUUUUUUACUAUGUUUAUCAUGUUUAUCGUUCAUUAUAUCUUUGUGAACUCUAAAAUAUUAAAAAAGUCGAAAAAAUCAUCAUGUAAGAAAUUGUGAUUAUACACCAAUAGGGUAAGCUAGCUACGAAAAAAUGGACUAACCCAAAAAUAAACUCAAGUGUUUUUUAUGCUUACGUCCGUCACCACUUCAUUGUUGCGUUCAUCAUAAAAUGGUUGAGAUGACUUCAAUAUUAUGAUGUUCUACUACACAACCAAAUAUUAGUUUCUAUCUAUUCUUUAGAAAUUGAGCUAUCUGUACAAAAACCUCUCCCACUUUAGUUGGUUUCAUUGGGCAAAAUUUUGUGUUUUGUAUAGGAAAAUUGUAAACAUAAGAAUUUAAUGUAAAAGAAUUUGGAACCAUCACAAUUAAUUUUUAGUUAUUUACUUUGAUUUUUUUUGCAAAUUUCAGGUACCCAAAUGACCCGAUCGAUAGAAUUUGGAAAGCUUCGCCAUCUUUCCUAAAUGGAAGUCGUUUCUUGUUAGACUCAAAUAUCAACAUCUCAUCCAAGUUCAACUCCAAUGCUUCGCUUGGCGUUCCAUUGGAAGUCCUCCGAACUGCUGUUACACAUUCCGACCAGCUGGUUUUCCUCCACGAUGAGCUUGACACAGCAACUUAUGAGUAUCGUAUCUUCUUUCACUUUGUUGAGCUCAACCAGACUGUUGAAUCUGGCCAAAGAUUGUUUGACAUUUUCAUUAAUAAUGACAAGAAAGCAACAAAUUUUGACAUUCUAGCUCAUGGGUCCAACUACAAAUGGGAAUUUUAUGAUGUUUUGGCUAAUGGGUCACUUAACUUGACCUUGGUCAAGGCUUCAGUUGGGUCUGAGUUAGGACCCAUUUGUAGUGCUUAUGAGAUCAUGCAGGUACGCCCCUGGAAUCAGGAGUCUGAUGAGAAUGAUGGUAAGAUUGCGUUUGUUGGGCUUUGGAAGCAAAUGUUUUCGAGUUUUGUUUUUAGAAUCUUGUUACUAAUUGGGCAGUUUUUUUCUCACUUCAUCCAUUUCCUCUGCUUCCCAGUUGAUGUGAUUUUGAAGGUGAGAGAUGAGUUGUUGGUUGCUAACCAACAGAACGAAGUAUUGGGUAGUUGGUCAGGGGAUCCUUGCCUUUCGAUUCCAUGGGGCGGUCUGGCUUGUGACUCCAUCAAUGGAUCUUCAGUUAUCACCAAACUGUUAGUGGUUUCAUUCUAUUGUUCAUAAGUUGUCUUGUGCUUACUUCAACUAUGUUGUUAAUUCACAUGAAAUUGUACAAAACAGGUGGAAAUUUUUGUAUGUUGGCAGGUUUUGAACUUAGACUCUCUUACCAUACAUGUUUCAUAAUUAACAUUACAUACGUUUGAGCUAUUAUGUUUGGUUCGUUCGACCAUCUAAGUUUCUUCUUGAUAAUUCUUCCUAGUUAAUGAGAUGCUGGUGGCUAUUUCCAGUGAUUGAACUCAGAAUCUCUUACUAUACAUGUUGAAUAGUUAAAAUUACAACUUUUGAGGUGUUAAGUGUGGUUCACUCAAUCAUAUAAAUUGUUUCAUAAUAAUUCUCCCUAGUUAACGAGUUGCUGGUGACUGUUUCCAGUGAUUGAUUGUUUUAGUGUGGGGCUUUAUUCUGUUGGUUUGUGCAAAUUUCCAGGGACCUCUCUGAGCAUAAGUUCAAAGGAUUGUUUCCUGUCAGUUUACCUAAGCUGGCCCAUUUACAAACUCUGUAUGGUUCCCUCACAUUCUCUUGUCUUUUGGUCAUUAAUAUUAGGGUGAGUAAACGAAGUUUAAUUUCAAAAUGAUUCUUUUUGUGGUAUGCAGGGAUCUCAACAACAAUGACUUCACCGGGAACAUCCCAUCAUUUCCCACUUCUUCAGUGUUGAUAUCAGUGUAAUAAGAUGAUGUUUCUUUGUUUGAUUUCAAACUGUCCUUUAACUCCCUCGAUAUAGAUUUAUGUUUUCCCAUGAAGAAAUUAUCUGGCAUAUAAUCUCUUUGAAUAUAGAGUAUAUCAAAAUCUAUAGGCAUUACAAAAUUUCCCUUAAUUGGUUUCAUUUAUUUUUUGCCCCUUAUUUUCUCCCUAAAUUCUAGUCAGGGUUUACAAGUUAAAAAACCAAAGUAUGCAUCAGGAGCUAAGAGGAAUUUUAAUUUGAUUCAUAUCCAGGGAUCUGAGGCACAAUGAUUUUAGGGGAGAACUCCCUGAAUCUCUUGCUUUGUUGCCACAUUUGAUAACCUUGUAAGUUAUUUCAGGAUAUUAUGCAAUCCUUUGGUAUCUAAAACUUGUAUGAUCUAAACUUUUGCAGACUACAACCAUUGCUUAACUAAAUCAUGAACAUUGUUUUGAAUCUGCCUCCUUUAUCAGUAUUCUGAUUUAUAUGCAGAAACUUUGGCUGCAAUCCUUACUUUGGCAAGGAGCUUCCACCCGACUUCAACAUGUCAAGACUUACUACAGAGUAAGAGUCCUUCCAUUCACACUUUUAUUGGUCAUAAACCAUUUGAAUUGAAAUUUAUGCUAGAUGGUUCAACCGAAGCUAAAAAUUCUACCUCAUUGCAGCUAUGGAACAUGUGAUAAUUUAGAUUCAACAUUUCCGAAAAAAGGAAUUGUCAUAGGGACGGUUGCAACUGGAGCAGUUCUAUUUACCAUUAUUUUUGGUGUCAUUUAUGUAUACUGUUGCAGACAGAAAUUUGUGUUUAGGGGAAGAUAUGACUUGAAAAGAGAACUUGUGAUGAAAGGUGUGGUACUUUCUGAUGACUCUCGUAUUCUAAGAUUCCCACAGAGAAAAAGUUAAUUUUUUUUUUUAAAAAUGUUUAAAGAAAAUUAUUUAACAAUUUUCAAAUUUAUGAUCUGAUUAGGUAGAGUUUCUACCAUGAUACUACCAAGAAAUGACAUUUAUAUUUACUUGGAAUACAUGUUGUUAUAGAAUCACAUUACGUUUUCUUUAUAAAUAUCUGUAUUCAAUGAAUUCAGGAUUGUGAUGAACAACUUACAAAACUCAUCAAACUUUAAAAUUUGAAUAAUUUGGCAUCAUCCCGAUCCUCCCCUCCUCCACAAAAAAAAAAAAAAAAAAAAAAAAGGAAUAAAACAGGCUAUGAUCUUGACCAUGUCGUAUAUUUUCUUUUAUGAUGCAAAGUUCCUUAAGAAAGAUUUCAUGAAUUAAAAACAGAGUUAUACCCAAAGAUCAUUAGAGUCUGUCCAUUAUACUAUAUUUUAAGGAAGUGUUUCACCAUAAUUCAUCUACCAUUUUCUUUUAAAUAUUAAUUAUCAAGGAAAUAUUCAUAUGUGUAUUGUUUUUGUGAAAUAUACUAGUUACUAAGUGCGAAUUACUUGAAAUGCAGAUAUAAUCAUUUCUCUACCCAGCACAGACGAUGCCUUUAUAAAAUCAAUAUGCAUACAAUCAUUUUCUCUCAAGUCUAUUGAAGCUGCUACACAACAAUACAAAACCUUAAUAGGUGAAGGAGGGUUUGGAUCUGUUUAUCGUGGUACUUUGUCUGACGGUGAGGAAGUGGCUGUGAAGGUCCGUUCUGCAACAUCUACUCAGGGAACACGAGAAUUUGAAAAUGAGGUCCGUAUUAGAAUCCUGAUUUCUUUACUAUUAUUUAUUUUUUCUGAUUCUCAUUGAAAAACAUCAUUCUUUUCUUUAUUUAUAUUUACCUGUAUUUUUAACAUUCAUUCAUAUGGUUGGAUAAAGUUAUUGGACACAAUUUAGCUCGUAUGUUUCUAUAAAAAAAUAUUAUUACUUUAUGUCGUAGAUAGCUUUUAGAAAGCUGUCAAUUAUAGAUGUCUUCUUACACCACCUGAAUUUGCCCAUUUCUGAAUUACAGCUAAACCUGCUUUCAACUAUUAGGCACGAGAACCUGGUACCUCUUCUUGGCUAUUGCUGUGAAAAUGACCAACAAAUGCUUGUCUACCCUUUUAUGUCAAAUGGAUCACUGCAAGAUCGUCUUUAUGGUAACUUCUAACUUGCAUGUUAGAUCAUUUCCGCCAUCACCAUAUCCUCUUUCUUAUAUGAUAUUAUAACCAAAAUUACCAGGUGAGCUGGCGAAGAGGAAGACACUGGACUGGGCCACUAGACUUUCAAUUGCACUUGGUGCUGCCAGAGGCAAGUUAUAUUGUAUUUGUUGUCAUUUAAUUUCUGACGCAGGGAAAAUGGGGUUAGUUAAAGCUGGUUAGAGAAGAGAGAAUGUACGGUGUUAUGUUCAGCAAUGUAAUCACGGAAAUAUUUUUCUUUUCUUCUUCUUCUUUUAUUUUGUUCUAUUUAUUUAUUUUUUGUGGUGGUGUUGGUGGUGGUUGGGGGGGAUUGGGCACUGUCAGAAUGGUAAUAUCAAGAGAUUAGUUGUUUGGAACAGAGGACUUGGCUGUCGCACAUUUGAGAUGAUCAGAUGAUCUUCCUGAUGGCUAAAAAAGGAAGUUGGCUAGAAAUAGCUUAAAGUAAUCCUACUAAAUGAAUUGUGUGACAAAUAAUGGUCAUUGUAGGAUUGUUACCUUUUCAUAGUUUUGGGAAUACCUUAGGCAAUUGGAGUUUGAAAUCAAAACUAUUUUCUCUGCCUCAUUUCAUCUUUAAUUGGGGUUUUUGAUGUAGAAUAUUGUCACCCUUCUAAAAACGAGAGAACUCUUGAGUUAGAAACCAUAUUGAGACCUUAUAUUUUAGCAGCUAACAAAAUGGAUGACAGGGAAUUUCAUGGGAUUCUUUCUCUUUAUUUUUCCAGGUUUGACGUAUCUUCACACAUUUGCUGGCAGAUGUGUUAUACAUAGAGAUGUAAAAUCAAGCAAUAUACUUAUGGACCAUAGCAUGUCUGCCAAGGUUGCAGAUUUUGGGUUUUCAAAAUAUGCACCUCAAGAGGGUGACAGUGGUGCUUCCCUGGAAGUCAGAGGAACUGCUGGGUAUUUAGAUCCUGAGUAAGUUUUUUGUUCCACUUUGCUCUUUGUUCAAAUGUUAAUCACUCCAGAAAAAUGAAAAAUGGUUGAACGUUUACUUUUUUUGUCAAUUUGUGAUUCAAAUUUUUUGUUCAGGUAUUAUACGACCCAUCAUUUGUCUGCUAAAAGUGACGUGUUCAGCUUUGGUGUGGUUCUCCUUGAAAUCAUAUGUGGUCGUGAGCCUCUGAACAUUCAUAAACCUCGCAAUGAAUGGAGCUUGGUUGAAUGGGUAUGAUUCAAUUCUAUGAUAUAUUUAUGAACUUUGAGCUUGAAGUGUUUCUUAGUAUUUGAAAAAUCAUUCCAAAUAGAUCGUUCAAGCUUACGAGUGGCUUUGGAAAUGCAGGCCAAAACUAAUAUAAGGGAGUCAAAGAUUGAGGAGAUAGUGGAUCCUUCCAUCAAAGGAGGCUACCAUGCAGAGGCAAUGUGGAGAGUUGUGGAGGUGGCAUUGGCAUGUAUUGAGCCUUACUCGGCCUAUCGACCUUGCAUGGCUGAUAUUGUGCGUGAGCUAGAGGAUUCCUUAAUCAUAGAGAACAAUGCUUCAGAAUACAUGAGGUCCAUAGAUAGUUUUGGAGGUUCCAAUCGUUUUUCGAUGGUUGUGGACAGAAAGGUAGUAGUUCAACCACCCACUCCAACUCCAACAGAGCCAUCGCCAGUCUCUCACGAAUUGACCCCACCCGAGCCCAGGUAGCCUCUGAUGAAACUAGAUAACUAGGUAUUGCUAGGCUAGUCUAGUUAACAGAUAGUGAGGAUUCAGGGACACCAUUUGAGGAAUGCUGAAAAAGUAUGUUAGCACUUUCACGAGAGUAUAGUUGUUAGAAUAUAUGUGCGAGAUGCAUGAAACAUGAUGCAUUCUUUGGUACAUUUGUUUAGUACAUUUCUAGUCAAGCUUAUUUUAUUAAGGUGCACAAAUGGUAUGUAGACGUAUUACUUAUUUACUUUGGCCUUUUCCAAGCAUCCGUUGUGAUAUAUAACAGGAUCAUUCCAUCCUUUGUAACUGUAAAUGCUAAGGGUAACCUGAAUAGAAGGUGAUAGUAUAACAAUAUGAUAAAGAUAUUUACAACAACCUUGCAUGAACAUGAUCUAUUAGAUGGGUUGUUCAACAUGAUCAACUUGGUACCUUUUUUUUGUCAUUUUUUUAACACCGCCUGUAAGACUAGCAGCGAGGCGAGUUUGGCAAUUUUUCAUCCUCUUUUGUGGGUAUGGUUGGGAUCGUCUUUUCUAUCUUUGAUUUGAUCUUUUUGGUCACAUAGUAUCUGAUUUGUGGUUUGGUGAGGGAAAAGCAUCGUGAGAAUAGUAAGAUUUUAAAUAUGUAUUUGUGUCUAUUUUUUGAGGUUAUGGCUGACAAUUAAGCAAUACUAGUGUCCCAAAUGAUUCCAAUGGUGUCGAAAGUGAUUGGAAUACAAGUUGAAUGAAUCUAACUCUUAUGCAUGGCGAUCAAACGUUCAUCGUUUAUUAGGAGUAUUGAGAUGAUGAUCACAUUACUAAAGAAUCAUCAAUCGAUACUACCAAAAAGGCUUGGUUGCAGAACGAUUCAAUAAUGCUACAUAUUAAGAAUUUGCUUAGGCGUAAGAUUGGUUGGUUAGUGACUUUUCUCAAUGGAAAAAAGGAACAAACAAUAAAUAUUGAUUAGUUCUUAAAAACUUAUUUUUAAUUCUAGAAUUUGGCUAUUAAUUCAUAUGUUACUUUGAAAAAGGAUACAGAACAAAGGAACUAAAGGAAGAUGAACUCCUCUUGCAUAGAAUUAUUAUUUGAUUGCAUUUCAAAAAGUUUCAAAGCAGCUUGGUUGCAAUUUCUCUUGCUUUACAUAGUGCUUCAAGUGGUUGAGCUUUAGGCAUACUAACCCCUUUUCCUUCAUUCAUAUCUACUUCCUUACCAUCAAUACUCUUCCAAUCAAAACAUUGAAUCAACGUUCCAAGCAUCAAACCCAUCACUCUAUUUGCCAUUCCAGUUCCUGGACAAGCUCUCCUUCCCAAACCAAAUGCUAUCAUUAACUUAUUAUUUCCAUCACCUUCCCCGUUAUUAUUCUCAAACCUCUCUGGUUUAAAACUUGUUGGAUCUUCCCACAAUACAGGGUCUCUAUGGAUAGCCCACGCGUUUACUAGUAACAUUGUGUCACGUGGUAUGUCGUAUCCUGAUAUUCUACAAUCAGCUGAAGACUUAUGUGGCAGUAGGAGAGGGCCAGCUGGGUAUAACCGAAGAGUUUCUAGGAUUAUAUAUCGUAGGUAGUUUAAUUUUGAAAGAUCAGUUUCUUCAAUCAAUUUAUCUCCACCAAGUUGAGAUUCUAUUUCAGCUCUUGCCUUCUUCAACACUGAUGGAUGGUUUAGUAGAUUUGACAUUGCCCACUCUAUUGUCACUGCAGUCGUGUCUGAGCCACCAAGUAUCAUUGUCUGUGAGAUGAAACGUUAGUUAGAUAAAAAAGCGUGACAUAUUUUUCUACAAAAGGUAUUUUUAAGCAAGUUUGAAUGUUAUUUAGUAUAUAAGGAACCCAACUUGACCCAAUUCUGAAGAAGUGUUCUUCCUUUUUUUUCUUUUUAAAAAUUGAAUAUUAUUUAAUAUUUAAUGGACCCCACCUCAGUCGGGUUGAAUCAAGUUGGGUCUUGUCCGUACACAAUCGACAACAGGUUGGGUUGGACUGGGUCUUCUUUUACACUCGUAAUUUCUAUAAUAAAAUCUAGGCUAUAUUCAUCUUUGUACAUCCUACUACUCAGUUGGCUAAUCAUAUUUGUCUAACAAAAUUAAGUCAUUUUUUUAAAAAAAAACUUUGAAAAACAAAAUUCACAAGUGAAAAAGAAAAAAGAAGAGAGAUGAGAAGAACUAACCAAAAUCAAGCCUUUGAUAAUAUCAUCUGUGUAAUAGUCAGGCUGAGUCUCUUGCAACUUAAGAAAAUGAGCAACCAUACAAUUCUUCAUUUCUUCAUUACUAAUUUCACCUCUUCUAUGUUCAUCAAUCAAUCCUUGCCAAAAUGCAUCAACCCUUGUGAUAAGCUUCUUUGCCCUCUUCAUAAAACCUUGAAUAUCAAUAUACUUCAAGAUUGGCAAGAAGUCAGCUGGAUAUGAAGACAAAGUAAAUUCAAAAAGCUCAUGAACAAUAGCUUGAAAUGUUCUUGCUUCACUACUUUUAGCUGCUUCUUCACCAAAAUAUCUCUUCCCUGCCACCAUUCUCAUUGUUACAUUCAUCGUCAAUUCCUUCACCAAUGGUUUAAACUCCACUUUCCCAAAACCAUCUCUUGAAACUUCAUAGAUCUUCUUCAUUGCCCUUCUCACUUCAUCUCUCCUAAUCUCAUAAUUCGCAUUGAGACGACUUGAACACAGUAUUUCCAGUGUGCUCACACGUCGAAGUUUACGCCAGUGAUCACCAUAUGGAGCCGCACCAAGAGUGGUUUCAUUGUAACUCAAGCAAUGGCUCACGGCGAAGUUGGGACGGUUUGCGAAAAUGAUAUCGUUUUUUAUGAAGCAUUCUUCGGCUGCUUCCAGUGAUGUAACGACGACAACCGAACGAGAACCGAAUCGAAGUGAAAGUACUGGACCAUACUUUUGUGAGAGAGUUUGUAGAGUUCUAUGAACUGGAAGCUUAAGGAGAUGGAGGUGACCAAUGAUUGGAAUAGAGGGUGGACUUGGAGGUAGAUUUUUGUUGGAAUUGAAUUUCAACAAAUACUUUAUGAUUGCCAAAACAACUACAGCAAUACUCAGAAUUGAAAAGGCUGAAUAUUGUAAGAUAGAGUCUUCCAUUAUUUCCCACAUACUGCUCGGCUCCUUUACUAAGCUGCAUGGUUGAUUCACACACACACACAUAUAUAUAUAAGGUAUGGUUGUUAAAUAUAUACUAAUUAGACCAGAUAUAGUAUAAUAAUGAUUUAUUAAUAAUAGAAUUAGUUUAGUUUGUUUCAAUAUACAAUCAAAAGUAUAUUAGAGAACACAAAAUAAUGUAUAUAGGAAACAAAAAAGAAUUCGAAUCAAGAGACGUCAUUUUGAACAGGCAUGACCAACUUUAUUCACACCUCGAUCAAUCUCACAUAACAACCUGUUUGACUUUACAACAUUUAGGUGUAAAAAAACUAGUAAAAGAAAUUAAUUUUUAAGUAGUUGAUCACCGUAGAUUGAAUGUAUGACGACCCUUUAAGUUAAUUAUUGAGACUAUAUCUCAUUUUUUACUAUUAAACACCAUUAAACGUUGGCAAGACUACGAGUAUAAUCAACUCUAUGUUUAUCAAAGUUUGUUUUGGUAAGAUUCACGUGGUAUGUUACUGAUCUAAAUCAGUAAUAAUGUACUGUUUGUGUCUUAGGAAUAAUAAUGUGUUUGUCUCAUUGUGGAGAUGGGGAGAAGUGAUUUGGCGUGUAUCACGUGUAGUGAAUAACGAUCAUAUAAUGAACAUAUACAAGAAGAAAUCAAAAUGGAAACAUAUAUAAACAAUUUACCUGAUCACUCUAUUAAUUAUACGUUUUUAAUAUAACCGAAGAAUAUUUUUUGAAAAACUACGUAAGUGUCAACAUUAAUGAGCUAAUUAUUGUCACCUAUGUGGCUAGCUUCUAAUAAUUAAUAAGUACUGCUUCUGCUACAAACAGUAGACGAGUGUUUUGUCUAAACUAAGUUACUAAUAAUUAUUAAGAAAUCUGGGAAAGCGAGUAGUUUGGGCGUGUAUCACGUGGGAUAUCGAUGGAUCAUACAAACAGAUAUCACAAUCACAAUAUAUUAUAUGCUUUGAUAUAUAUAUAAUAUGAGCAUGAUAUUGCUGCUACUCCAUUCAUCUUAAACCACAUUAACACUAACACGUGAAUCAUGUUAAACCAGGGGGAUAUGAAUUCUUUCAAAACCAUUCCCACCAUGCUUUUAACUGUUCAAAAUCAAUUUUUGUAGAUGGAGAUUGGAUCUAAAGAUGUGAAAUUAAAUAUUUACGAGAGAUAAAAAUGAUUUUAACCAUUUCAAACUUAACAACAAACUGUAUUCCUGUGUGGACGUUGUCAAGGAGUAUCAUUGCUCCUAUGAUGUACUCUACAAUCUCUCUCUUUCACAUUAUAAAAAUGAAAGGAAAGGGGUGAAAGAGAUCAUAAGUUGUAGUGAAAGCAAAAAGGAAGAAUGGAUGAUAAUGGUUUGGUAAUAGCUCUCAUUGCCCUUUCCAUUUGUGCAAUCUUUCACAUACUUUUGAACUAUAUUUCCCAUCGCAGGCAGCAAAAACUUCCUCCUGGUCCUCUUUCUCUGCCAUUUAUAGGCAAUCCCAUUUGGUUUUUCAAACCUCUGUCUCAACUUGAAACCACCCUUCGCCAUUACCAUUCCAAAUAUGGCCCAGUUGUGACCCUUCACUUUGGUAACACCCCUUCCAUUUUCAUAGCCAGCCACUCUGUUUCUCACCAUGCUUUGGUCCAAAACGGCGCCAUCUUCGCCGAUCGUUUCCCCGUCAUGGAAACAGUCAAAAUCAUUACUAGUAACCAGCAUAAUAUCAGCACUGCCUUCUACGGCCCCACAUGGCGUGCCCUCCGCCGUAACCUCACGUCUGAGCUUCUCCAUCCUUCUCGUUUGAAAGCUCAUUCGGGUUCUCGUAAAUGGACGUUGGAUGUUCUCGUUCAUCGCCUCCGCCUAACAUCGGCUGCCGAGCCUGUGAAGGUCAUAAAUCAUAUUCGUUAUGCUAUGUAUUGUUUAGCUACAGUUAUGUGUUUUGGGGAGAGAUUCGAUGAGAAGUUUAUCUAUGAAGUACAAGAAUCUCAACGUGGGAUUUUGUUGAAUAUCAAUAAAUUCAAUGAUCUUAAUUUCUGGCCAGCAAGAUUGGGGAAGAUUUUGUUCAAGAAACGAUGGGAUGAGAUUCGUCAGCUACGUAAACGGCAAGACGAUUUGUUGUUACCUUUGAUUAACAAUGCAAGAAAAAACAGAACAACAAUCAAAGAUAAUGAAGAAACUGGGAAACCAAUCCCUUAUGUUGAUACUCUAUUUGAUUUAGAAAUUGAGGAUAACAACAAUGAGAAGAAGAAGAGGAAAUUAGUAGACGAUGAACUCAUAACAUUAUGUUCCGAGUUUCUCGACGCGAUUACCGAUACAACGGUUGCAUCGUUGCAAUGGAUAAUGGCAAAUAUAGUGAAGUAUCCAGAGAUACAAGAGAAGUUGUACAAGGAGAUAAAAGAAGUGAUGGGAAACAAGAAGAAGGGUGAAGAAAUAGAAGAGGAAGAAUUGGGGAAGAUAACAUAUUUGAAAGCAGUAGUAAUGGAAGGACUACGAAGACAUCCCCCGGGGCAUAUGUUGUUGCCACAUAAGGUGACAGAGGAGAGUGUUUUGGAUCCAGGAGGAUACAGGGUGCCGAAAGGAACAUCGGUGAACUUUAUGGUAGCGGAUAUAGGUUGGGAUGAGAAAGUAUGGACAGAACCAAUGGCGUUCAAGCCGGAGAGAUUCUUGAACGAUAAAGUAGAGGGAGGGGUCGAGUUGGAAGUUGAUAUAACAGGGAGUAAGGAAAUAAAGAUGAUGCCAUUUGGGGCAGGGAGGAGAAUAUGCCCUGGCAUUGGAUUGGGGUUAUUGCAUUUGGAGUAUUUUGUUGGGAAUUUAGUGUGGAAUUUCAAGUGGAAUGCUGUAGGGGAAGUUGAUUUGUGUGAGAAGCAAGAAUCUGCCAUCAUUAUGAAAUAUCCAUUGCUUGCUUCUUUGUCGCCAAGAAGCUGAAGUUUCUCAGUUUAUUUACUAUCAAGUGAAGAAUAAAUAUUACAAGAGUCGUAAGCCCAUGUUUAUGCCACCAUUCAAUCUUUUAUAAGAAAGAGCCUUAAUUUAAAAUGCAAAGCUAAGGGUAAGAAGUAAAUGAGUGAUUUUUGAGGUUUGUUUGAGAAGUUGAAAUUGUGUUGGAAGCAAGAAUCUGGUGUCACUAAGAAAAUUAUAUCCAUCCAUUUGCUUGCUUAUAAUCUGUCUCCGAGAGCUGAUGUUUCUUAAUAAUGUGAGAGCUCGAGGUUUGAGAGAGCGUUAGAGAUGUUCACGAGGUGGGAAUAGGGAUGUCGUCGUUCAUGCCCUCCGUUUGAUUCUUCAUCUUGAAAGUGUAGUGUUUAGUCUUUAAAUACAUAUAACAAAACCACAUGUAGUUAAUGUUCGGCUAAUAAAUCAACAUGCCUCAUUUUAUGCUAAGAAAUAGAGAUAACUCAGAUGAGAUUCUUACUUCUAACACCAAAAAUCACCUCAAAUUCAUAAAUAGAAAAAAGAGAAUUUAUAAUGGGGUAUACAUCAUUUUUUUCUAACAAUUUGAUUUGAGUAUAUAGCAAAUUUUUAGUUAUUCUUUAAAAUAUUCCAAAAUUACCCUCAUUUUAAAAGAAAAUUGGUGCAAUUCUCCACGAUUUUCUCACUUCUCCAUAUUCUUGGCUAUUUUCUCUCUUCUCCUAGCUCUCAACGUCCAACAACUUUACAACGAACUUUCGUUAAUAAUUAAAUGUGUUUUCUUUAAAGAUUUGGAUUCUUUUAGUCUUUUUUUCUUUUGAUCUUUCACAUUCUCCAACACAUUCAUUGACGGUUUAGGUUGUCUCUUCGACCUAACGUUUUCAAUGUUUUUCACUAUUUUCAUAGUUUUCACUGAUAGACCAUAUCCCUAAGCAACAAAACACAAAAUGAAAACAGAUUAGCAUACCAAAGAAACAAGUUCAACAUCCUCCAAAUCUAUUAAUCACUAACAAGAACAUAUCACCGUUAGAUCAUAAGCAACAUCCCACACAAAAUAUGGACAUUAAACAAAAGUAUUUACUAAACAUAUUCCAAGUCUAUCAGUGAUAGAAUGUAUCAUUGAUAGAUUAAGAAACAACACUUAAACUAAAACAUCCACCAACACACCUUACUGCAAACAAACAGAUUAACAUUCCAAAAAAACAAGUUCAACAUUCUUCAAAUCUAUCAAUCACUGAUAGAAACAUAUAACUGAUAGACUUUAAGCAACAUCGCACAAAAAAUGCAGUUUAACUUAGAUCUUCUACUGACAUAACAUAUCACUAAUCUUCUACUAACCAAAUCUAUCAACCAUUCGAUUUCAAACAAAUAGAAAAAGAAGAAACUAUAUUUCAAAUAUAUUGCGACCAAACAUAAAACAAAAAUUAUGAAAGAACGUGAACUGAAGCGAAAAUCCUGAAGCGAAGAAAGUGGAACACGAUGAAGUAGAGAAUGUGAAGCGAAGCCAUCUACGAAGGCACCAAAAUCGCAAAAGAAAAUCGGAAUAUGAAGAAAAGGGAAGAAAGUGGAAGACGGAAGGAAUACGUAAAGUGUAUUUGGGGGGCAUUUUCGUCUUUUACCUUAAAAUUGAACUAAAAUUUGCCAUAUUUGCAAUUCUUUUAAAGAUUUGUUAUAUCCUUAAUUAAUUUGUAGUAAUUUGCUAUAUUUCUAGACAGUCCUAGAAAAAAGUUGACAAACUAUUUACAUUUCAUAGAACAAAACCACUAAAAGACAAUUUAUUACAUUAUGAUCUUUCUAGAAAGUACAAAUAUUUGUCAAAUGUUCUAUUAUGGACACUUUUCCUAAUUAAUAAUAGUGGCAAAUUUAGGAAUAAUAAUAAAUGGUAUAACAAUAGUUUGAAAAGUCUAGAUGAUAGAAGUUUAUCGUUGAUGAAUUCUAGAAAUUUUGUUAUAAUUGCGUUUUUUUAAAAAAUGUUCUUAUAUAUCGGAAUAUUUUGAAUCUAGUUGUUUAUAUUUGCAACUAUCUCGAAUCAUUAUAACAAUAAAAUCUCUAAUUUAAACUAUCUACCCAUGUUAAAGUAAACUUAAUUUAUUGGUAUUAGCAUGUCUUCUGUUUCACCCCGUACUUAAAAAUGAAACCUAAGUGUUGAACAUGUGUGUGUGUAUAUAGAGAGAGAGGUUGGCAUGGUGUGAGUAGUGAAAGGAAAGUGGCUUAAUUUGGCAUGAAUCAGUUGUGGGGGAUACAUACUGAUAUAUACCAAAAGUGAAAAACGAACAUAUAUAUGAAUGUUGAGGCAUGCAAUGGAUCCAUAUAGUUGUUGUUCAUAAAGAAAGUAUUAGAUAGAUCCAUAGACAAGAGUUUAUAAGUGUUGAGAAAUUAUAUAUAUAUAUAUAUAUAUAUAUAUAUAUAUAAGAUUUUUUAACAAAAUCAAUUCAAUCAAACCAUUGACUUUUAAAGUAAUUGUAAUUAGUAUUUUACAUCAAUUAUUAUCGAUUUAUGAAUUCGAUAUCUAUACCAUCUAAUUAAAAAUGAUUAUUAGAAUACAUUAAAAAAAUUGAUAUGAUCUCCACUAUUUUGUUAAUUGAUAGUAUUUUUUUUCUUAAGUUUAGUUAAUAACAAUGUUUUCUUUUUUGGUUAAUAUUAUUUUCUUCCUUAUUUUAACGAGAGGGUUUCAUCUAAUUUCCUCUUAAGAAUAAUGAAAUUCAAUGAAACUCUUCUAUUUUUCUUCACAAUUUUUACCAUAAUUAUUUAUUUCAGUUUGUUCUUGUUCACAAAAUCCCUAUAAAAUUAAACUAUGAUAUUAGUCUAUUGGAUCAUGAUCGUUUUCCAACAAAAAAACAUCUUAUUGAAAUUCAAUAGAGUGGUUUCCAUUCUUCCACUUAACUUGUAAGAUGAACAAAUUGUUUUCGACGUCAAAAUGAUAGCUAACAUUACUAUUGUUGAAAACAACAAGCACCCUAAAUCAUUAAUCAUCUAAUGCAAGCUUUUUGAUGAUGGGACGAGCUCUACACAAGGCCUCCAAUGGCUCAACUUUAGGCAUAGAAAUUCCUUGACCUUCAGUCAUAUCAAUUUCCUUUUCACUAACUCUCUUCCACUCAAAGCUUUGUAUCAAUGAACCCAAAGUCAAUCCCACCACACGAUUAGCCAUCCCCAUCCCAGGGCAAGCCCUCCUCCCCAAUCCAAAUGGCAAGAAGCUAUAACCAUUAUUAUUGUUAUUGCUUCCUUCUCGACCCUGAUGAUCACUCUCGAACCUCUCGGGCUUAAAGCUCGUCGAGUCCUCCCAAACCUUAGGAUCCCUUUGGAUAGCCCAUGCAUUCACCAUUAACAUAGUGUCAGCAGGAAUAUGGUAUCCUCCUAAAGAACAACUGCUCGAUGAUAAAUGAGGAGCUAAGAGUGGAGCUGGUGGAUAAAGGCGUAGUGUCUCUGAAAUUACAUUCUGGAGAUAUGGUAGAUUGGAGAUAUCUUCUUCAUCUAGUAUACGAUCUUGUCCGAUUUGUUUGUCGAGUUCAUCCUUUACCUUUUUUAGUGCUUCUGGAUGGUUGAGGAGAUUCGACAUUGCCCACUCUAUUGUCACUGAUGAUGUUUCUGUUGCUGCUGAUAGAAUUGUCUGCAAAUUCAAGGAAAAAAGAAUGUGUUCAUUGUUUUUUCUCUCUCUAAAAUUUCAAAACCAUCAAUGUGUUGAUCAAAGUAAUUACGAAUAAAACAAUAAUUUUCCAUUAUGAAAAGAAAAAAGAACUCAGAACUUACAACAAUGAGGCCUUUGAUAAUUUCAUCAGUAUAAUAAUCAGGUUGAGUCUUCUGCAAGCAAAGGAGAUGACUGAUCAUUGUAUUUCCCUUUUCCCCUUCUUCUUCAUUUCUCCGAUGUUCAUCCACCAAAUUCUGCAAAAACCAAUCCGUAUCUUUCCCAAGACUUUCAACUCUUUUUGUAUAUUGCCAAUCAACCCAUUUCAAAAAUGGCAAAAAAUCCCCUGGGUAUGAACCCAAUUGAAACGCCCUCUCCAUAAUUUCUCUAAACUUCUUAGCUUCUUCCAACUCACUCACUUCUUCCCCAUAAUACCUUUUCCCUGCCAACAUUCUCAUUAUGAUAUUAAAUGUCAAUUCCGAAAACAACGAUUUCAACUUCACUUUCCCAAAUUCCGUACCCAAAACUCUAUUCAAUUUCUUUAUCAGAAUACCGAUCUCUUCUUUUCGGAUUCUCGCUGACAUGUUCAACCGUAUGGUUGACAAUAUUUCGGUUGCACUCAACCGUCUUAGAUUGCGCCAGUGGUCGCCGUAUGGAGCAGCCCCGAGUGUGGAGUUUCCAUAGGUGAGAUACUUGCCGGAAACAAACUCGGGGCGGUUGGCGAAAACAAUGUCGUUUGUCGUGAAGCAUUCUUCAAUGGCGGAUAUGGAGGAGACGACGACGACAAGGCGGGAGCCGAGUCGGAGGGUGAAGAUUGGACCGUAUUUUUGGGAGAGAUUGUGGAGUGUUCUGUGGAUUGGGUGUUUGAGGAGAUGAAGAUGGCCAAGAAUUGGGAGAGCUAGAGGGGAGGGAGGGAGGUUUUUCUUGGUUUUUUGGAUGAAGAAAAUGGAAACCAAAGCCAAGAAAGUAAUCAGAAAUGGAAGAUAGGUGAUGGCUUCCAUUUCCAUGGAGUAGUCUCAAUUCAAAGUUGUGAGAUUGCAUGCUGUGAGCAUUGCUAAAGGAAGGGAUAUAUAACAAAAAGAUAAUACUACUACUACUCUAUCUAUGCAUAUUCCUUCAUUGCAUUGCUCAUCUCGUCUUCCCCAUUAUAAAAAUAUAACGUACGUGAUGAUUCAGUCUCUGCCCAUCCCUCUUUGAAAGAAUAAAAACAUGUUAGGAAAGUCGUUCAAAUGACAAAAUCAAAAUAUUCUAUUAUAGAAGUAUGAAAAAGAGAUCGAGGGGAGAUUUUGGCAUUUAAUGGAAGAGUGUGAAAAUAUGGUUUUGGGAUGUAUGAUCACGUGUUCAAGAAAUUUGUUUUUUACUAUAUGAUUGAUGAUAGUGAGUCCUAAUUUGUUAGAUUUUAAUCGGUACCGGUGUGCUUGGGGUAAAGAGUCGUUGGAUUAUGAAGGGUUAGUGUUAUGAUAAACUUAAUAUCAUAUUUUUUAUGAUAAGAUGUGAAAUUUAUUUUUUUAUACAUUUUUUUUAAUUCAUAUUCUAAAUCUAACACAAAUUUCGUAUUUUAAUUUACAAAAUUAUCAUAUUUUUGUAAAAUAGUUUUAAGUAAUUUCUUUAAAUGUGACGUCUAUUUUCAACAUUUUUUACGUAAUCGUUGCAUGUGAAUAAUUUAUUGAUUUUUUAAAGAAAUUUGUAUUCUAAAUCCAAUACACAGAUUUAGUAUAAUUAAUUUCUUGAAAUGUCCUAUUUUCGUAAAACAAUUUUCAAACAUUUUUUUAAAUACGACGUCAAUUUUGAACUUUCUAACGUAAUUGUUACGUGCAAAUAAAUUGUUAUUAUUUUAAAAAUCAUAUCCUAACUUCAAUAUACAAAUUUUGUAUAUUUAAUUUACCAAACCGUCAUAAUUUUCGUAAAACAAUUUGCCUUAAUUUCUUUAAAUACGACAUGAAAUUUUCAACUUUUUUUUUAAGUAGUAGUUACGGUUGAAUAAAUUACUAUUUUUCAUUUUAAAGAUAAAACAUUGUCAGUUUUUCUUCUUACUUAAACAUUAUAUAUUUUUUCCUUUUUAAAUUAUAGGAUUGUUGUUCCAUGGAGCAACAAAAAUGAUAAAAAUUAUAAUGAAACAAUGAAAGAUAUAAAAAUAAGGAAGAAGAAAGGGAGAAAAAAUACAUUUUGGAAAGGGGCACUUGCAAAAAUGACAAAAUAAGUUAUAAUAAAUAAGUCCAUAGCACACAGUUUAUUAUUUGUGAAAAUAGUAAAAAUGAAGCCCAACUCACACAUAAGGUAAAAUAUCACAAAUGUCUUCGUUACUAAUAUACGUUUGAUACAUCUUAUACACGUCUGAUACACCUAAUACAUCUGAUACUUCUUCAUACACCCGAUACAUUUGAUUGAUACACUUGAUACACAUGAUACUCUUUGAUACACUCGAUACAUUUUGAUACAAACAUUACUCAUAUAUGUUUGAUACACCUGAUACACUGUCGAUACAUUUAGUAUUCUUCACUUAUACAAUUGAUUGAUUAAAUGCAUUUGAUAUGCUUGAAGUCCUACUUGUACACUUGAUAUACACUUGUAAACUUGAUUCAUAUAUUUGAUAAUGAUUCACUUUACUAAUAUACUUUAACAAUAUAUUGUUAAUAUACUUGAUAAUAAUACAUUGGGUUACAUCAUUUAUAUAUUUAAUAAUACUCUAACGAACUGCAUAAAAUUUGAAAAACUAAAAAUCACGUAGUAUGUAUAUUAUGGAAAUAAUAAAAUUACAGGAGACUUGAAAACAUAGAAUUGUGAAGAAUUGAGAAAAGAGCGAGGAAAGAUAGGUUAUAAUAACACUUCCUCCAAAGAAGGCUUGAGUUACCCUAACCCCACGGUCAUAACUAUGUUCCGUAUUAUUUUAAUAUUUUUUCUUUAAAUAAUGAAAACAUGUUUACUUAUUUUAUUUCUUUCUACUGAAUCUGAGAUUUUUUUAAAAUAUUCAAAUUGAAUUAGAACUUUUUUUUAAAGGUAAAAUAAGAUUUAAAUUAAAACUAAAAUAAGUUAUCCAAUUAGUUUGGUUUGUGUGUCAUAUAACGUGAUUCACGUUUUCUUCUUCUUAUCUUUCACUAUUAUAUUAUAUUAUACAUUUACUUAUAUUUUAACACUCUAAAACAUAAAUAAAUUUGGGUUUUUUUUUUUAUAGAAAAGGGAGGAAAGGAAAAUUUGGGGGAAAACUUAAAUUUCUUUUAGAAAUGGGGAAAGGGAAAUUUGGAAAAAUAAAAAGAGGAUUUUUUUUUCUUUUUUUAAGAAAAUGAUGAAAAUAUAUAUUAGUUGACAUUUAAACAAUGUCAAGUGAUUACCACUAAUCUUGACACUUUUAACUUGUCAAGUGUUUGAAAGAAAAGAAUAAAAAUAUUAUAUUUCUUUCAUUAAUUGUUAUUCUUGACGUUUUUUACAUUAUUUGACAGUUUUUAUUAGAAGCGUCCAGUAUUUCAAAACUACAGGUGCCAUUGUUUGACUAAAGGUCAAUCCAAUAGAAAACACUCACUUUAAGAACAGAUUCCAACAACAGGGUCCCACACAAACCCUGAAUUACAAACACAACGCCUCAACCCCGUCCCGUUAGGAUCAACACCACAAACCGCGUUUCCGUCACAAUCAGUCUCCGUAUUACAAACCGGUUCCCUCGGCAAAAGCCACUGCAACUCUAAACCCGGUUCUGGCCAUUGACCCACUCCCAAGCUCGGGUCCAAAUUCACAAAGCUCGUGUACGCACUACACCAUGAUUCCCUCACCCUAAUCAUGUACGAAUUCGAAGAUCCACCCGUCCGAAAUGUGCAGCACAGCUGCGCCAUCUCGCACUUCGUCGCUUCUCCUCUCGAUCCCUUGAUGUACGAAUGGCACAGACUCGUCGACGAGCAGUUCAACGGCGAGCCCAACAGCAAAUUCGUACAGUUGAAGUAGAGGAUCGUAUUCCCACUCGUCACGUUGAACGGUAAAGUAUUGUUCAAUUUAAUUCCUUCGUGGGCGAUAUCCACUGUCACGCACAUGUUGGGGAUGAAAUUUGAGGGGCGGAUCACCAGGCGCUGGGUCAACGGGUUGAUUGAGAUGAUCGGGUACGUGUUGUUUACCGUGUCAAAUUUCAGUGAGCCUACGUCGCAUCGGAUCUUGUACAAUUGGUCACCACAAGUGGGGCUUGUACUUAGAGGAUAGGGGACGGCAGCCCCACCGCAGUCCGGACAUCGGGUAAUGGAGGUAGCCAUUUCUGCGGUGGCAAGCAGCGCUGCCACGAAGAGGAGUAGCCGUUUUGAAAUGGAUGCCAUUGAUUUUUAUCGGAAGCUGAAUUCUUGGUGGUGGGUUUUACAAUUUGAAUCGUUUGGGUUGAAAUAAAUGGAAGAAACAUUAUUUAUUUAUUUUCUUUGAAGUUUGAAGAAUAACGGUCAAAGUAAAAGUGGGUGACAUGCGCGUCAAUGAAAGGUUAUCGAGUUGUUUCUUUAGGCAGAAAGUUGUGUUCAAUAUCAUCUAACAAUCUAAACGGUUAUAAAUUCAAUAUUAUUUGAGAUUUUUGUUUCAUUUUUAAGAGAAAGAAAGAGGGAAUGAAGUUCUAAUUUUGAACUAUUUUUAAGUGAAAAAAAAUAUAUUGGUAAGAAACUAUUGCUAUGAAGUUCUAAAAUUUGGGUUUUUAGUUUGUGAAGUUUUAGAAACUAUUGUAUUUAGUUUAGGUAUGGUUGGUUGUUAUUAGUGUGUUAAACCUAACAUACGAAUGGUUGAAUAAUAUACUGUCAUAUUACACGUUUUGACUUGCACUUCUAAAAGUUCAGAAAACCUUUUCUUUUUUGUUUUCACAAAAAUAUCAAUUUCAAAGGGCGGACUAAUUUAGGGUAACAAUGAUGUAAAUAUAGUAUCUUCUCUAUCCAAUUCAUUGUUACUGUUUUGUAGUUGAAGUCGUCAACAACGACAGUAAGAAGAUGGAAGGUUGAAACAAAUUGUAAGGUUUUUAGAUUUAUAAACUUGGAGAAUAGAAAAAUACUUGACCAUACAUAUUCAUAAGAAAACUUGGGACUAAAAACAUAAUUUUUCUUAAUAUCGUAUAUAGCACACAUAAAGUUUGAUAUAUUUUCAAUCUUGGAGAUCUUUAGUUGAUUCAAUUAAUUCAUUUGGAUAAUAAUGAUCAACGUACCAAUAAUCUCACGUCAACGAUCAAUUUGGGUUUGAUUAAUUAAAAAAUUAGUGUCUAGUGACCUAAAUUGAUUAUUUAGAUAAAUGAGUUGUUUAAUUAUGUUUUUAUUUCUGGAUCAAAUCAUCAAAAUUAUUGGGAUAUGAUAUAUAUUGGGAACUGUGUAUUGCACUUGUUGAAUUGUGAAUUAUGAUACUCAUAACGAUGCAAUAUUCAAAACAACUACGUCACCUACAAGAAAUUGAUUUUGUGCAUAUCUUUUACAUAAACUGUUGUUAUUAUUAUGAAAUUGGAAGGUGUAAAUGAGAGUAAUGAAACAUUAAGAGAAGUCUUUGUUGGGAAAAUUAAGCACUUAGUCAAGCCCUAAAUUUGGCACCCAUUGUAUAUAUAUUUCACCCAUCUCAUGGGCUUGAACUCACCUCUCCUCUCAUGUCUAUAUGUAUAUACAAUAAUAUCAUUUACAUUUUUACGUGAUAUAUGUUUACAUUUUAUUUCAAAAUAUUUACAUAUAUCUAAGAUUUCAAUAGAGUUAGUCAAUUUUCAAUUACUGAUAUUAAAAUAGAAAAUUUGUUAUGAAUAGGAGAAAAGAAAAAACAACAACCUACAAACUAUAGUAAAAAAACUUAAAUUAAUUUUGGAGAGAAUUAGAUAGAUUGUGAUAGAUUUUGUAAAUAAUUUUGAUACUUUAUUGUUUUCUAAAUGUUCCUAAUCUUUUAAAAUUAGUGUGUAACAACAAUAAUUUAACAUAUAACCGAUUAAAUAUAUAUCAACAAAAAUUACGAAUAACAAAAGCGAGUUAGAUUUCGAAAAGGAUGUCAAUUUAUAAGUACAUAAUUAAACAUAAAAAAAAUGCUUAUAUAAUUAAUAGUAACCUUGGCAUAUAUAUAAUUAAAGUGGGGAAUUUUCUAUGGUUUACCUGCUCGAUUUUCAAUCUUGUCAUUUUCUUAUUUUAUUUUUCCAAUUAAUUUUCUGAAACCACUAGAGUGAGGGUGGCUUGUCUUUGAAUCAACCUCAUAUUAUUUUUUUCGACACAACUCGUAAUAAUGUUCAACAUCCCUCUUUGCACAUUCUGCUCAUGUACCUACUCUUGGAUUCGAGGUCACCAAACACAGUCGAAGGAAAUUAUUCUUGCACCUAAGUUCUUCUAUAGUCUUCUCAUACUCUUCAUUUUUCUUUCUUCGUCUUCAAUAGUUUUGCCGACGCAUAUAUGACGAUGUUGACGUGUUGACCUUGUUGACAAAUCAUGCGUCGACCAAAAUUCUAUGUCGACGUCGUCUCAUUACGUUCUUGCGUCGUCGUUGCCUCUUACGAUACGUCAUUUACGACGCCCGUGCUAACGUGCUUCUCUAUGAGAAAAAUAAUAGUGUUAGUUUAUGGUUUGAAAAACUAACUACUACGUAUAGAAAUAAAAUAAUUGUGAGACCCGUACUUAAGUUCAGGAGUAAUUUUGACUAAGUGUUUAAAGAAACGGCGCUUUGAGAGGUCCAUGUGAUAAGAAGUUGAUAAUUAAGGUAGUUUGCGAGCUAGGUUAAGCGGCAAGACUUUUGAAGAUUGUGUUACCGUGUGAUUUAGUUUCUUUGCAUGAUGAGAAAGUCUAGGCGAGAAGAAGUAAGGAAACUUCCUAGAAAAAAUUUAAGUGUACCUAAUGGGCCACAUGAAAAUCAAGUCAUUUUAGGAGGUUUAAGCUAAGCAUGAUUAAGUUAAAUUAACCUUAAGCUUCCACGUGCACCACUAUGAGUAGGUGCUGGAGUGAUACAAGAGAUUAAAGAUGACUAAGCUAUUUUAGGACUUGUAUAAAUAGGGGAUCAAGCCAUAUUAUUUAGUACUGUUACUCUGAAAAUGUAAAGAAAAAUAUUAAAAAGUUGAAAUACUGCCAAAAUAGCUAUGCGAGUAGAAGAAGAGGAGAAACAUAAGGAUUUUGGAUUUCUAAGUUGUGUGAGUGUUUUCUUCAAAAGUAUUCAAUAUGUUUGAAAGGUUUUCAUUAAAGCCUUUAUUGAUUGAAUAAUGAUUUCAAUUUAAAUGUUCCUAAAGAGAUUUAUUUGAAAAGCUUAUGCUAUAUUUUAAAGCAUGUUUUAGAUGAUGCAAAUGAUUGUGAAAUGGUGUUUAAACCAUUAGACUUCUUCCUAUUAUUGAGCUAACUGUUAUGUGCACUUAAAGGGUAAAUGAAGUCAUGUAAAAAAAUGUGCAUGAUGAAAUUAGGAGAGACAAUAUAUAAAAGAUGUGUAUUGCGUCUCGGCUUGAGCAACAAGGAAUGAAUCAGAAUAUUCUCGGAUGCUAACAAUGAAAAUGUCGUCUUAGUAGUCUAAACGCAGGAUGAUGAGUCUUUGCGUAGAGAAUGAUUUAGGUCAUUGAUGAAAGGAAUGACUUGGCUGAUGAUUAUGUUAAAAGUAUAUUUGAGUGAUUUGAAAUAUGUUAAAGUGAUUUGAUAUGAAAAUUGAUAUUUAGGAGAGAUAUUUAGCAAAAAGGAUUUCUUCAAAACCUCACUAAUUGCAUGUAUUAAAAAGUUAACUAAAAUUAAAAAUAAAAAGCGUAGAAGGUAGCCGAUAACAAUUAAAUAUUUAUUUCAUAAAGCUAACUAACAUUGAAAAAAAGAAGUUAAUCACGUGAUAAUCAAAUUGUUUAAAAAAUGAGGGCAUAUUCAACUUUUUAUUUCAAGUUCAUUAGCAAAUUUGGAGUGGACCGAUCAAAUUUGCUACAUUUUUCAAUUUAAAAAAUAAGUGACAUUGACCCAAUUUAGUUAUAUAAAAAAGUUAUAUACACUGUCCCAUUAAAUAUCAAUACGACUUGAAGUCAAUAACUAAAAUAUGUAUUUAUUUCGAUACUCAAAUAAUAAUCGUAAAAGUUUUUUAAUUUAUAUAAGAGAUUUUAAUCUCAACUUCCGAGGUAGGUGUGCAUUAUAAAUUUAAGGAGUUUUCUAAUAAUAAUAAAAAGACAAAAUAUUUAAAAGCAAAAAUCUAUUAGAAUAAAAUCAUAAUAAUAAAAAUUGUUAAAAUGCCGUUUUUAUUCUUGAGCUUCUUAAAUCUUAAUUCUUAUACUUUAUAAUACCCAAUUCUGUUUCAUCUACUUUAGGGGCCGUUCGAGGGAAGGAAAUGAAUAAGAGGGAAAAAGAAUAAGAAAUUGGGGGAUUAAGUGAAUGAAAUGAUUAUUAUAAUACUUAUUUGGGGGAAUGAUUAAGUGAAAGAAAUAUGAAUGAUUAUUUAUAAUCCUUGUUUGAGAGAAGAAUUAAGUGAAAUGAUUACGAGAUAUUAUUAUAAUCUUUGUUUGGGAGAAGGAUUAUGACAAAAAAAUUUGUAUUUUUUUUUUCAUUUGUGUAAUUUUUUCAUUUGUACGUUAACUCCAAUAUGAGAAAAAAUACAUAAUUAUUUUUUUCUUGAAAAUGAAAUUGUUUUUUUUGUCACGAACCCAAUACAAAAUGAAAAAUGUGCUAAUAUUUUUUGUAUUUGUAUAAAUUGUUCGUACCAUAAAAUCUCUACAACCAAAAAUUGUAUUCAAAUUCAUUUUUUUAGUUAGGUUGUAUCGUAAUCCAAACGUUCACAAAAAAAUUGUAUUGAUUUUGUAUAAAUAUAUAUUUUUACUUGUAACAUGCACCUAAUAUACUUUCAAAACUAAAGUUUUUUUUUCUCAUUUGUAUAGUAGUUUUUUAUUAAAUCAAGUACACAAAAUAAAGUUGUAUUAAUUUUUUGUUGGUUGUGUAAAAUAUGUUUAUGAAAUUUAUAUUAUAAAUUCAAUUCACAUAGAAAUUGUGUUAUUUAAUUUGUCAUUUGUAUUCAAUCUGUAGUUCAACUUGAUCCGUAAAUCUAAUACAUUAAAAAAAUAUUCUCUUUUUUCAAUGUGUAAGAAAUAUUUAUGAAAUGUUUUGUGUAAACCAAAUACAAACAAAAAUGUAUUAAUUUUUCUUUUUCGCAUUUGUCUAAACCUAUUUAUUUUGUUAGUACGGUUUCUAAAACGACGAAAAAUUAUAUUAAAAUAAUGUUUAUACUUCAUUUCUACCGUAACCCCGGCACACAACAAAUAUGUAUUAAUUUUUAAAUUGAUUUUGUAUAAAAAAAAAACAAUUGAACCGUACACACAAUACACAAUGCAGAGAAAUUGUAUUAUUUUUUUUCAUUUAUAUAAAAUAUGUUUCUUCAAAUUGUACCAUAAAUAGAAUACAAAAAGAAAUUUGUAUUUUAAGUUUGUAUUAUCAAUCUUAUACAAUAAAAAAUUGUAUUAUGUUGUUUUUAUUUUUUCUUUCAUUUAUUAUUAUUUUUUCUUCAUGAGAAUGAUAAGUAACAUACUAGAGAAUAUGACUAAUUCGUUUGGCACAAAGAGAACGAAGAAGAAAAGAGGUGAAUUAAUUUGUUUGUGAAAGAAAAGAAAUAAAAGGAUUAAUUUGGAGAGAAGAAUAAAUAAACGAAAAAAGAGAAUAAUUAUAUUAGAAAAUGGAAGGAUUAUAUCGAGAAAUAAAAGGAUUAAGUGAGAAAAGUUGGAUAAUAAAUGGGGAGAAAGAAGGAAUAAGGAGAUUAAAAGGUAUUACUUUUACUCUCCUAAUCCAUGGCCAAACAAGAAAAUAUGUAAGAUAAUCAUUUCCUUCCCCCAUUAAAGCUCAUCUCAUUUGCUAAGAUAUACCUUAAAUUGAUAGAUGUGCCACACAAGUUUUCUUUCCAGCACUAAUUUCUUUCAACUUUAAGAUUUUGUUGAUGCACUUCGAUGGAGCUUAAAAGCAAAUAAUAAAUGUUUCUAAUUAUGUAGUAGUUGUUACAUUGAUAUACAUACAUACAUAUAUAUAUAUAUAUAUAUGUUAUUCAGUCAAAACUCGAUGGGAAUACUCUCCAAGAGCCCAAAUGGGAAAAAUGUUUCGGUAUGCAGCAUAUGUAAUCAUACAAUUUUUGUUAAACACUCCCAUGAUCUCCUGCAAUGUAUAUAAAAAAGAUGUUAAGUUAAUAUUAUUAUAUAUAUAUGUAUGACUUAACUGUAAGUUUAUAUGUACAAAAUGAAAGAUAUACCUGUUGGGGAAAAUCACCAUUCUCCAAUUGAGAAUUGAUUAAUAAUCUUGCUGCACGGUGCAAUGGGGCUGGGUCUCUCUCACCCUAUAUAUCAGUACACAAUAUUCAUUAUUUAUUAUAUGAUCACCCACAUGAUCAUCUGAUCAUCCUUUCCAAACAAUAUAUAACUCAUAUAGUUUAAAACUUGCCUAAACUAUUACUAUUCUUUUUAACAUAGUUUUCAAUUUUGUUUUGUUUUUAGAAUAAUAUACAUAUAUUUUACCUGGCCAGCUUCAAUGAGAGCCAUCAAAACCCAAGCAGUAUUAACCAAGUGUGGUCUGUUUCCUUCAAGAUUGGUGUAGACCUAUAUAUAUAAGUAAUAAUUACAUUAUGCAAAAGAAUUAAUUUGUUGUUAAUUAAUUGUGUAAUAAUAUAGUAAAUAAGGGCAGAUGAUCGAGAUCUACCUUAUUCUGACAUGAAAGGUAACUCUCCCCCCAUCCACCACCAGGUAACUCUUUAGAUAAAAGAAAAUGACAAGCCUUACGAAUUGCAACACAAUUAUUAUAUGUCCUUCCUGCAGCAACCAAUCCCUUUAUCCCAAACCACCCUGCAUAUGUGAAGCAUACCCCCCAACAUCCAUACCUACAAACAUAUAGUAGCACGACUCUUUCAGUGAAAUACUUGGAUACACUUGGACAUGAAUUCGUUUGGGCUUAGAUCUUUUCUUUGGUAACUUUCUUAUUUUUAUGUGCAUUUGUUCCUACUGUAGGAAAACUAUUGAGUGCAGUCUAAAAUGUACUUUUUUUUAUUUCUCUUAUAUUGUUUAUGUUAUCUUUAUUAUUUUUAAUAUAUAUAUUUUAAAACUCAAGUUCCAAAGCAAAGUGUAGGGCUAAAGUAAACAAACCAAGAGCCAUCAGUCCUUUGCAUAUUUUCAAGAAAGUUGGCUGCCUUAGCAAGAGCAGCAUCAAUCUCUUUGGUCCUAUGCCCUGGAUGUAACUUCUUAAACAAUGCCAAUGCUUCCAUUGUCGCAGAGGUGCACUCCACAUACCUGCAAAUUGUGACGUCAAACUAUUGAAUACGCACAUGCAACAAUUCAAACCAAAGUUUAUAACCGCGUCGUAAUCAAGUUUUAUGUUUUUUUUCUAUUAUUAAAAAAUACAAGUGGAAGUAGUGUUUGCAGGCAACAUGAAAAACCAAAAAUAAAAUUAAUGGAUACGGAAUGAUCUACGUUAUUGUAUAAUCCACAGACUUACGAAUAAUCGAUGACGAUAUCUCCAAAUGUUUCUGCAGGGUUGAUCAACUGAAUACAUAGACAAAACAUUAACAAAAACAAUAAAACUACAUUAGAUUUUAUAAUUGUUUUGUAUAAUAAAGCAUAAUUAAUUUACCAUUAAGAUGGUAUUAUUAUCUCAUGACGAGGGAUUAAUUAUUAUACUGUUAACUAUUACCUCCAACCAAGGGUAUGAUCUUGUCAACUCGUAUGAUGCAAAUCCACCAUUUUCAUUCUGCAUGCAUAUAUAUAUUUCAAAACAUUAAACAUAAUGUAGAAUAUUAAUGAUGGUGUUGCCAAUAGUUAAGUUAUUAAACUCACUUGUAAAGAAAGGAGAACAUUAACAGCAUCACAAAGGCGAUUCUUUUCUAAUGGCUCCCCAACUAUUUUGGAUGGAAGUUUGGAUAACAUCAAUGAAGCCUGUAAUGAAACAAGUAUGAGAUCUUUCUAUUUUUUUUAACGUAGCUAGGAAACUCAAGAUAAUGUCUCUGAAAUUUAUUAUUCCUUUUUACAACUUUCUUAGGCUCUGAUACCUUUAGUCCCUCGGCCGUACAGUCAGAGAUGAGCCAACCAUGAUCUCGAGUUGAGAAAGGCCAAGCACCUUUAUGAAUGUGACGGAACCAAACAUUAGGAUCACCAGGACAGUCCUCCUGGAUCUGUGUAUAAUAAACCAAAAAAACAAAGAAAUUUGGAUAAUUAUUAUUGUUGGCUGUACAUGUAGCAAUAGUAAUUUGAAGGGAAACAAAAAUAUUAAAGGCUAAAUUUACCUGAGAAUGUUUAACAAAAUGAUGUGCUUUUCUUAAAGUUGAACCAAAGGUGUCUAUAAGUUUGGUGGAUAGAAUUGCUUGGAUAGAGAAAGCAGUGUCCCACAAUUGACUCCCAUUGUAACCCUACAUGCAUAUGCACUUUAAUUAUUAAUCACUGUUAUCAUAAUAUAUAUCAGUAUCUAUUAAGGAUAUAUAAUAUGAGAAAUAAUUAACCAUUUUGGAUUUUUGAAAAUUUAAGUAACCAUUUGAUCAACUUAUGAUAUGAAUUGCUAGCUAGUUCUUAAAACUCUUUAAAAAAUACUAACCUGCAUUCUCAUGCCAUCUUCAGCAAGCCAAAGAUAGUCAGGGAUUCUUUGUAGAUGAAAUUUGAAGGCAUCUGAAUAAGGAUCUUCAACCCAACAACAAAGCAUAUUAAGUACUUUAUUAACAGGACCAAGACAUAUAUAUCGACUAUUUUCAUCUUCAUAAUGUAUAUGUUCCAUUGCAAUUUUCAUUGCCUUUUCCCUCAACCUUCUCCCUGGCCAACCAUUAAACAAUGGCUCAUACACGUGGUAUAUCGAUCCCCACAAAAUAUCUUGCAUCUUCGGAUGUGGAUAGUACAAAUCCUCCUGCAUUAUAUAUCCAUUCUCAAGAUCAUCGAUUUUAACGUAGUUCACUAAACAGCACUGCAUUAAUUAGCAAAAAUAUCAAAAGUUAAAAAUGUCGUUGUUACCUGUGCACAUGUAUUACGAGAUCUAUUCCAAUCAAUUUCAUGAUAUGGAAUUGUGUAGAGCUCUUUUCUUAGAGAUAAAACCAUGUGUGUGAUUGGCCCAACGAAUCUCUUUCCAUAUAAGUAUGACAUUGGUAGAUAAACCAUACGACAAUGGCACCACAUUCUUCCUGGAUACAAUUACAUAAAAAUUCAAAUAGUUCAGAGUAGCUAAUACUACCAAUCGGGUUAGUAGGUGCAUUAAUUCACUAGAUAAUCCUAACUAGGUUAGCACAAUCAUAGCACUCCCACCAUCUCCUGCCUCAUAUCAUUAAAACUUGAAUUAUUUUCUUGAUCUUAUAUUAAUCUAAUAGAAGUAAAUUAAUUUAGGUUAAGAAAAGAAAAAUAAAAAUUGUGUACCAGGAUGAAAUGGUAGGCUAUAAGGGAGUAACCAAAAUUCAGGUGGGAGAGGAUUGUUGCCACUCCAUUCAUAGACUCCAAGUACUGACAGCCACAAUUUUCCCCAAGAAGUGAUUGCGGUAGCUCCGCCACGCUCCAAGAUCCAACUUCGAGCUUUUGUCAUUGCGCCGCACUCUCCACCAUUGGCAUCCUCUCCAAGCAGUCUCAGUGCAACAUAAUUCAGUGCCGAACCGAACAUCGUGCUCGAACCUUCAAUGUGCAAACCCCAUCCCCCAUCUUCAUUCUGUAUACACAUUACCUGACUAUUAUAAUCUGCCUAACUUAUAUUAACUGUUAAAUAUAGAUUCGAAAAUAUGCACCCUCUUGAUAAACUACUUGAUACCAAAAGUUGAGAUAUUCAUCAAUUUCGCUCUCACAUAUUACACCAGCCAAAUAUGAUAUCUUUUAUUAGAUCAUAGGUAGGUGGUGGUGAUUAUACAUUUAGCAGUUAAAAUUGUUGUAGUAGCCUAGCUAUUUUCUCAUAAGUUUCUCAACCAGUUAAUUAGUUACUUAAUUAUGAUAGAAAGUUGGACGAAUUAAGAGAGACGUGCCUGAUGAUUGUAAAUAUAUCUGCACAUUUCUUGGCGAUGGUGCUUGGAUAGAACAGAAUUCAAGACUCCAGUGACAUAUAGAGCAAUCACCUGUACUUAAAUUCAAAGUUCAAACACACACAUGCAUGCAUGUGAUGUGAAGAACAACACAAUAUAUAUUACUUACAAACUAAUAUAUAUACUUGUGAGCAAAGAGCAAGAGAAGGUGUGGGAUUAUAGCGUACUAGACCCGGUAGUAAAAACAUAGGGCCACCAAGAUCUGAAGCCCAAUUCCCAUCGCUUGUUUGAAUAGCUGAAUAAAAAGAGGUAAUUGCAAGAAAGAUUCAGCCGAUCAUUUUUUUUUUUAAAUAGCAAAAUAAUUUAAAAUAUUUAUAAGCUCUAACAAAUUUGGUUGGAUUCUAUCAAUCAUCCUCGACUCAAAUGUUUUUAUUAUUUGAUAUUUGCUAUCAAAUUCAUUAGCUAUCAAAUGUUUGUUAUUAAAUCUGAAAUUUUGUUAUAACUUGUAAAUAUUUUAUCAAAUUUAUUAUUUUUUAAAAUUUUCCUUUAGCCGACUGCAAUGGUAGACGAAUUUGACCUUAUCAUUAGUUUUAAUAUUAAUUAUAAACGAAAAUUGAUAUAAUUUUUUUGUUAUAAAUAUUUUAUAGAAAAAUUGUCAAAAAUAGCAAAUUUAAUAAAAUAUCUACAAUUUUGUAGCAAAUUCUAUCACUAUAUAGUCGUUGAUAUAGAAGACUACUAGCAAUAGAAUCCAAAAUUUUGUUAUAAAUUUUUUGUAAAUAUUUUAAUUUAUUUUACUAUUUUAAAAAAUGCUCAUAUUUUAUAUUACAACUUAUUUUUUGGUUUUCUAAAAAAAAAAAAAAAUCAACCAAUUAUUUAUACAAAUUUAUUACACUUAAUUUAUACAAAUUUAUUACACUUAAUUUUUCAUUAUAAAAUGUUCUAUUUUUUCUUAUAAUUUCUCUUUCUUAUUUAUAUUAAAACUUAAUACUAAAAUAGCAAUUUUUACAAAAUAUUUAUAACUUAUAGUAAAUUCUUUGACAUAUAGUAAUUGAUAUAUUAUAGUGAUAGAAAUUCAAUAUAGCAAUAUAGUUUGUAAAUAUUUUAUUUAUUUUGCUAUUUUUAAAAAUGUCUUAUUAUUUAAUUUAUAGAUUUCGUUUUCUUUAAUGUCAUUUAUGAUAUAUAUUAAAUAUUAUGGUAAUAUUUCCAAUCAUCCUUCUCUCCCCCUCAUUUCUUAUACUUCCGGUGAAUUAACGUUUUAAUAUUAUCAAUUUUCGAUGACUCUCCAAUCAUUCAAUCGAUCUGUCUAUGUCCAUACUUUCUUAUUCCGUUAUCUCCUUCAAGUUUUGCAACGAGCAGCCUAUAUAUUUAAGCUAUAUAAGUUAAUGGCAAUUAGACGAUAGAAUCUUUGAUACAUCUUUAAAAUUGUUACGUAUUAGAAUUACCUGAAUAGAAACUUAAUGCUCUUUCUAAUGUAUUAUUCACUGCUUCUUUCUUCACAUCCUCCCCUUCUUUUACUUUGGUGUUUCCUCCAUUUUUUGCACCAUUUCUUGCUAUUUCCUUUUCAUACUGUACACAUAUAAAUACAUAUAUAUAAUUAAGCUCUACAUAUCAAUCAAAAUUUUACUAAAUUUAUUAAUUCUCACUUUCAUAUCUCUAUAGAAAUCUAACUUAAAUUUCUUACUCAUUUGUUUCACAAAUGAUAUAAGUAAACUGUGAUAGAAAAAGAAAGGAAUGGAAGAGAGAAAAGAGAGGACCUGAAUGGUUAGGAAGAGGUCGGAAGAUUGCUUGCGAUGGAAACGAUUAUUACGAAACUGCUUCCUAGCAUUCUCAAACGACGACUGUCGUCGUUGUUGUUGUAAUAAGUGCUUUGAAGAAUUAGCAACAACAUGAAUAACGGCUUCAUCAUCAUCAUCAUCAUCAUUUUCAGCACAAAAUUCCCAAACUUGACGUCCCAAGUGAUUGCUUAUACUCUUAAUCCAUUUCUCUUCUUUUUCCCCAACACUCUCUUUUCCCACUUUUAAUCUCCACAUUUUUACUGUUUUUUAUAUCUAUAUAUAUUUUUCUCUUCUUCUUCUUCUUCUUUCUUCUACUUUCUUCUUCCACGUAACGAACCAAAUUUAGGACACCUCUCUCUUUCUGCUCUCAACCUCUACCACACUUAUAUAUAAAUCCUACCAAGUCAUCUGUUCCUUUUCCUUCCUUUUCCAUUUUUCCAUCUUUGCAUGUGAUAACUAUUAUGUUUAUUUAAAAUAAAUAAUAGAUCAAAAUUGUAAAAAAUAGAAUAUUUGUUCAAAUUUGGUUGAAAAAUAAAGGAAAACCUAUCGUCCUUUAGUGGUUUUGUUCUAUUCAAUUUUUUUAUUGUUAUUGUUAUUAUAAUAAUAAUUAAUUCUCAUUUACUUCUAUCUAUCUUAUAUCGCUACAACUAUUUGUUACUUCCGUUAUAAUACCAUAAAUUUUUUGAUUAAAAUAUUAAAGAUUUUGUUUACACUAGAUAUCCACAUAAAUGUUGUGAUUUACUUUAGAGUAAUUAUAAGGAUAACAAUUUUAGUAAUAAUAAUUAAGUAUAUAUUAAUUUUUAAAAAAAAAUGCAAAUAUAACUAAGUCUAUUAGUGAAUUUUUUAUUAUCAAUUUUUUUAAAUAUGUUGUUGUGUAUGAAUCAAAUGGUUAUAUUUGCACCUAUCUCUUCUUACUUUAAUAAUAUAUUAAUUUAUUUUUCGAUAUGAAAAUGUGAAAGUAUUCAUGGAAAUAAUUAUAGGACGAUUUCAACCUAAAAAAAUUUAAUGUCUAUGUCUAGUACAUAUAUAUAUUUACUUUAUAAUUUAUUUGGUUUCAUAUUGGUCAUAUAUAUAUGUGUUUCAUAUUCUAAAUUAAUUUUAAUAUGAUUUAAUUUUCUUGGAAUUUGGAAAGGGUUUCUUAAACAUGUUAACAUUAAUUUCACUUCGUUAGAAGAAGUUGUAGUUUUGUCCAUAAAUACAGUAGAGAGGGAGAGAGAAAUAAGACGUGGGACAAAUGACUAUUGUUAAAACAUAUUAUCUCAAUUAUCAUUUAACUAAGUUUAAUUUGACAUACUAAAUUAACAGUGAUCGAUUUACAUGAUUUUUUUUGUUAUUGAAAAAGAAAACCUUGCAAUAAACUGCAAAUUAUUUCUUGAAAAUUGCAUACACAAUCUGCCACUAACUAGGGUUUUAUCUUGAUCAUUUAAACAAGAAUUAAAUAUAAUGCAUUUUUUAAGAAAAAAAAUUUUAUGAGAUUUUUUUUACAAACAUUUCAAAAUUUUAAAUAUAUCAAUUUCAAAAAUCUAGGAUUUUAUCUCGUUCAUUUAAACAAGAGACUCAAUUGUUAAAGGGAGUUUAGCUCCAAAAUAAUUAACAUGAGGAUACUUUAUCCUAAAAGUUAUAGUUUUGAUCUUAAUCACCACAAUGUAGAAAAUUAUACAUAUAAAAAAAUUAAGAACGGAUUGCUUUUACUUUUAGUAAUAUAUUAAAUUUUGAUUGACAUGUCAAUAUUUUCACAUUUACAUAUGUUCAUCAUAUAUUGUUAAAAAAGUUGUCCAAGAAACACAUAAAAAGAAAAAGAGCGACAAAACGCCUUAUAUAAUAUAAAGAAUACGCAAAAUUGAAUAGAAUAUUAAAAGAACUUUCUUAAUUAAAGAUUCUUUUUUAAAAAAACCAAAGAAGUAAUUCAUUAUUUUCCAAAAGAGAUAUGAUUGCAAAUUUGUAGCCAUUUAGCAAGAAGUCAUGAUUCACGUGUGUUGUGUUCAACAUCAAACUCGAUAGAAGUGAACCCUAAAUUUUAUGAAUAGUGGUGGUUCCUACACUUUGGUUAUUGGAUUAUUUAGCCUUCAUGGAUUUUCAUUUAUUUAUUCUAAACCAUCAAUAGUUUAGUUUUGGUUUGGUAGUAAUAAUAAAGUUGUCUAAUAAUAUUUUUAAAAAAUUACGAAUAUAACAAAGUUUAUCAUUUUAAAAUAGAAUUGGUCUAUCGCUAAUAGACUAUGCCAAUAAAAUAAGGGUCUAUUAACGGCAAAAUGUUCAAUUUGUAAAAUUAUUUUUUUUUCUUUUAACAUAUGUAUACAAAUUGUGUAGGAUAAUUUAGAAUCAUAAGGUUAAGUAUGUAAAUAAAAUUUUAAAAUAUUCUCCAAAGAUAAUAUCCAUUUUAUUUUAUUAUAUUAGAUAAACAAAUAUAUUUUAAAAUUCUAAAGAUUAUGUUCCAUAAAGUUAAAUGCAUUUAUAUAAAAAUAUAUGGAACAUUUUAAAAUAUUAUUAGAUUGCAUCAGUUGAAUCGGUUGAUUUCAUACCCUAAUUGAAAUUAUAUGAAAUUAUGAAUUACAAAAUUUGCUUAUUUCUUAAUUUCGAAAAUUCUAAAAAAAAAAUAAUUUAAAACUACUUUUUUUUUACAUUCUAUUUUAAAAAAAAAAACUUAUCAUAUUUUCUUUUACUCUAUUACAGUGAUUUUUAUGGAUAUUUUUUUAAAACAAGUUCUAGAGGUUGAGAGGUGAAUUUAUACACCCAAAUAUCUCAACUAGGCUAGAUUUGACACAUUAUUAGUCUUUUCAUCACGUCCAUGUCCAAAACGAUACACUGAUGUAUGACUUUACUUAUUUUAGUUUUAAAAUUUUGACUUGGUUUUUUGAAACAUUGGUAAAAGUAUAUAUCAAACCAAACGAUACCUAGAUGUAGAAGAUGUCUAUAUUGACUUAAUUUUCUAAACCGAAAAGUAAAAAACAAAAUUGGUCACCAAAACGAGAUUGUUUUUAAAACAUUAGUAAAAAGUUCAAAUCAAGUAGGCUAAGAUCAAAAGCUUGAGCCAAUUUUUAUGGCAUAGUACUUCUACUUCUAGGGGAAGAUAUCAAAUUAAAAAAAAAAAGUUUUCAAAUACAUAAAAAAAAAAAAAAUAAUGCAUGAGUUAGGUCAAUCUAUACCUGUCAACGUGAAUACCCAAAUUAAGUUAAAUAAACGAAGCAAUUAACAAGGAAAGAGAGAAUAUAUUGACUUAUAACACUUAAGUGUAUCUCGGACUACAUCUAUCUUCGUUGCGCGAAAGGGUUUGUUAUUUGUUUCAAAGUUUAAGAGUUUAAAGUGUGUAAUAAAUUUUAAAAUAUGUUAAUUUUGUGUGUGUAAUAAUAAGUGUCAUAAAUUACAUUGAGGGGAUCCCAAGACUAUAUAAUAAAAACUAAGAUGUAAUGAUCAUAACAUACACAACGUGAAACAUGUGAAAGCCGGGAGGGAUGGGCCUUUGAUUUUACUAUAUAACUCGUCGGAGGAAAUUAUAUCCAUCGCCCAUUAAUAACAUACACACAUACACAUUAAUUAGUACCACACUAUUCCACACAAUUAAUAGAAACACACAAAAAAAAGAAGGGAAUUUGGCUAUUCAAUUUUUGACCUAAUUUAUUGCUCAUUUUAAUUUUAUGGACUUUUUAUAGAUGAUGAAGGACGUUCAACUGUUGGCUUUGUAAUUGUUGAACUAAAACAUAUUUUUUAAGCUUUUUUUAAUUAUAUAGAGAAAUAUGGUCAAGUAAUUAUAGUUAAUUGACUAAUUAAUCUUUUAAAUAAUUAACCUAUACAUUGUUGCUAACUUAGUUGAUCCAAUGGCUCUUCUAUGACCAACACAUUUAGUUGGCUUAAUAAACAAACAUUUCAUUACAAAUGUCUAUCAUUGUCAAUCACACUUAGACAUUAUUAUUUUUCUCUCCUACGUUAAUAAACCCUAAGAAUCAAUUUUACGUAGUUUUUGUUGAUCUUAUGACGAGGGUUGAUUUCUUCAACUUCAAUGGUUGGGUCACGUUUCUAAUAUUUAUGUGAUGUUUUAGUAAAUGAUAUAUAAAUUUUAAUAAGUGACUUUUCAUGGAAGUAGUAUUGAAAAUUACUUUUUCCUUAACUUACCUAUUAUUAUAUAUUACGAAGUCAAAAAUGAAUCGAAAAAAAAAUUAACACAAAGACUUGAAGAAAAGAUAAUACAAAUUACAAAUACAUUAGUAAAGGUUAUACAACUAAAAUUUGGGGGAGUGAAACUCAUAGUUGAUCAUUUAAAGGGUAAAGAUAACACAUUGAAGAGUUGAUAGGAAUUGCAAUAUUUUAUGAAAGUAAAGCCAAAGUGUAUAUAUUAAUUUAGGAAAGAGACAGAUCCAUCAUUCUUCCCUUUUUUAAUCUCACCACCACCCAUCAAUUCUUCUUCUACUUAUAACUUCGUGAUUCACGUUUUUGUCUUUUGUCCCUUUUACAAAUGAAAUUACUAGUAUCAAACUUAAUAUAUAAUAUAUAUAUUUCAAUGGUUAGCCAAAAUAAACAUAUAUAUUUUUUUAUGGAAAAAAAGAAGAACACAAUGGAAAGUCGAAACGAUGGAUGUGAUUUAUUUAUUUGUUUUGGUUAUGUACAAAACAUCUUACCAAAACUAUUAUUUACGUGUGCAUGGAUCGGUAAUGCAAACCCAAAAUUAAAGUUUAGCUAACCUUAUCAAACUUUUAUAUGAUGAGUCUAUGUAAUCAAAUUACUUUUAGAAAAAUAACUAAUCCAUGUAUGAUAACUCAAACGGUAAAUUACAUUAAUAUCAUUGUUUAGUAUGAGGUAGAGGAAAAUCAUGUAUGUGAUCUCGAACCGUAGUUUAAUAGCAUGAAGUGAAGAAAAUUAAAAUCUCUAGUAGUUAGGACUACCUUGAUGCUAAUGGAACUAAUUAAUCACUACUUUAAAAUCAUACUAGCUAAUGGGUGACAAGUAAUUUAUGGAGAUAGUAUGAAAAUUAUUCUAUGGCUUAGUAUUGACUAUCUUUCUAUUGGCAUUUAGUACAUACUUUUCUAUUCCUAUAGCCAUACGUUGUUCAAUCCAUGUUCGUAUCAAUCUUUUUUGUUUUGUUCAUGUUUAUGUUUUUGUAUAUUGCUAUUUUGCAAACGUAUCAAUAGGAAUGUAACGUGCAUCAAAUAUAUAUAUAUAUAUAUAUAUAUAUAUUCACCGACGGAUUUAGUAUAAGUUUAGGGGGCCGAGCCCUCCCUCAACUUUAUUGUCUUAUAUAAUAUGUAUAAACAAAACCAAUUAAUGCUUAAUAUUUGUUGACAAUUUAGUGGUAACUAUGCUUUGUCAGCCUCCUUCCAAUUUUCAGAUUUUUAUUUUUACUGUAAGUUAUAGCUCGAAACCCGCUGUCAAUAAAUUUUCUGUAGAAUUGAAUUGUAUUUGCUUCUACUCCAAUUUAACAAAAGUAAUAACUUGAGUGAAAUAAUAUUACAAAUCAAGCUUGAACAACAUUUGUUACAAAAUAUAUUUUAUUACUGUUGUCAUAUAACAAUCUUACAAUUAUUUUUAUAUAUAUAUAUAUAUAAUGAAUAUAUUCAAAUAUAGCCAAAAAAAUCAAAAUAUCUUCCGAUAAUUUCUAUAAAUGUUUUAGAGUAUAUCAAUAUCUAUAAAUAUAUAUUUUCAGUACUUUUGUUAUAUAUAAUAAUUUUUCUUUGAUUAACUUUACAAUAUUCCUUAAUUUUACGUGAAUACAUUAUUUAUUGCUAUGAAAAAAAUAAAUUAAAAAACGCAUAUUCAAUUAUUUUUAUUUUUAUUUAUAAAUAAUAGAAAUUAAAAAAGAAAACAGAAGAUCAGAAACAACAAAAAGAAGGUGAGAAACAAAGUUUACAAUCCAACCUUUGUUAUUACAAACAACAGCAUCUUAAAUUAAUCUUCAACCUGAAGAACAUUUGGAUUAAACGAUCCAAAUUCAAGCAAAUCUUCAUCACGUUCAAACACACUCAUAUCUUCUUCACUCAAACUCACCAACGUCUCAAUUCCCUUUCCGUCUUUUGUAUCCAACAACAAGAAAAAGUUCGAAAACAUCGAAAUCCCACCAAUGAACCAAACAGGGCAACCCCAUCCAAAAUCCGCUUCAUAAAAUUCAAAUCUACUCCAACUACUACACAAAUAGAAGUUCUUCUCUCCGUUAUACGGACCAUCUGGAUCCAUUAACGUUUUGAAAUAGCUCAAGUAAGCAUCUGUAUCUUGAUAUUUCUUGUACCCAUUCUUCUUAAACUCUUCAAUCGCUUCCCUCAUCAACCCCACCAUACUUUGUAACUCUAACUCUGCCCCCACUGCCGUCUCCGGCGUAACAAACCCGAUGGCAUUACCCACUGAGUUUUCGGGUAAAUUGGGUUUUAAUAUUUUCCGGAGAUUCACAGCUUGGCCAAGAACUGAAGCUCUUGAAACUCCGGACGUUGAUCUUGAAGCAGAGACAGCGGAUUUCCAUAACAGAGCAGCUAUAGCUUCGACACGUGUUGGGUUCUUUACUGUCGAACUAGCAGCUUUAGCUUUAAGGGAAGCGAUUUUGGAAUGAGGGAAAACGAUUCUCUUCGUUAUUCCUUUAGCGUGAAUUCCUGAAUCUGGAGUUGUUGGUGAUGCAACCGGGAAAUUAGGUGGUGGCAAAACAGAGUCGCUAACGAACUCUGGUUUUGAAAACAGAGGAUUAUCACUACCGGAAACAUUAAUGGAAGUCCAUGUUUUAACAAACGAACUAAUGGACGACGCGUCGGAAAUCUUGUGCGACAUGAGUAAGCCAACCGUAAUGCCUCCGCAUUGAAACGUGGUGGUUUGGAUGAGUACAAUACAUCCUUUGUUCGCGAGAUGAAAAGGGAGGAAUUGGUUUAGGGAAUCAACAUUGAGAUGAGUGAGAAUGUCGUUGAGAGAGUAGUUGGCUUCGGCUUCGACGAAGAUAGCGCCUUCGUCAUUGCAAGAAAUGGAGAGGUUGUCGUCGUUAACUCGGCCGGCGAAGGGGUAGAAUUGGGUUAAGGUUUGGGAUAGUGAAGAUUUGAGGUGGGAAAUGGAGGGAAUUUGAUUGGGUUUGGGAGAGUAGAAAAGAAGAAGAGGAACAUAAACAGGCAAAGCUAGUUGAUCUAAGAAGGAGAAAUUCAAAUGGUUAUGGGUUUUAGGAGUUGAAAUGGAAGGUUUGAUAAUUUCUUCAUUGAUGAUAUCUACUUUUAGAGCCAUAUGAUAUCUCUUACGUUCACUUAAGAUUUGGUUACAAAUGAAUAUGAACAACAAACCCCCAAAGGGCCUCCCUUUUAAGUCGAAUCGUUUGAGCAACAUUCGUCGUGUAUCACGUGUUCUUUUCCUACUAUUAUUGAAUUUGUUCAAGUUUUUUCUGGUUGUAUAAGUUUUCUAUAUAUUAUAUUCAUAAAUUUUAAAAUGGGUAAGUUACAAAUUUAUCAAUUAAAUGCAAAAUAAUCAAGUAUAUAACAACAUUUUUAAAAAAUUAAUAUGAUAAAAUUUGUCGAAUUCGAUUAUGUUUGUAAAUAUUGAUAGAUCAUUAAUAGAUAAUACAAAUUUAUAACUAUAUGAGUCUAUUAGUGAUAAUUUUAAUAUAUUUACAAAAAAAUUUAAAAACCUUCUUAUAUCCUUAAUUAUUAUUCCUAAAAUUGUCACUAAUUAUAAUUAUUCUUUUAAAAAAAUUUAUUUACAUCGUAGAUAUAAAAAUUGAUUUUAUGUUGGAUAGAGAAUAGUGGUAUUAAGUUUUUAUUAGAUUUCUCGAUGUUUUUAUUGAUAUUUUCACGAUUUUAUGGAUCGAAUAACGGGAAUGAAUCGAUAUUUUUCAUUUUAUUAAAAAUAUAUAUGUAAUAAAUUGUUGUUACUUAAUGUCACGACUAUAUAUAUAAUAUAAACUAUGAACUAUAAAAAUAUUUAUUAAUUUAAAUAAUUUACUUGAUUUUUUUAAUGUCUAUAGUUCUUUUAGAAAUUUUAAUUGAUUUUCACAUUUUAUUUAUUUUUUCAUAAGUAUUUAUAUAAAUGUGAGACAUCUAUAUAAUGGUUUUGGAAUUUUUAAAAUAAUAUUAAAUGAGUUAAUAAUUAUGUAUAUUUUUAAUAAAAAAUUGACAUCAAAUUACAAAAAUAUUUAUAAAAAAUAUCGUAUAGUAAUCAUAAGGUUAUUAGAGGACUAUAUGACGAUAAUCAUAUAGUAAUGAACUUUUAAAUUUGUUAUUUUUGUAAUUUAAAAAUGUAGGAACAUUAAUUCUAUUAUCAUAGCAAAUUUUGCUAUUUUACAAAGGCGUCAUUUUAAUAUCUAAACUUAAUUUAUGUAUAUGUUUCUAAUAAGUAAUCUUUUAAACUGAUCUAACUUAAAUUUAAAUUUAAAUAAUAUCUCUAAAUUAUGUUAUUUGUUCUAAAAAAAAUACUCAUAUAUAUAUAAAAGAUAUUAAUUAUCAUUUGAAUGGUAAAUUUAAAUGGUUUAAGUUUUUUGUUUAGUUCCUAUGGUUUAGAAUGUUUCAACCUUCUUUUGAUCUUCUAAAUACUAUUAAGACUUACCUUAUAAUAUGAUAUUUAAUUAUAUGAGAAAAUAGGCAAUAUUUUUUCUUAUAAAAAAACGUGAAUCACAUUGUUGCUUGAGACAAAACUUUGGAGAUUAAUUUAGUUUAAUUUAGGCCACAAAAAUAUCUUAUAUUAUUUUCUGAAUUUGGAUUGCCAUUCUUCAUUAUAUUAGAACAGAUAAACACACACAUACACACCUAUGAGCAGCUCACAGUGUACACAUCACACAUGCAUCAGUGCUUGCUAAGUUCCCAAUUAGCCAACUAGUUCAUAACUUAUAUAUAUAUAUAAACAAAAAUAGUUGAACUAUAUAGAAAGAAUGAAACUUUAUAUUUUAAAAGAAAAUUAAACCCACAUGUUAUAGUAAGAGUAAAAAGAGAGAGAAGGGUUUGGUUUGGCAUGUAUCACGUGGCCUUUGAUAAUGUUGCAAAAGUUUACAAUUAUAUACUUCAUUUAUAUAUACUCUUUAUUCUUUGGUAGGCUGUUAGUAAAAGAAAUAGAUUUUGUGAGAAAGUAAUGGAGCUUCCAUCAGUAAUGUCGACGCCGGUGACCGGGUUAGUCGCCGCACUGGUGGUUAUAGGCUUGACCUACUUGGUUCAUAGAUGGAGAAAUCCUAAAUGUAAUGGAGUUCUUCCUCCGGGCUCUAUGGGCUUCCCUCUCAUCGGAGAAACCCUUCAGCUCAUUGCUUCCGGUUACACUCUUGACCUUCCUCCCUUCAUCAAGAAAAGAGUUCACAAGUAAUAAUUGUUCUUUACUAUUCUUUUUUUUUUUUUUUUCAAUCUCUGUUUCUCUUAUAUGUUAUUUAUUAUUUGCCAGCAAAAAUUUGUUUAGCUUUUUGGGAUCUUUGAUUUGUAUGUUUUUGUUAGUUAAUUCAAGUUUAAGUUAAAAGUAAUUUUAACAGUUCAAAUAAUUAAGAUCACUUUUGAAAGUAAACCAUCUUUAUUCAAACAAAAAACACUUCUCAACGUCGAAGCUAAAUCCAAAAUGUAGGAAUAAGUUAGCAAAAGGUUUCUUUUUUCUUAUGCACUUAUUUAUAUUAACAUUAAGUAUUGUUCUUGGGGGGAUUUGAAUAAUGUGCAGAUAUGGACCCAUAUUCCGGACGAGUUUGGUGGGUCGAUCCAUUGUGGUAACAGCUGACCCUGAAAUCAACAGUUUCAUAUACAACCAAGAAGGAAGGACUGUGGAGCUUUGGUAUCUAGACUCCAUCUCCAAGGUGUUUAAGCAAGACGGAGAGGUUAAAACCACCGCCGGUGGAGCCAUCCAUAAGUACCUUCGAAGCAUCACUUUGAACCACUUCGGUUCCGAAAGUCUCAAGUCCAAGCUACUGGCUGAUAUCCAACGAUAUGUUGAUAAAGUUUUCACCCAAUGGUCUAACCACCCCUCCGUAGAAAUGCAACGUGGAACUCUUACAGUAAGUUUCGAGUAAAAAAAAACCAAAAUAGCUACUAAACGAGAGUUUAAAAUACUAAACUAACUGUAUUUAUAUAUUGUUGUGUUGUGUGCAGAUGUUAUACGAUUUCAAUGCGUAUAUAAUGUUCGGUUAUGACCCUGAAAAGUCUAAUGAGAAUAUAAGUGAGAGCUUAAUCACAUUAGCUGAUGGCUUCAUGUCUUUCCCAGUGAACGUCCCUGGAACUAAGUAUAACAAGUGUCUUAAGGCACAAAAGAGGUUGGUCAACACGUUCAAGGCUCUCGUCAAAGAGAGGCGCCAAGCCUCUGUUGCUGCUGCUCGUGGGGAUUUUCUCGAUCAAGCCCUUCGCGACAUUGAAAACGAACAGUUUCUCACUGAAGAGUUUGUUUCCAAUUUGUUGUUUGGUGUUUUAUUUGCCAGUGGCUCUAUUUCUGGAUCUCUUACCCUGAUGUUCAAGUUACUUGCGGAAAAUCCAUCGGUCGUGAAGGAGUUGACCGUAAGUAAUUAUUGAAAGUAUUUUAAAACAUUUAGAAAAUCAAUCUUCAAACAUAUAUUUGUAAUUUUGGAUAAAGUAACUAAAAAAUAUACAUGGACAGGCUGAGCAUGAGACAUUCUUGAAACAGAGAAAAGAUCCAAAAUCUCCCAUCACAUGGGAGGAAUACAAGUCAAUGACAUUUACGCUUUACGUAAGUUAUAAUUAUGAUAAACGUAACGUUGUUUACCGUUGAAGUGGUUGUAUGUAUAUGUAAUUAUGUUGCACAUGCAUGCACAGGUUAUAUACGAAGUUUUUAGAUUAUCAAACGCAAUGCCUUUUCUGUUGCGGAGAACUACAAAAGAUGUGAACAUAAAAGGUAAGUAACCAUUUUGGAUUUAAAUUAAAAAUUUUGUAUAAUGCAUAUGUUAUAUGUAUCAAUCUGUAUGAUGUUGAGUUGGUCGUGAAAAUACAUGCAGGAUAUACAAUUCCAGCAGGGUGGACGAUAAUGGUUGCCAAUUCAGCUCUUCAUUUGAACCCUCAAACCCACAAGGAUCCCUUGGACUUCAACCCAUGGCGCUGGAAGGUAUAUUAAAAAGUGUUCCAAACAUGUAAACAAACAUAGACAGUAUAAAUAAUUGUAGCUUAAGGUAGGAAGCACAUAUGAUCAGGUGUGUGAAUAUGCAAUAACUCACAUGAGGUUAACAUUGUUGUAGGAUCAUGACCAAUAUUCGAUUUCGAAGACCUUGCAGCCUUUUGGAGGAGGAACUCGACAAUGCGCCGGAGCUGAUUACACCAGGGUUUUCAUGGCCAUCUUCCUCCACACUCUUGUCACCAAGUAUAGGUAAUCUUAGCUUUCAUUAAACUGAAAAACACUUGUCCGCUAGUUGGAUUAUUGCACUCAUUUUUUUUUCAAACCAAGCUGUUCAGUAGUCUAAUCAUAUAAUGAUCUAUCAUGUGUUGAACUUUAUAAACUUUCACUUGUCUUUGUUUAACUCAACAAACUGCAUAAUUAUUUCUAUGUUGGGAAUUUCAUUUUACAGUUGGAAAAAGGUGAAGGGAGGAGAAGUUUCUCGAAGUCCUAUUCUCAAAUUUGGAGAUGGCAUUCAUGUCAGCUUCUCAGCAAAAGCUUAAAAUUAAUCUCAAUAUGAAAUGAAUGGAAAAUGAGCUAAAUCCAAAUGAAAAAAGAAGCAGCUUUGGUUUUGUUCUUAUUUACUUGAAUCAGUACGUUUUGUUUGUUUUAUUGAAUAAAGACUUGACACCAUUUGUAUACAUACCGAGCGAGUGUAGUUUAUCAGUGUCAUAUUUGAACAUCCAUUAUAUCAGGAAGUUAAGAUCUUAUCCCCUUCUUCAAAUUUUAUGGUGACCAAAUGCCACACUUAAGUAGUUUUGAUGCUUUGAAAGACUAAUUAUCAUGUAAAGUAUGGGCAUGAUCUAAAUCUUUAACGGCUUGAAAAAGGACUAUCCAAAUCCUUGCCUACACAACAAAAUACACUUGCCCGCCCUAUAAUGUAAAGUAUGUGCAUUUCUUGAUAUUUCAAACCAUUAGUAAGAAAAGUAUUAAAUAUGUUAUAUUAAAUUUGCAUUACAUCCACAAAUUUAAACUUUUUUAUUGAAUUAGUUAUUUAAGAGUAAUUUUAACUCGUAAAAGUGGAGCGUGGAACAACUCAAUCGUUGGGUAGUGAGACUCAGUAAAAAGAUAAGAAAUCAAUUUUUUCAAAGUUAUAUGUUCAUUUUGCUAAUUAGUUCCUUCAACGGGGUUUUUGCUACUUGUUAACAUAUAUCCGUUGAGUUAUGGCCAGUUCCGUAAGAGGAUUCUCCUCCCAAUUCGAAGUAUUAUUCUAAAAGUUUCAAUGUUUUCUUAACUAUGAUAUUGAUUACCACUUUAAAUAUACUCAGGACUAUGAACCUUAGUAAAGGGGCAUUCAUCGAAAGAAUAAUAAUAAUAAUAAUUGAACAUAUUUCAUUGUUUCACACCAUAACUCAUUCUUUAGAUUGUUGAACUAUUCACUUCUAGCUUUGAUACCCAAAUCGAUGUCAAACUUGUAUUUCCCGCCCCAAUCAGGUGAUUUUCUUCUAACCUUUCUGCAUUUAUUAUGGACCAAGUCCUUGUACAUUGCUACAUCUUCCAUCCAUAGUCAUUUCUCAUUUCUUCUUCCGCAUUCUUUUGGUCAGCAACUUUCUCUUCAUCUACAAUUUGAAGUUGUGGGGAUUACUGACGAGUAAUCGGAGUAGUGGGUCGGGCUGUUGCAGUAUGAGCGACGGAGAAAAGAAUGAAAACGAUGAGUAUAUGAAGAAAAAUACUGACUUUCGUCGGAAAAAGAAACCCACGACGGAACGGAAACGCCGGGGCCGAAGUCCGUCUAAAAGUGAAGCAGUUGUUGACAUUGAAGAUAUUAUGUUCAGCAUAGACAAUGUUCAAACAAUCAGGGCAUCGCUAUUGGAUUGGUACGACCGUAGCCGCAGGGACCUUCCAUGGAGGAGCUUGGACAAAGGGGAACCUGAAACACGGGCUUACGGUGUGUGGGUUUCAGAAAUAAUGCUGCAGCAGACCAGAGUUCAGACCGUCGUCCAAUUUUACAACCGUUGGAUGCUUAAAUGGCCUACCGUUCAACAUCUCUCUCGUGCUUCUCUUGAGGUUUGUUUGGAGUUUACUUUGAGCUACAUUAAUGUCUUCUUUAGUCUGAGUAAAUGAAUUUCGAUGUCUGUUAGGAGGUGAAUGAAAUGUGGGCAGGCUUGGGGUAUUAUAGACGAGCUCGUUUUCUUUUUGAGGUAAUCUUUACUCUGCACCAGAAGCUUCAAUUCCUUUAAUAUCUGCUACCAUCGUUAUUCCUUUCAGUUAACUUGGACAUGAUUUAGGUUGACAUUUGAAUACGAGUUUCUGUAUUUCACUUCUUUAAUCGUACUGCAAGACAGUGAACUUUUGGAACAAAGUGUGAAUAAAUUUGUAUUAAAAGAUGUUUUGAAAGAUGAGGAGGUAAUUGUAAUCAUGUUUCAAAUUUUCAAAUCUCAAUGGUAGUUCACGUUUUUGUCAAAAUAAUACUAAUAAAGUAUAAGAUAAUUGAAAUGAUGAAUACCCCUUUCCAAUCUUGUCGUUAGGGUGCAAAGAUGAUAGUCAAAGAAGGUGGUAGGUUUCCUAGAACAGUUUCUUCCCUGCGAAAAAUUCCAGGAAUUGGAGAAUACACAGCAGGGGCUAUUGCCUCUAUAGCGUUCGGUGAAGUGAGUGCUUUUCUGGUCUAUUUUUUUCCAUACUCAACUCACAAGGAGCACUUCUAAUAUGUUUCCUAAGCAGGUGGUGCCUGUGGUCGAUGGUAAUGUGAUAAGGGUAAUUGCUCGAUUAAAGGCUAUUUCAGGAAACCCAAAAGACCCAAAGUUGAUCAAGCAAGUUUGGUGAGCUUUCCUCAUUUAACCAUUGUAUUAUCAUUGUUUUUAUAUUUGUUAAUGAUUCUAAAAAUAAUAAGAUAGAGCUUUUUUAUAUAUUCGAUUCAUACUAGUUUGGUGUUCAUUGCUCAUUUAACCGUUCUAAUAUAAUUUCCUUAUCUCAUCUCUCUUUUUUUGUUGGGGGAGUGGGAUUAGGAAGGCAGCUGCUCAAUUAGUUGAUCUUUCCAGGCCUGGGGAUUUCAAUCAGGCACUCAUGGAACUUGGUGCAACUUUAUGCACUCCAACAAACCCAAGCUGCUCAACAUGCCCCGUGUUUGAUCACUGUGAGGCCCUUUCAAUCUCAAAGCAUGAUAGUUCAGUUCUUGUCACAGAUUAUCCCGCUAAGGGGAUAAAGAUCAAACAAAGACAUGAUUACUCUGCUGUAUGUGUGGUUGAGAUAUUGGAAAGUCAGGGUACACCUGAGUUAGGGCAAUCUAGUAGAUUUCUUCUUGUAAAGAGGCCUGAUGAAGGUUUGCUUGCUGGUCUAUGGGAGUUUCCAUCUGUCUCGUUGGAUGGAGAAGCUGAUUUAAGCACCAGGAGAGAAUCCAUUAAUAGCCUCUUGAGCAAAAACUUUGGACUUGAAGCAAAAAAGAAUUUUGAAAUAGUUAAUAGAGAAGAUGUUGGAGAUUUUAUCCAUAUUUUCACACACAUCCGUCUCAAGAUAUAUGUUGAGCACUUGGUGUUAUGUUUAAAAGGUUAGAGUUACUUCUCCUUUCACCCCCUAUCUGUGCAUUAAGUAUUCAUAAGCUCAGUGACUUCAACUUGCGAUAAAACUUAAUCUGUAUGAGAUCUACUUAUUUUAUACUGUGAAAACUAUAUGUGCAUGUUUAUUAUCUACCUCUAUAUCACUUAUCGUGGAGAUAUACUGUCAAUUCUAAGCUUGGCCAUUGACUUAGCCUAAUACUUUCACCUGCUGCAUCAUCAAGUCAGCCUCUUAGAUCAUUUUGCUGCAUUUCAAGUUGAUAACAAUGAAAGCUGUUUACUUUCGCUUGGAAUUGAUUUUUAUCUGAUUUCUUGAAUCUGAUGCUGUAGAUAGACAUGUUUCUCUGUGACUAUGCAAAAUACUUGGUUCGUCAAAAGCUGUGGAUGGCUAUGGACUUUUUUCUUUCUUUUGGAAACUUAUGAAUUGUAGUCCUGUCUUUUUCCAUUUCAGUUAUUUUACUUUCAUAUACGUAUGUGUUCUUAAAGGUGAAGGUAGCAAGUUGUUUCGGAAACAGGAGAAGAAAUCUAUAUUAUGGAAAUGUGUAGAGAACAAGGUUAUGUCAACAAUGGGCUUGACGUCCAGUGUGAGGAAGGUAAGCACAGAUGGCACAUUUGAUGACUUCUCGUUCUGUUAGUUCAAUAUUACUUCCAUAAAUAUUUAAUUUGAAAAUAUUUAUUUUCAUCUACUAAAAAAUCUCAAUCUAUCUGCAUAACCCUCAUUGUUAAAUUUGAAAGAAAUCUAUCUGCAUAACCCUUCAUUGUUAAAUUUGAAAGAAAUUCAUUCAAGAUCGUUUGGGAUUCUAUGAUGCACCAAGCCAUUAUUUAUAGGUGCAGAGUCCACAUCGUUUGGGAUUCUAUGAUGGAAGGAACCAAUAAGAGGGAUUGAGACUUGAAGAUGCAUUGAGAAGGGAUAGACGUUAAUUUUUUUUUUCCAUGACAAACCUUUUGAGUAAUGAGAAGUUGUGUGGCCAAGACAUUCAUUUAGUAACUACAAAUUAGUACUCGUAUCGUCACCAAUGUUGAUUGGUAUGGAAGUGAACAUUUGAGUUUCAAAAUGAUAUAUAAAGUAGAUAAAGUGACAUUGUCAAUUGGUAAGUUAGGAUGUCUUUGAUCACAUGAUCACUCUCUUUGAGUGUCUUCGUACAUUCAUAUUUAGAUAUUGAUUGGAUAGAGAUCUGAUAUUUGUAAACCGUAAGUUUUGACGAAAGUCAAGAGCAUCAUAUGAAAUUAUUUCUUCCUAUCCGUUGGGGACAUCAUUAUCACCUCUAUAUUUCUAGUCAGCAAUCGUACCAGAACUAUUAUUGUCAUUUUCUCCAAAUAAAAAAAAAAAUGAAACUGGCAUAUUUUUCUGAAGCUUCGUUCAACUAUCUGUUGUAUACACCACGUUAUAUCUGUCAAUGCAAUCACAAAUUCCCUUGAACAUCCUUGUCAGUUAGUCAUUAGAUGUGAGUUGUAUAUGUAUGGUUAAAUGUGAGUAUUUAUUUUUAAUUAGAGAAUUGUUUUCUAACCAUGUACAUGUGUAAUGCACAAACAAUUAUAAGCUAAUUUGACAUCUUUUCGACAGGCCUAUGCCAUGGUCGAGAAAUUUCAGGCAGGGAAGACAUCUUCUAGUUCUAACUGUGCACUACCCAGAAAGAAACAGAAAUCUUGAACUGCAGGAGCUCUCGACAUUUACAUAAGUUUAUUUGAUGCCCUUUCCAUUUAUAGAUUGUUUUUUAGGGGGGACAACAACUAGAGAAUGGAGGAGCGAACUUUGAUAUGUAGAGAGGAAGGUAACCUCAAUUAUCAGUGAGCUAAGUUUGCUUUAACAGUCACGUUUCGGUUUUUCCAUGAUAAUGUGAGGACAAAAAGUUCAAGAAUGUAUUCAUCCAGAAUCCUUGUAAACCAAAAUAUUUGAAUUCUCUGGACUUUGGUUCUAACAAUUCGAUAAAACUAAUAGGCAAAGUAUAUCUAGGCUGUCAGUGGCUAUAUAAGGGCGCCCAUGGAGUUUCAUAAUUGAAGAACUUGGAAUAUUGUUCAAAUGGAAUCAUAGAAGAAAACUUGGAACUUCAUCCUUUUUUGUUUUAAAUAAUGGAGUUGGGUUCCGAUGAGCAAAUGAAAGAUUUAUCCCCCAUGCCAGUGGAAAAAGACAGAAGGAAGAAGGGUAUCAGAAGCAAAUGUCUUUUAUAGUCAUUCAACAGACAAAGCUUACAUGUAUGAGGUUGUUUAUAGUAAAGAAAAUAGUGUUCAGCAAACAUGUAGGAUAUUAGAAUUUAUAUAGUUAAUGUCUUGGUUUGAACUUUUUAUUUCUUGAGUACAACCGUGGGGUUUAAGAUUGAACAUCGAACCUCUCCGAAAGGAAGUUAUGCCAAUAUCAUUGAGCCAAGUUUACUUUGACCACGGUUUGAAGAUUUUCUCCUUAAGAUCACAGUUUAUAUUUGUACCACUAAACCAAAUGAUGCAUCGAUGUUCAACGAAAAAAAGAAGUUAUUUCCCAUGUUAAAGUCGAACUUACUUUUUACUUUGCACACUUUAAUAGGUUUGGUAUAUUUUGUUGUUUCUAUCAAUGUAAGCUUCUUUUUAAUGUCCAUUGAGAAAGGCAAUGACAGUUUUCUCUUUACAAUAAGUCUUGCUUUGAACCAACAAAUCUUCUCAUUUACUCUGUGUUUUACAACACUAUAAUUGCAUCCAAUGGUUUUCUGGGCUUUGGGUAAAUAUGUUAGUCCCAAUUAAGAAUAUGCCCAUAUGAUAUUUUUUAUUGUUUUAAAGUAUAUAGAAAUGUUAAUUAUAAUUAGAAUAUCGUAGAUCAUUAAAAAUAGGAAAGUGAUAGCACAAUUUUCUCACUUUUCAUAUUCAAAAAAUCAAAUUUCUUUCGUAUUAUAUCUUUUAUAAAACAUCGCGUAAUAUAUAAAACUAAUAUAAAUGUAAAUAAGGUUUGAUAUAUAUAAUAAAUUACAUAUACAAAGUAUUAUAUAUUACGAUAAUAUUAUAAAAUUAGUAUAAUUGUAAAUAAUAUAUGGUAUAUAUAUUAUAAAACAUCAACUAAAAAAUAUUAUAUUUUACAGGUAAUUUAUAAAACUAAUAUAAAUGUAAACAAGAUGUGGUAUAUAUAUAAUAAAUCACAUAUACAAACUAUUAUAUAUUGUGAUAAUAUUAUAAAACUAGUAUAAUUAUAAAUAAUAUGUGGUAUAUAUUUACUAAAUCACAUCAUAAAAUCAUUAAAAUGAAGGGUAUAUCGUUAAAAUAUACGAUAUAUACGCAUAUGAUAUACAUAUCUCUCAAUUAUCUAAUCACGUAGUUUGGUGUUUAACUAUAUAAUUUUAAACAGGUAAAAGAACAAAUGACUUACUGUGAAAAUUAUCUUAGCUUCAGGUGAUGGAGAAUUGUAAAUGUCGAUUUGUAAAAAAGAUAGCAGCUUACGAUUAUUACAAAAUUGAAUACAAAUUUGGGUAACGAAAAAUUUUAAAAUGUUAUGCACGAGAAUAUAGAGAUACCAGUUGAGCUAAGCUUAUUUUUGGCUAAAUUUGUAUUUAUUGUUUGGUUGAUGAAAAGAGGAAGAGGGAGAGACCCAAAUGUGAAUGGAUUUAUUUGGGCCAUUUGGGAAAGUCCAUUAAUGGGAUCCACGCACCGGUCUUUUGCUGUCGUCUCUCGUCGACGCCUUCCCUUCUCUUCCUCCUAAAGCCCUAAACCCCGUCGUCGUCGAAGAAGAAGAAGAAGAAGAAGAUGGUGAGACUGACGGUCGAUUUAAUUUGGAAAAGCCCUCAUUUUUUCAAUGCCAUUAAAGAGCGAGAACUGGACCUUCGAGGUUCUUUAACUUUUCUCAACUCUUCCUUCUUUCACACUCUCCAUCACGCAUUUCCUUCUUAACUCUUUUCUUCUUCUUCUUCUCUCAGGUAACAAGAUAGCAGUGAUAGAAAACCUAGGUGCCACCGAGGUGAGUCAUUCCCACUGCCUCCUUAUUAUCUCUUUCUUUUAAAUUUCUGGAACUCGAACAUAGAUUUAAAUUAUAUUUACAUGCUGGCGAGAAUCGUUCUGCAAAUUCAACUUCACUUCAAAUUAGUAAUAACAGUUCUCAAUUUCUCUAUACCAUUACGAAGUUUAUUUGAAGUUUCGUUUUCCUUGAAGACAGCCUAAUAAACUAUAAUUUGAGGCCAUAUGCUUUGCAUUUUCCCUUGAGUCAUAAGAGUUUUAAAUUUUAUCAUAUUGAGGAUUCAAUUGUCGCUUUUAACCACAAGGAUCAGAUUUGAGUACUAAUAGUUUUUUUCCCAUAGAAUUAUGGCUGGUUACCACCUACCCGAGAGGACUUUUGAAAAGUAAUGUUCCGUAUCCUUUUUGUAAGGCAGAAGUUGGGGUCAAGAUUUCUUUUGAGAGAACCCAGCUCACAGUGAAUGAAGAGGUGGUUGUGGUUCAUAGUUUUCACAUCUUUUCUGCAUAUGAUUGAUAGAUAUGAGAUGUUAGGCUAUAUAGAAAGUGAUGACCUCCUUUGCCUUCUGUCUUGAGAUUAACACUUAUGUAGGCCGUAAAUAUAAAACCUGUUAGGGAGCUUACUGGUGUAAACCAAUCAGUAUUUUUUUCUUGAAUCAAAAUUGUGCCCUUUUACCAAUAGGACUACUAUUUAUACUAGUCUUUCUCUUAACCAGAAAUAGCAAGCUUAACUAACUACUCUAACAGCUAACAACCAACUUUCCCAACAUCCAUAUCAACUGAAAAUUUACCCACAUCACUCACGUUCCAAAAUAAGCUCCACAAGAGAAGAACCCAACUGGAUUAAUUAGAGGCAAGCAGUUAUUGUUGUUUUGUAUAAAAAACAAUAAUUGUCAAAUUGGAGUCAACCUUGAAGUUCACUGACAUAUGAGAAAAGAUGCCGUCUGAAUCAAGUUUCCAAAGCAGUCCAUCCUUAUAAGUGCUUAGCGUUAUCAGAUUGAGCUUAAUAGAAAAAAGGAUGCACUCUUUACUUUUCAAUCUCCUAGUCUCCUCCUCAAGCCUACAUCCCAUAGACUCCUGUAUCUGUAGAUUCUUAAUUUCGGUUUUUGGAACAUCAGUAUCUUGUGAGAAAUAGGAGUGUCUAUCAUCCAACCAUCUUUCACAAAUGUAAUUGUCUCUCAUGCCAACUUUGUCUACAAUUAAAUUACAAAUUAUCAAUGGACCUUGGGUUUUGACAACUCCGUGGCUAACAAUCAACUCCAUGAUCACGACCUUCUACAUUUGUGAGCCAUCGGAUGGGAUAAGAACAGCAUUUACUCCAUAAAACUUCUACACCAGUGCCACUGUAUUAUUAAGGUUAAAUUGCAUACAUCUAGACUAAUCUCCUAUUAAAAUGGACUGAAUACACCAAGAAGGUUGCGCAAACAGACACUUGGUUACAACAUCAUAAUAUUUUUUACUUGUAGUGCUUUCUCAUCUGAACUCAUAUGUUUCCUCUUUAUCUGUUUGUUUGGGGAUAAAAUGAUUGGCAAUUUAUCUUGCUUCCACAAAAAUGAAAGAAAAUGGUGUCUGCUCUUUGUUUCCUUUUAUUUUCUAGACAUAUAACAGUAGCUUUUCCGACCACAAAUUUCAGGAUCAAUUUGAUGCCAUUGAUUUGUCUGAUAAUGAGAUUGUAAAGCUGGAAAAUAUGCCCUAUCUUAAUCGAUUGGGCACAUUGCUGAUCAAUAACAAUAGAAUCACUCGUAUCAAUCCAAAUAUUGGAGGUGAGCUUUCCAUUAUGCCUUCAUAGUAUUAUAUAGGCACUGUAUGGUAACCAUUUUGGUUUUGUGUUCUCUUUCAAAAUAUUAUAUUUUUUACUCUGAAAAUUUUGUUUUGGUGAGUUUUCCACCUUUCAUGAGAACACAUUUGAAGUCUAAAUCAAAAUUCAAAAACAAAAUCAAGAUUUUAAAAAUUACUCAUUUUACUUCUCAAAAUUUUUCUUGGCGUUUUCAAAACGAUAUUUAAGUGCAGGUGAUGAAUGAAGGAAAUUAUAUGUGAAAGUAUUGUUUACAAGCUUAAUUUUCAAAAAUAAGAAAACCAAAAAAACAAAAUGGUUAUUUGAUGGGCUUUAGCAGUAUUAUUUUUGAAAUUAUGUUCUUAAAAAAUCAAUUGUCUUUGUUCAUUUCAGAGUUCUUGCCAAAUUUACAUACACUAGUUCUUACAAACAACAGACUUGUGAACUUAGUAGAGAUUGACCCGCUGGCAUCCCUUUCGAAACUUCAGUUUCUUAGUUUGUUGGAUAACAAUAUUACAAAGAAGCCAAAUUAUAGAUUGUAUGUCAUCCACAAGUUGAAGUCAGUCCGGGUGCUUGAUUUCAAGAAAGUCAGAAACAAGGUAACUUUUUCCUGCAUUUGGACCUUACUAUUUAAGGAAUGGCUUUAAUUCUAUACUUGUUUCUGCAAUUUACAUCGACAAUCCAGAAACAUUUAGAAGAGAAUUUCAGGUUUGAUUCAAAUUUUAUAUCCGAUGGUGUAUUUUGAAAAUGUUCUAACUUUUAGUAUUUGUAAGUAUGUAGACCUUGAGUUUUUUUUAUUGUAUUUAAUAUGAUAUUUGACUCUAAGUUGUGUUUUGAUUGUGCUAGUUUCUAACAAAUCUUAAACUUCUUGCUAUUUUUUGAAGUAUUAUGCAAUCCAUGUUCUAUUGUUUAUUAGAGACGAGAGGACACGUUUCCUGCGCAUGAUAAAUGUGCAUAUGCUCAUAUGUUAAUACCUAAAGAAUACAAAUGCAUUCAGUUUUAAUGUCCACAAUCAUGUGCCUGAGAGUUAGUUUUUUGGCUAAAGAAAUAAGAAGUAAAAAUACUGAAGAAGUGCCUAUAAAUAGAGUUGAACUUUAUUCUAUUAUAGUAGAACAUCCGUGGACAACUAGGAUGUGCACGUGUAAGAGUCACUAUUUUUGGACAAGUAGGGUUCCACUCUACUUCAUUCAACUCCGAUUCAAUGUGUGUGCUUGGUUUAGAGUCUAAUUUUGUUCUUGAAUCUAAUUGGUGCAUACAUACAAAAAUUUCCUGUUGUGUUGGACUUUGGGCACUAGAUAUCCAAUGCCUACUGCAUCUCUUCAUUUCUAAAUGUCAAAUGACAGGAGAGAUUGGAGGCUAGGAAUUUAUUUUCGUCUAAGGAAGUUGAAGAAGAGGCGAAGAAGGAAUCUGUGAAGACAUUCGUUCCAGGUGAGGUAGAGAAGGCAUCCAAACCUGUGGAGGAGAAACAAACUCCAAACGUGUCUGCACCAACACCGGAGCAAAUUAUAGCUAUAAAGGUGUGUACGCUAUGAAAAAAACUUAAGUUCACCUGCCUUUUCUUGUCUGGAGAAAGGUCAAGUUCUAAAACUUUUAGGGUAAAAUGCACUUUUGGUCCAGAGUUCAAAGUCAAAUUGCUGAAGUUUCAAAACAGAUAUUUUAAUCCAUGAGGUCUAGUAAAUAGUUCUAUAUAGUCCUUGACAUUUUAAUUCAUAAUGCUUACAUGUGAAAAAAAGUGUAUUUUUCCGAACCUCUUUUGUUAACUACCAUUUCCUCACGGUAAAAGUAUAACAAGAAAUGUAUUUUUAGGGAUUAAAAAUUCAAAUGGCAUCACCUAAUAUAUGGCUUUUGUACAAGUGUUUCACCAUCACAUGUUUCCUACAACAUCUUCUGAUCAAUCCAUUUUUCACAUUACAGGCGGCCAUUGUUAAUUCCCAAACCCUUGAAGAGGUUGCAAGAUUAGAACAGGUAUGCUUCGUUUUCUUGUCUUCUACAGUCCCCCUCCUCAAAAGGAAAAUGGAGGAGAAAAAUAUCUAUUUAAAUGUUAUGGGAGUAAUAACGUGAGAAAACUCUUCUUUGUUGGCACAGGCGCUCAAGUCAGGUCAGUUACCUGCAGAUUUGAAUCUUCUAGAAGACAAUACUGCACAAAACAUCACAAAAGACAAAGACGAUAAGACAAUGUCCGAUAGCGGAGACGAAGAACAUGUAACAAAUGAUGAAUCCACACCUAUGGAGCAGGUACCCCAAACCUUUAUGCCUCCGAUCGGUUGUUUUCUUUGAGCAUAUUUCUUUUUUAUACCUUUGACGAUUUCUAGUUAACGAUGUAUAUUAUGUAUGUUUUUUUUCAUUAUUCUGUUUGUGGUUGUAGGAAUAACAGUAGAAAACUAUUGCUGUGACUACUGUGGUGGCUCAUCUGUAAGUGUUCAUCGGUAGCGAUCCUGUCGUGCUGAGUUGUGGACAUUUUUAAAAGAACCAUUUGAGAAGUCUAAGCAUGGCACUUCCCGGGCAGGGGAUGUUAGGCGGAUCUUUUGCUUCUCUUUGUAAGAGUUGGGUUCUCUUCUUCUUUUACUUUCUUUCAUUUUUCCUUUUUCGGGUAAAGAAUAUUCUUAAAAUAUGUACGGAGAUUUUGUUGUAUUUACCACACUUUUGAUGGCUUUUGAAAUUUCCUUUACUUUAAAAUAUAAUAUGUAAAACGAUUAUUUAGCGUAGUGUGGGGUUUUGCCUCUUUUUUUUGUUCCUUUUAUCUUCGAACAUUGAAGUCAGAAAAAAGGAAAAGAAGAGAAAAAGUACAAUUGGUUUUUUUGUACAUUUCAAAAAAUACACGUUUGGUAUCUCUCUUUUUAACUUAUUCUUUCUAAAAGAAAACAUGUUUUUAACAACUAUUCAAUCAUUUUUUAAAAAUAGAUAGAAACUAAUAGGUUAAGAUCGCAACCAUUUCACACUUUGUCAUUAAUUACAAGAAAUUUUUUUUGUGGGGUUGUAAACUUUUACUAUAAAUUGCCACCAAUCUGUUAUAUUUUUUAAAAGAUCCAUUUGAAAUAUGGAUAAAAAAAAUGCUUUCAAUUGAAUCUCUAAAUUCAAAAUUUUAAUAUGUAUUGAUGUAAUCAUUAAAACAAUUUAGUUACCUAACAAUAAAAUAGUCAUCAAAAUUAUAUUUUAAUUUUUGUUAUUUUAUGUAGGCAUUGUAUUUCAUAAAAACGUCAAGUUCUUAAUUAGUUUGUCCAUAUUCAUGCAAUAAAGUCUAACCAUAAUUUAAAAAACAUCACUAAAUUUCGGUGCAAAAGUUUAGACGUAGGCUAAGAUCCACAUUGUUCAUUAAUAAUUGCAAAAUAGAUUUGAAAUAUGUAACAAAGAAGAGAGAGAUUCCAACUCUAAAUUUUAAUGUUAGAGCAAAAAUAUAUUUAUGAUAGAAUAGCAUCUGUUUUUCCACCCUGACUCGAGGCUGUUUAUGGUAAAAUUGAAUCCAAUUCACCCUAAAUGAAAUUCGACUCCAAUGAGACUCUUCCUCAUUUCUAGACAUUGGCAUCCACACUUACAACUUCACAAAAGUACAAACUUUUAAAUGCAUACCAAAAUGUCAUAUUUAGCUUUGCUAAUUAAGCACUUUAUAUAAACAAAUUCGAUAGAAACUCGGCUCAACUAAAGAAAAACACUUCUCAUCUGUAAGCAGCUCCUAAAGGAAAGGUGUCUCUAGACCAAACAAGCUUACACUAAGCAUACUAUUAACGAAUUAAAUAUCGUUUAGAUGUAACUUCGGUUUCAGAAACAAUUUCGUAGCCUAAUUCUCAGAGAUUCAAGAACCAAUCCUAACAAGAACAACCUUCAAAUAUUGUAAAAUGCAUAUGAAUUCAGAUCCAACUGACAUGGUUUAUGAUUAUCAGCAUCGAAAAGUAGUCGAAAUGACACAAACUCAAAAAGUUCAGAGCUUACGAGCAUUGAAUAUUAUUGCAAUACUUCAAACAUUUUGUAACUGAGUAUCUGAUCUGCUGUAGACAGCAACCAUUCCACGAGAACAAGGGCGGAGCACUGUGGCAAAAGAUUGGAGCACGCAUCCUUUAACGAUCAAUUAGAUAGACGCCAAAUCCAGAUCAAAAGGACAUAACCCCUACAGGUAGAAAACAUUGAUUGAAGCACAGCGUAUAAGUAUAAAUUAAGACAAUUAUUGGUGGAAGCAACAAGAACAAGCGUGGAGAGAUGGGUUAAUUUAAAUUCAGGUCCUUUUAUCCUCAUGUUCAUACAUGUGCCGGUUGAGCUAAGCUCUUGUUGGCGAACAAGUAUGGAGAGAUAGGGACUAACUAAAUCUUAUAAAAGCCUUCACAAAUCUUUUCCAGUUCAAACCAAGACUAACCUCCGCGAACCCUGGGCGCUGGUGCAAGCGCAUGAUCCCCCAUCUGCACCAGCCACGGGGAGUGAUUGGUUGAUUGCUAUUCAGAAUCAUCGUACUCUUCCCCAUCAGAUAGUUCAUCAAAUGAUCUUAUGUCAAGCUGGUAACGAAGAAUUCCUCCAAUACCACCAAAACCUCUGCAGAACUGUGAUCCUUCCUGUGAUUUAUUGGUAACGAAUUCCAGUGUGCAACCAAACUUCUUGUACUCGUUUGCAAACCAUUCCAGCAACGCCAUUUUUUCUUGAACCUCCAACUCAGAGGAGGUGGCGGGGUCACGAAAGUUGCUUUGAUUGGCUUCCUGUUCCUUGUUCAAGUGCUUUAUGAUAAUCUCACCGGUGGAAGCAUUCUUCAAUACGUACCUAUUGAUAUCCAAAUUUUCCCAAACAAUGAGAAUUUCAACAGCACCCAUCUCCAGAGCUUUCAGUGUGUCAUCAACACCGAAAACAUAUUUCCCUGUGUCCUGGCUAAUCUCUUCAAAGUAUUUUCCAAUCAAGCGCUUCUCCUGUAUAAAUUUCACAUUAGAUAAGAUUUCGGAUGACAAUUCAAUAGCCUGAUUGAAUCCAUUUUCCCCUCCAUAAGAGACAUCGACAACAUUAAGUAUUUUGGCCUGAAGACGAGGAUCAAACAUGUCGGAUUGACUGAGCUCGGUUUUGAAGUCAGCUGAUCCAGCCAGUAUCAAUCCUGCAACGUUGGGUUGACUAGUGGCAGGAUUAAUAAAGAACUGGGUUGCAAGCUCUGCUGUUUUCCUCACAUAAUUGUGCCGCUUCUCCAUCCGUAGACGAGCAAACCUAAGUGCUGACUGCCCUCCUCUUCCAUGUUUCUUAGGAAGGUCGACACUAAAUUUGUGAAGGACUUCACGUGUGUUUCCACUCAAUGUACCAAAGAGUGUCCCAUUACCAUCCAUGACAAUGAAGCCAAACUUGUCAUCAGAUUCUAGCAAUUCAUUCAAGGCUUCCGUAUGAAACUUGUUGUCACAAAGAUAAAGAGAUGCAUUUAUAGGCCUGAAAGGCUCAAAAUCAAUGGUGACUUUCUUUUCUUUUCCAUCCUCAGUGACGAUUGUCCCAGUAUACAACACAAGCCCAUUUGGAGGAACCUUGUUAUACAGCUUGAGUCUCUGCUGAGCAGAUGUGAUAGCGCCCAAAACAGAUUGGCGAUUCACCCUGCUCUUAAUAUUCGAAGCAGUUCCAAAUUCAUCACCAAGCAUCUUAGUAACACGAGAAAUUUGAUCACGCGGAGGCAUAAUGAGAGAGAUCAUGCUAGUCCCAUUACCUCUUGCAGCUUCAAGUGCUUUAAUCAACUUCUUAAUUUUCCAUAUUUCAAUGUUCUUAUCAGUUUCAUGAGCAUCAGCCAUCGUAAUAAAUGAAAAUACUGCAGCAAAAUGACAAAAUACAUGAGAGGAUGCAUUGAAUCACGAAAAUUGAUCGUUUCCAUGAGAGACCAAGCAGGAAAAGCUAUUAAAUUAACUUUCAAAGAGAUACAACAGAAGGACCAGUGGACGUUUUGAAACGAUUUACAGCAAUACAAGAACAUAUGAUAAAGAAAAAAAAAAGAAGUAAAAUCGAGAGAGAGUUACCGCCGGCAGGAUGGGUGGUGGAGAGAGAAUGAUGCCGCCGCGAUUGAAGUUGGUGAGAGAGAGCAGAUGCCGGCCUCUAGGAUGGGGAAUUAAGCUCGUAAAGUAUACUGGGGUCGGCAAGAGAGAUCGUAGAGGGAUUGAAGAUGGCUGGCAGGACGAACGUCGAAGGGAGGUGGCGUGGUGUGAAAUGGUUGAGGCGAGGCCACGAGAUAUUGGGAUGGAUUAGAGAGGAAUGGAAGAGAACGUGGAAUUAGGGUUCGCUUCCUUGUUAAGAGAGGUCCUUUUGGUAUUUCAAAAACUACAUAAAAUAUACAAGGAUAGUGACUUUUGAUUAAUCACUACCUAGUCCAUUUCAUCCUCAAUUUUGAAUGAUUUCUUAUUUCUCUAAAAUAAAUUUUUAUUUCUAACGAAACAUACUAAAAAUAAAAAAGAGAAUUAAGAUAUAGACGAACCAUCAUGGGUUAACUUGUGGUAAAAAAAUCAUGAACUCGAAUAGGUUAUUCAAGCUGAUGUUCAUACCAAUUUACAUUACAUGUACAAGACAAUGCAUCAAACUCUAUAACAUUUGAAUGUCUCGUGAUCUUGUAGUCAUUCAUUUUAGAUGUAGUUGGUUAAUGCAUUUACAUGUUAACACUUUUUUCUCAUUAGUUGGUUUACUUGAUUAUGUUGAUUGAUUGUUGCAUCUUGAAGUCACUCUCUAGAUAAAUUUGAUUAUUAAGACACUAAACCCAAUCCAAGAGACGAAAGCACUUUCCACGAUAUUAAACAUUAUAACCAAUCAGGAUAUGUAACCAAUAAUUUCCAAGUUUGAAUAAAGAGAAAAUACUCCAACAAUUUCAACUUUUAAUGCUCUUUUCAGCAAGAUGCAAGGCAUCAUCCCCACUUGGUUAAAGAGACUUUACAAGGCUAAUUAACUUCUUAAUAAUUUUCAGUUUUCUUCGAUAACAAAUAGUUAAGAAUAAUAUUCUACCAAUAUAUAAUUUCUAUACACCACACACAAAUUCUUCACUCUCUUCUAGUACUAAAUUCUCAACAAAAGUUUCAACUUUCCUAAAAGUUGUGGCUAGGAUGUAUCUCUUUCUAUUGGAGGAACCCAUUGAAACAGACUAAGUUAGUAGAGAAGCAUUGUAUAUGACAAACUUCAAAGCUGCAGCUAAAAUCAUCCUACUGUACUUCUGUUCAUGUUGGAACCUGCAUUCUCUGAAACCAAUAAAUCAUGUUAAGUCCAUUGCUUGGAGGUUAUUGACUCACAGUCACAAGUAACUGAUCUGAGAGUAGAAAAUAGAAACUACCUUUCCCAGCUUUUCAAGGAAAGUUAGCUCCACUUGGCUUCGUAGAUCUUCCACAUCCAUUGCAUAAUCCCGGUGAUCUUCCUCUUCCAUUAAUACCUUCAGCUUCAUCCUCAUCCUCUCCAAAGCAGCAUCCAACCCACAGAAUUCUUUUAAAACUUGAGCUUUGGUUGUUCUCAGAAGCAGGAGGUUCUUUAGAGCAAUGAGGGCCUGUAAAUGCAUAUCAAAAUCUUUCGUUUGAAUAGGGGCCAGAGUUCAUGCCCUAGACAAUUUGUUGAAUAAUUCUGGAAUAAUGAGCUAAGUAAACAGGCAUCUUGAUUGAAACAAGAAUAACACAGUGUCUUUAUAGCUUCUUCUCCAAAAUAAACAUUAAUCUAUAUGGAGAUGUUAUUGUUAAUAUGCCGACAAAAUAAUAAUGAAACAAAAUGCAGAAAGAUUUGAGAAGGAAAAGAAAAAACCACCUUCUCCUGGAGAUCGAUGUCUGUUGAAUGGAUGAGAUUUACCACGGACUUCAAGAAAAGGCGAUCUCCAAAAAAUGGCCUUUCAGCUUCAUCUGGUUUUUCUAGCUGUGUCACAGCCAAAUCACUUACAAGAAAAACAGCUUUCUUCUGCAAUCUGAUAUCCAUGCUUGAGUUGCUUAAAAUAUCCUAGAGAAACAAAAACAAACCGUCACUUUGACAGAAUGUAGCAUAAAAGUGGCAUAUAUAUCUUCUCCUAAUCUUCGGUGAAGUUACCUGAAGCAUAAUUUCUCCAGCUUCGGCAUAGAAUAAUUCCUGGCCAGAUAAAUUAUUUUGAACCAACGAAGAAAUAGCAUACAAUGCCUUGAUGGCUUCUUCUACAAAAUCAGAUUUUGCCAUCGACACUAAUUUUGCUAGUGCCCCAAGUUCCAAUACCUGAAAACAAGAAUGUAGCUGGAGGAAAAUUUCUACAAUGAGAUCUAUUAAAAUACUUGCAGUGUAUGGACGUACCUGCUUUUGAACAAUAGGAUUAUUCUGACUUGCUUUUCCAAGAAUCCAUGCUGCAAUUUUCCUAACAUCAGGAUCAACAUGAUUAAGCUCGCGAGUAAGUACAGCAAGGCCACCAAGUUUGUCCAAAUCUAUGGGAAAAAAGAAUCAAAAUGUGAGAGAAGGUAAAAUAACAAAGUAAAAAAAUAAGAUUAAGAAUUACUGAACCCACUCAAAAGCACCAAACACUUAAAACAGCUAAGUCCAGUAGUGGGAAAUUUUCAAGAAUAUCUCAUGAAUGCAUGUAUUUGAGAUUGCUUACUGAGAGUAUGUGCUUUUGAGGGGGGGGGGAGAGGAAAGACUAUCAAAGUGAUAGAACCCGGAUAUAUUGAAUACAUAUAGGAUAACGAAAAUACAUGAUAAACCAAUUGAUUCGAGGUAUGUGAACCCUCCCUUCUUGAGGUCACUCACAAGUCUACCUUGAGAUAACUCUCAAGCCCUAAUUCACUCACCAAAUAUUGCUUAUCUUCACCAUUCCCCACUCCCCCAAUUUUUGAGGUCACUCACAAGUCUACCUUGAGAUAACUCUCAAGCCCUAAAAUUCACUCACCAAAUAUUGCUUAUCUUAACCAUUCCCCACUCCCCCAAUUUAUAACCACAAAUAUAACUGACUCCCCGGCUAAUUACUAUUAUGUCCUUAAUACCCUAGUUACCCCUAAUACCAAUCCUAUCACAAAGUUAAACUUAAAACAAUUGUUUCUUCAAGAACUAUUUUAAAGUGUUUUCUAAAUGUGACGUGAAAUGUAAGGAAUUGAAUGAAGAAAUUCACAAGUCCCCUGGCUCACACAGUAAUAUAGUUCAUGGCCGCAGCCAACUGCAACAACUGAAAAAGAAAGUUGUUCAGCCUGUGGCUGUUCCAAGGAUCCACAGCUAAUAGUGAUGCUAGCACUAACCAUUUGCAUUGUCUAUUGGCUCAACAAGUACCAAAAGCUCCUGUAAUGCCCGAUGGCGAUCUUCCAAUGAUAGAGAGGAAUUUUUCAAGUCAUCCACCGCAAUUUGCAUCAGCUUUGCAUCUGAUGGCAGCUUCAACUCCUCUAUCAGGUCCUACAAAAGCAGAGUACUCUAAUGAGAAAAAUAAGUAUCCAGAGUUGCACAAUGCAUGGUUGGAAACAUUUAAUUAAAAUAAUAAAAUUUACAAAAGUAUAUUAAUUACAAAAUAUUCCUUUCUUUGAUAAAUUUUUAUGCAGAAACAUAAUUCAUUAUAAUUGUAAUUUGUACCUUAAUUUCUUCUUGACGCUUCUUUAUCUCAUUUGGAGACAAUCGUUUCACAUCCUGUGCAGUAUCCUUUAGUUUUGCAGGAUCAGAAUGGCCUAAUCAGACAAAUACAUUAAUCAGGAAGUUGCAACCGUGUGAAACUUAGAAUACAAAAGAAGACUGCAACGUACAAGCAAUGAAAACACAGUUCAAAUCAUAUUAUAAAAUUAAUUUCAGAUGUAAGAAAAAUAAGAUCUCUGGAGUUAGUAUAGAUAUUCAAGAUUUUUUUAUGAGAAAAACUUUCAUUAAGUAAAAAACAAAAGAAUACAAGGGCAUACAGAAAAACGAGAGCCCAACAAACCACCCCACUUACAAAAAGGGAACCAACUAAGUAAAAUAUUGCCUAUGGAAUAGUUACAAAAGUUCUUCAAUCGAAGCCCAAAGAGGCACAUGAAAUCUAAUCAAGGACCAAAUCUCAUGAAGAUACCUCUCCAUACCCCAAAACACCCUAUCAUUCCUCUCCCCCCAAAUGUCCCAAACAACCGCACACACCUCAGCGAGCCAUAGAGAAAACCCCUUUAUCUCUGAAAGGCUGAUGGAGGAGAAACUCCUCGAUCGUUGCUCUGAUUCUACAUAAACCAGCAAAGCUAACACCGAUACUGUUAUCUGGCAAGCCUUGCUUGGUAUAGGGUCCUUGGGUGAGUAGUAUAUAUGGAGCAUGAGAGCUAAGUUAGACUCAUAGGUUACACUUCCCCCAAUCCUACCCUAUUUACUCUGACAAAAUGUGUAACUUAUGCCACAUUAUAAUAUGAAAAAAGAAUUUUUGAAGUCUAGAAGCACAAUAGGUGAAGUUUGAAGUAUUCCUGUGCAGAACAAUGUUGCAAAGACAUCUCAAAUAACUACCCCGAUAUCUCACACAAGGCUCAGUGGCAUGAAUUCCAGUCAUCCUAUGAUUGCUAAUACUACCAUUUAAAGGCAUGACCUUAUAUCGGAGCAGGAAAUACAAUAAUGAAAAAAAGAGUACCUAUAGCCCACUGUAACAUGCUAUCGAGGGAAGAAAAGCCGCCAUCAAAGCCAUCGGCGUCGUGAACGACAGAUGCAGCGGCGGCGGCGGAGGAAUCUUCCUGGGGCCUAUGGUCGAUAAGGAGAUCGCCCUCUUGUUUAGCAGAAGACCAGAUUAAACCUUCCAAAGAAGAGUCAUUUGCAUCUACAAUCACCAAUGUCAGAGAGAACCAUAAACAGAGCCCAACAACUAGGGAACGCCUCAUGGUGUUUUCUUUUCCGGAGUUUGAAAUUCCAAAGAUGUGUUGGGUAGUUUUGUUUUUCCCAAGGUAAUGGAAAAUUGGGGCAGUGGGUAGGAUGGGAAAUGCCGGCGGGAGAAAUCCGAGAGAGAUUAAAGGUCGGGGAAGAUGGGGAGAGUCAAGAGAGAGUGAGAAUGAUUUUUCUUCAAAAGUUAAAAAGAGAAAAAAAUGGAGUUUCCUUCUCUCUUUCCUCUUCUUCGCCGCUAAGAAACGAAAUCUGAAGACUAUGCUGUGUGUAAUUUUGCUAAAUUAGUAAUUGUUUGCAAAAUUAGAAAAAAAAAAAAAAAAACUAUAAUAGUUCUAUUCUAACAAAAUUACUAAUAGUUAUGACAAAAAUUAUCGAUCUCAUACAAUUUUUUCUUAGUUUUUUGUAUUGUACAAUAUUUGCUAUCAAUCUAUUCUUUAAAAGUUAGACUUAGAUAUAUGUCGAUCAUUACCCAUCUCUUCCAUAUUCUUCAAAAUUAAAAAUUAAUUUAACACAUGAAAAUUGAGAUCGUACAAUUUAUUAAAAUACAUAAAAAUAGUAGUCUCGAAAAUGUGUCUAAGUAUUUCUCAUUUUUAAAUGUCGUGAUUAACUUUUGAAGAGCUCAAAGAGUCCAAAAAUAAUUAGAUUAAAUCGAUAAUUAAACUAUAAAUUAUUUCAAAUUCGUACAGUACACACUAUAUAUAUAAUAACAAAAUAGCGAUUUUAUUACUUAUAUAUAUAUUUUAUAUAUGAACAAAGAUAAUAAUACAAAAAGAAAAAAAGAAAAAAAAAACCCAAAACAAAGCUUUGUAUAAAGACAUACAUGCAUGCAUUUAUUUAUUAUAGGGGUAGCACACUCAUAUCAUCGAGAAAAAAAAAUUAAUAGUACUAAUAUAUAAAAUCGUUUGUCACGUGACAACUUGUAAUUCAAGGACGAUAUUAUUUGGUAAUAUCCCCUUUAAUACUUAUUUGUGUGGAAACCAAGAACUUGGUAGACGACUUGAAUAAUAAGGAUAGCGAAACCAAAUAUAGCGGCAAUGAAUGAGAUAGUAGUCCAUGGGUUUUGAAAGUAAUUUUGUUUAAGAUUAGCAAACCAUUUAUACCGUGAUUUAUCUUAUUUACAAAUACAACAAAAUAUUUCCGUAUAUUAUUUUGACGGACAUAGAUAUAUCUCAUGUUAAUGGACUUAUUUUAAAAUCAAACUUCAACAAAUUUAAAUGAACCCUCCUCCCAAUUCAACAAACUCUAAUCUUAGUAUUAAGAACACAAACUAAAUUCUUUAGAAAGUUAAAGAACUUUGUUUGGUAGGCAAUAAUAUUUGGAAAAAAAGAAUUCAAUAUCCUUUCUUAGAUGUGUAUUUGACAGUGGAUUAAAAAAUUAGAUCUUAGUUUUAAAAAAUGGUUCGAAAUGUUUUUUUUUUUUUUGUUAUAAAACAUAAUUAUAAAUUAUAAAACUUAUUUAGAGUUACUUACUAAAUAUUAUUAGAUUAACUAUUAGCUUGUAUUAAUUAAUAAUCUAUGAAUAAGUUUUAUGGUAAAAAAUUUAGGUAUAAUUAUUAUUUUACAAUAUCAUAUAAGUUUAUAAUAUACUAUAUUGUAUUUCAAAUAUAUCACAAUACUCUAUUUCAUAAUAUGACAAAAUAUAGACCAAAUUAUCAUAUAUGUACAUUAUGCAAGUAGACACGUAGAUAAUUUAAUCUUAAUCUAUCACAAUCAAUAUAUUUUGGUAAAGUUUUUUCGAUGAAUAUUUUGUUUAACAAUAUUGAAUGAGAUAAUAAUAUUUACCAAAUGGUUGUGUACUCUUGAAAAAAGUGAUUAGUUAAAUUGAAGGAAUAUAUAAAAUGGAAUAAAAUGAUAGAUUGUGUAAACUUUUGGAUUAAUGAUGGGGGCAUCAUUCUUAGAUUGAAUAAAACUUGCCUUGAUUGGCAAGAAAUUCACUUUCAUCUAUUUUGCUUUUACUUUGCUUUAAUUUCUUAAUUUAUUUAUAUUCUAAUCUGCCUGCUCACUCCUUAUGAAACACAUGAUUUCAAAUGUUGUUCUUUUAUUAACUUAAAUUAAAUUAAUGGCACAUUUCUUCAUAUGGAUUCUACUCAAGCUAUUUACUUUUUUUAAAAAAAUCAAGUUUUAAUAUGGAUUAUAUUUUUUAAAGGACUAAAACUUCACUCUUAGAACAAAUUUGGUCAUUGCUUAUGACUCAAAGUUGUCUCAAAAAUCCACUUUUUUUUUUCAUGUUUAUAUUUACUUAAUAUAUUAUAACAACAAUUCAAGUGUAUAAUAUAAUCUUAAAUCUUUGAUUCAAUCCAAUGACUUAAAUUAAUGCAUGAAGGUAAAUUUAAUAUUAAUUAAACACAAUCCAACACUUGUGGGUAUGAAUUUUUGGGGAGAAAAUGUACAACUUAUGCUAUGCACAACAGUGUUGCAAAGACAUCUCAAAUAAUUCCUCCCAUGUCUUACACAAGUCUCAAUGGCAUGAAUUCCAGUCAUGCUAGUGAUUGCUAAUACUACCAUUUAAAGGCGUGAACUUAAUAUCGGAGCAUGAAAUACAAUAAUGAAAAAAAGAGUACCUAUAGCUCACUGUAACAUGCUAUCGAGGGAAGAAAAGCCGCCAUCAAAGCCAUCGGCGUCGUGAACGACAGGUGCAGCGGCGGCGGCGGCGGAAUUUUCCUGGGGCCUAUGGUCGAUAAGGAGGUAGCCCUCUUGUUUAGCAGAAGACCAGAUUAAACCUUCCAAAGAAGAGUCAUUUGCAUCUGCAAUCACCAAUGUCAGAGAGAACCAUAAACAGAGCCCAACAACUAGGGAACGCCUCAUGGUGUUUUCUCUUCCGGAGUUUGAAAUUCCAAAGAUGUGUUGGGUAGUUUUGUUUUUCCCAAGGUAAUGGAAAAUUGGGGCAGUGGGUAGGAUGGGAAAUGCCGGCGGGAGGAAUCCGAGAGAGAUUGAAGGUUGGGAAGAUGGGGAGAGUCAAGAGACAGUGAGAAUGUUUUUUCUUCAAAAGUUAAAGAGAAAAAGUUGGAGUUUUCUUUUCUUUUUGCUGCUAAGAAACGGAAUCUGAAGACUAUUGCGUAUGUAAUUUUCCUAAAUUAGUGUUUUGCAUUAUACAAUAUUUGCUAAUCAUUUUGAUUUGGUUGCUACAUUUUCAAUUAAUCUGUUUUUGAAAAAGUAAUACUUAGAUGUAUAUAGAGCUUUUAACUAUCUCUAACAUAUUCUUCAAAAAAAAAAAAAAAAAAAAUUAAUUUGUCACAUGAAAGUUGAGAUCGGACAAUUUAUUAAAAUGCAUAAAAAUAGCGAUGAUGUUCGAAAAUGUGCCCAAUUAUUUUCAUUUUUAAACGAAAUUAUUUUUCUUAUGGUGAUUAACGUUUUAAGAGCUCAAAGAAUCCAUGAAGUUUAGAUUAAAUCAAUUUCAAAUCCCGAAAAUAUACAUAUAUACAUAAACAAAGACAAUCCAUACAAACGAAAAAAAACCCAAAAGAAAGCUUUAUAAAGACAUACAUCCAUUCAUACAUGUCUAAAUUAAAUUUAUUAUAGAGUAGUAUACUCAUAUCAUCGUUCAAAAAGAAAAUAAUAACAAUAAUUAAGAAUAAUAAUAAAAGUGUUUGUCAUGUGACAAAUUGUUAUUCAAAGACGAUAAUAUUUGUUGAUUCUCUUUUACUAUUUUGUGUGGAAGUCAACAAUUUGGUAGACGGCUUGAACAAUAAGGAUAGCGAAACCAAAAAUAGCACCAAAGAAUGAGAUAAUAGCCCAUGGGUUUUGAAAGUAAGUGUGUUUAAGAUUAGCCCACCAUCUAUUCCAUGAAUCAUCACAAUGUAUAUUCACCAAUUGAUGCACUUCUGUUAAAUUAUUGCUCCCCAAAUCCAGAGACACUCCUUUCCCAAGUACACUAAACAAAUUCGCCGCUUCUUCAUUGUUCCCAAGUGCAUUGGCUAUUAUAUUAUCAUUCGACAAUAGCUCGACAUCUUUAUCAAUGUCGAUCAAAUUAUUCAUCAACACUACAAAAGAUGUCACUUGACUUCCAACGUCAUGGAGUUUCUCAAAUGCCAUCACAUUUAGUAAAUUUGUUUCGGUAUUAUCAUCUACAAUUAGAAGUGGCAGUUUCAACACGCCUUUUUCAAAACUCACGUUUUCAAGGCUUUUGUUUUCACUUUUUCGAAAUCUUAUUCCAGCUUCGCGAAGUAGUGUUGCCUGUGGAAUGAGUUGACACUUUAGCCCGAAUUUGUCGUCCUUGUUAUUUUUCUUUAUUUCAUCCAUAUUGGGAUAGCUUAGAGUAGAUGGAUACAAUAAUGACGCUCUAUACAUAUGUAAAAUGUGCUUCUUUUCCACUAUCGCUAGCUCAUCUUUCUCGACAAACAAUAAGUUGCUUAUAAGUGAAGUCAAAGUUGUAUUUUGAUCCUGUUAGAACCCAAAAUCAUGCAAAUUGUAAGUAUUAGAUCGAGGAUAGAAGUUCUUCCACUGUAGAAUAUUAAUUUUGAUGAAAAACCGAUGUGAGGAUCCUACAUUUGAAAAACCUCUCGUAUUUAUAAUUAAGACAAAUAAAUUAAUACAUUCUUGUUGUUAAUUGAUUAUCACGAUGCUUAUUUAAUAUGGUAUAUUUAUAUUUUUUUUGUGCAAUAAAACUACAAAAGUUUUAAUCUUGUUUCCAGUAAGAUCAUAAAUUUAGAAUUUACAAAAUUGAGAUGUUUUUGGUAUUGCAACUUUACUAUAAAAUAUGUGUAGGAUAAUAUAUUAAAGAUCGUAGAUUAAGAAUACGUACCUUUCUAAUUGGUAAUAUUUCAUACAACAGCUUAAGAAGCUGGAAAGGCAGCUGAUUCUCAAGCAGUAAAAUGUCUCGCUUUAUAUCUGAUUUCAAAGUAAUUAGCGACUUGUAACCUUCAUCGUUCGAGAAGAAAACCAGCAUGAAACACCCAUCUAUAAUCAUCAUCUUCAUGAACUCAGCACUGCCAGCAUUAUCCUUCCACCAACCCUCAUCAAGGUCAUCAUAUUCUCCAUACAGAUCUUCCAAAAUGUUCGACACAUUUCUCACAAUCGACUCGUAAUCGACUCCUUUGACGUCUACGAGAUGCCGAAACACUUUCAGUUUUUCCUGUUCCAUUGGAGCCAAAUUUUUUUCCCCAUGAUGGUACGGCCCAAACGAAACCAUGUGUGGCAUGUACGCUUCCUUAUGGACAUCUUUAAUGAAGUUUGGUAUUUUGUAAAUCGAAGGUUUGAUGGUUUUUCCUGAUGAUCCCAACUUCUCCACAGCUACUGAUUUCAUCAGCAGUUUCUUCAGAUUGUCUUUGACUUCAACUACCACGGCAUUGUCCAUUAUUGGUAAUUGAUCUUUAUGAUCAGUUGAUCUGCAAUAGAUGGGCAGCAGCAUCUGAUUCUCUUCCGCCUCCGCCAUAUUUUAUUUCUCCUAAACUUUGCUCACCCAAACUUUAAUUUGCACAUUCAUUCUGCAAAGCCUCAUGUGGUUAUAUACACACACAGUUAUACUAUACUUGUUUGGGGUUUGAAUGACAGCUCAACUCAAAAGUGCUUAUACCCCAAGUUUAUUUCCACUUUGUAUAAAGUGAAAUUGAAAAUACCUUUUCUAUUUUUAAGGGGUAUUGUUUAACUUAUUUUGUAAAUAUAACAAAAUACUUCAGUCCAUCAAUUUUUGUAUGGACAUUGAUCUAUCAAUCAAAUUCAAAUAAACUCUAAUGUUAGUAUUAAGAUCACAACUAAAUUCUUUAGAAAGUUAAGAAUUUUGUUUGGUAGACAAUAAUAUUUGAAAAAAGAAACUCAAAUUCCUUUCUUGGAUGUGUAUUUGAAACUGGAUUCAAAAGUUAGAUCUUACUUUAAAAAAAUGAUUCGAAAUGUUUUUAUUUUAUAAAACGUAAUUAAAAAUUAUAAAAAUGAGUUAGAGUUUACUUACCAAAAUUAAUUUUUUACAAUAUCAAAUAAGUUUAUAAUAUAUAUUAUAUUGUGUUACUACUAAUAUUAUUUUUAAAUAUAGCAAAAAUAUCAAAAUAUUUAUAAAAUAUAUUUAUCUGGAUAGAUCAAACUAUAUUAUAUAUGUAUCCAUUAUUAUACCAAUAGACAUAUAAGGUAGUUUAUAUUAUUAUUUCAGGAUAUGUAUAUUUAGCUGUACUCAUGAAUAUUUUUGAGAAGUUUUUUCAUUAUAUAUUUUGUUUGAAAAAAAUGAAUAAUUGAUAUAAUAAUAUUUAUUAAAGGUUUCUGUCUUUUUGAAAUGUGAUCAGUAAAUUGAAUGAAUAUAUAAAAUGGAAUGAAACAUACAUUUUUCUUUUUUUGAAUAAAUCUAAUUUGUAAACAUUGGGCAUCAAUCUUAGGAUGAAUAAAAGUUGCCUUGAUUGGCAAGAAUUCACUUUCAUCUCUUUUGCUUUUACUUUGCUUUCUUCAUCUUUUAAUGUUCUCACUUGAUUUCAAAUGUUUUCUUUUAUUAAUUAUUGAGUUUUAUUAAAUUAAUAACACAUUUUUAAUAUAAAGCAAAAUAUAUAUGAAAUAUAUCAAAUUUUCAUAUAAUUAUUUUAAACAAUUUUGUUAUUUACCAUAAUUUCAUCCCAACUCUGAUUAGUUUAUUUCUUUUAUAAAAAAUCUAAGUUUUAAUAUGGAUUAUUUUUUAAAAAAAUGAAUUAAACUUCACUUUGAACAACAAAAAUGGUAAAUUUCUUAGGACUCAAAGUUGUCUGAAACGAAAUGUGAGUUGUGCUUUUGAUGCCAAAGUCAUAUUCACUUAAUAUAUUAUAACAACCUAAGAUGAGAUAAUUUUAAAAAAAUCAAUUCAAUCGUUGUUGAUUGAUCCAAUAGAUUAAGCUAAUAAAUAAUGAAGAUAAAUUUAAUAUUAAAUAUAUUACUUAACUCGAUCCCUCACUUGUGAGUUCGAUAUAAGAAGAAAGCACCACAAGUGAAAAUGAAUUUUUGUCGGAAAGAAACAUUCUACACGACUUCUUAAUUAGUGUGCAUGUGACUACGUAAUGUUAAACCUCCAUAAUUUUGUAAUAGCUUUUAGGAAUUUUGUGUUAGAUAAGGUUUAAAAAAUUAUUGAAAUUAUUUUGACAAAUUAAUUUUUUUUUCUGUAUAGAAAGCAUAUUAUAGACAUUUGAGGAAGUUUGUUUUCCUUUUCCUUUGGGUUUAGUCGUCAUCAAGCAGAUACAAUUAGGCAUCAAAGAUAUGAUCAGUGAGUUUCUUCUUCAUCAACCCCACGGUGGAAAGGAUAUAUUGUUCCUCGUCGUUGACACAUGGAUGAGGGCGCUAUCACGUGGAAUCUUUUGGGGAAAGGUAGAAUACAAAGUUUAAUAUAAUGAGUUGGAUAGGAAGCCUAGUAAUUUUUGUUUUUUAAAUUAUUCUAUAGGCAUUAUUUUUCUUGAUUGACCCUUUAGUAAUGUUUUUAUCUCUUUGGGUUUUCUGCAUGUCUUUCUGUUCUUUCGUUUAAUUUUUCUCAAUAAAAAUAGUUAAUUUAGUUUAAAUAAUCAACCUCACACAUGGAUAGUUGCAAGAGAAUUUCACCAUCUUCUUCCUGUCUACCGUUGCUGAGUUAGGUUAGGUUAGGUUACAACUAACUUACCUCAACCCUACCUUCAUCUUCUAUUCACGGUAAGAACUCUUCUUUGAUAGACAAAAUGUAUAACUUAUGCCACAUUAUAAUAUGAAGAAAGAAUCUUUAAAGUCUAGAAUCAUAAAUUAAGUUAAGUUUGAAGUAUUCUUGUGCCGAACAAUGUUGCAAAGACAUCUCAAGUAAUUCCCCCAAUGUCUUACACAAGGCCCAUUGGCAUGAAUUCCAGUGAUUAUUGCUAAUACUACCAUUUAAAGGCAUGACCUUAUAUCUGAGCAUGAAAUACAAUCAUGAAUAAAAGAGUACGUAUAGCCCACUGUAAAAUGCUAUGGAGGGAAGAAAAGCCGCCAUCAAAGCCAUCGGCAUCGUGAACGACAGGUGCAGCAGCGGCGGCGGAAUCUUCCUGGUGCCUAUGGUUGAUAAGGAGAUCGCCCUCUUUUUUAGCCCAACAACUAGCGAACGCCUCGUGGUGUUUUCUCUUACGGAGUUUGAUGGGUUGGGUAUUUUUGUUUUUCCCAGCUGAAAUUCGAAAGAUAAAAAGCAGGUAAUGGAAAAUUGGGGCAGUGGGUAGGUUGGGAAAUGUCGGCCGGAGAGAUUCGAGAGAGAUUGAAGGUCGGGAAGAUGGGGAGAGUCAAGACAGAGUGAGAAUGAUUUUUCUUCAAAAGUUAAGAGAAAAAAUGGAGUUUCCUUUUCUUUUUUCUCUUCUUCGCCGCUAAGAAAAAAUAUGGUGUCUGUAAUUUUGCUAAAUUAGUGUUUUGAAUUAUACAAUAUUUUGCUAAUCAUUUUGAUUUGGUUGCUACAUUUUCAAUUAAUCUCUUUUUUAAAAAAGUAAUACUUAAUAUGUAUCAUUCUCCACAUUAACCAUAUUCUUCCGAAAAAAAAAAUAAUUUGACACGUCAAAGUUAAGAUUGAACAAUUUAUUAAAUACAAUGCUUGAAAAUGUGAUUAAGCUAUAUACAUCCUUUCAAAUCCUCAAUACAUACAUAUAUAUAAAUAUAAAGUAGGACAAUCAUACAAACGAAAAAAAAUCCAAAACAAAGCUUGAUAAAGACAUACAUGGAUGCAUGCAUGUCUAAAUUAAAUUUAUUAUACAGUUAAUAUUCAUAUCAUUGUACAAAAAGAAAAUAAUAAUGGAAGUGUUUAUCAUAUCAUGACAACUUAUUAUUCAAAGACGAUAAUGUUUAUUGAUUCCCUUUUAUUUUCUUUGUUUAGAAGUCGACAAUUAACUUGGUAGAUUGUUUGAACAAUAAGGAUAACGAAACCGAAAAUAGCGGCAUUGAAUGAGAUAAUAGACCAUGGGUUAUCGAAGUAUUUGUGUUUAAAAUUAGCACACACCAUCUAUUCCAUGAUUCAUCACAAUAAAUAUAUUCAUUCACUUAAUGAUGUACUUCUAUUAUUUUGCUAUUCGAAUCAAUAUAAUAGGCACUCCUUUCCCAAGCACACUAAACAAAUUUUCCACGUCUUCAUUGUUUCCAAGUGCAUUGGCAUAUAUUUCUCUUUGACAAUAGCUCGACAUCUUUAUCUAUGUCGAUCAAAUUAUUCAUCAUCAUUAUAAAAGAUGUCACUUCAUUUCCAACACCAUCGUGCAAUUUCUCAAAUACCAUCACAUUUAGUAAAUUUGUUUCAGCUUCAUGAUUAGACUUGCCAGUUUCAACACGCCAUUUUCAAAACUCACGUCUUCGAGGCUUUUUUAUUUGCUUUUUCGAAUUUUUAUUCCAGCAUCGCGAAGUAAUGUUGCUUGUGGAAUGAUUUGAGUAUUUACUACAUGCUUGAAUUCGUCGUCGUCAUUUCUGUCGUUGUUCGUUUCUUUAUAUAUUCUUCUUUUUUUUAAAAGGUUACCACCACAAAUGGGCGGGUGGACGCAAGCAUUUCCUUCAUUUUGCUUAUUUUUAAUAUCCUUAUACAACAAUGAGGCUCUAUACAGAAUGUGCUUCUUGUUUGUUAUCGUUGGCUCAUCUUUAGAGUAAAAUGAUAAGUUGCUUAUAAUUAGUGAAGUCAAAGUUUCUCUUCCAACUUGUUAGAACCAAAAUCAUCCAAAUUAUAAUUAUUAAAAUUUUGAUGAAAGCAAUGUUGAGGAUCUCAUCUCGUAUAUAUUUAUAUAAUUAAGAAAGGUGAAUUAAUUAUUCCUCUUGUCGUUAAUCGAUUAACCUCGAGUUUAUUUAAUAAGGUAUAUUAUUAGAGAAUUCAUAAAGUACGUGAACCAUAUCCAAUAAAAAAAUGUGUAGCAAAAGACAUCCUGAUAAUUGGUGAAUGAUUAUCAUCCAACGUCAAGCCUUUUCCUUUUUGCAUUACUUAGAAUAUGAUUGAUCAUCAUUCAGUGCUCUUCAGACCUAAUAAAAUUCAUUUGUUUUUCUCUUCAAAUGUUUAAUAGAUCUUCAAACUUCCAAUUUCAUACGUCUAACAAGUUUCUAGACUUAAAGAAAUGAUGUCGUCUAAUAGUUCUUCAAACUUGAAAAAAUUCUAAUACAUCUCUAGCUAAAUUUUCAAUUUCAACUAUGACUAGUCAAUCCUCAAACAUAUAUAUAUAUAGAUUUUGGUGCAAAUAAAUUUUAAAAAGGUUGAACUUAAAGAAUUAAUGAAAAAUAUGAUAGAAUUUUUCAGUAUAACAAAAUAAUGUUGUUGAACAUUUAAAUUAUUAAGGUUCAAACAAAGGUGGUAGGAUAUAUAAUAUAUUAAUUAAGAUCAUAGAUUAAGAAUAUGUACCUUAAGUGGGAAUAUUUCAUACAUCAGUUGAAGAAGUUGGAAAGGCAGCUGAUUCUCAAGCAACAAAAUGUCUCGUUUUAUAUCUGAUUUGAAAGUAAUUAGCGACUUGUAAAUUUUAUCUUUCGAGAAGAAAACCAGCACGAAACACGCAUCUAUAAUCAUCAUCUCCAUGAACUUGACAGCAUUCUCCCUCCAAUACUCUUCAAGAUGAUCUUAUGCUGCAUAUAGAUCUUCCAAAAUGUUCGACACUUGACUCAAAAUCGACUCGUAAGUGGCAACAUCACCCUUUACCAGAUGCCAAAACACUUUCAGUUUUUCCUGUUCCAUUGUAACCAAAUCCUCGUCCCCAUGAUGGUAUGGCCCAAACGACAACCAACUGUGGCUUGUCCGCAUUCGGUUGGAUAUCUUUCAUGAACUUUGGUAUUUUGUAAAUGGAAGGUUUGAUGGUUUUUCUUGAUGAUCCAAACUCGUUCACCGGUACUAAUUCCGUCAGCCGUUCCUCCAUAUUGUUCUUGACUUGAAUUACCACGUUUUUCUUGUUCAUUGGUAAUUGAUAUUUAUGAACAUUUCUGGAAUAGAUGGGCAGCAGCGUCUGAUUUCUCUUCCACCUCCGCCCUAUUUAAUUUCUUCUAAACUUGGCUCACCCAAAUUUUGCACGUUCAUUUUGCAAAGCAUCGUGUGGUUAGAUAUACACACAUACACAGUUAUACUAUACUUGUUUGGGGUUUAAAUGACACAGUUGAACUCAAAAGUGGUUAUACCCUAAAUUUAUUCCCACUUUAUAUAAAGUGAAAUUGAAAAUAUUAUACUUUUACUUAAGGGGUAUUGUUUUCAAAUAAUAUAGAAAAUCAUGUUAAUUUAUUUAUAAACAUAACAAAAUAUUUUAGUUUCACAUCCAUCUAUCCAUAUCAAUGGACUUAUUUUAAAAUCAACCCUCCUAAUUCAAACAAACUCUAAACUCUAAUGUUAAUAUUAAGAUCACAAUAAAUUGUUUAGAAAGUUAAGAAUUUUGUUUGGUAGACUAUAAUAUUUGAAAAAAGAAAUUCAAAUUCCUUUCUUACAUGUGUAUUUGAUAGUAAUUACUUUCUUAUAUGUGUAUUUGAUAGUAGAUUAAAAAAUUGGAUCUUACUUUAAAAAAUGGUUACAAAUGUUUUUUUUUUUUGUUCUAAAACAUAAUUAAAAGUUACUCACUAAGUAUUUAUUAGAUUAACUAUUAACUUGCAUUAAUUAAUAACCAUGAAUAAGUUUUAUGGUUAAGAAUUUAUGUAUAAUUAUUAUUUUACACUAUCGUAUAAGUUCAUAUAAUAUAUUUUAUUGUAUUACUUUUAUUAUUUUUAAAUGGAGUAAAAUGUUAAAAUAUUUAUAAAUUAUGACAAAAUAAACAAGUGUGAUAGAUCAAAUUAUCAUAAGUAGAUACAUAUGAUAAUUUAUCUUAGUCUAUCACGAUCGAUAUGUUUUUUUGAAGUUUUUUUUUUUAUAAAUAUUUUGUUUUAAGAGAGAAUAAUAUUUAUUAAAGAGUUGUGUCGUUUUGAAGAGUGAUAAGUUAGAUUGAAGAGAUAUAUAAAAUGGAAUGAAAGGAUAGAUUGUGUAAACCACUAAAGAGAAUUGGAUUGAUGAUAGGGGCAUCAUUCUAAUCUUAGGAGGAAUAAAACAUUGCCUUGAUUACCAAAGAAAUUCACUUUCAUCUCUUUUACUUUGCUUUCUUCAUUUAUUAAUUAUGUUCUCAUCUGCCAUCUCACUCCUUAUCAAACACAUGUUUUCAAAUGCUUUCUUUAUUAAUUUUUUACAUUUUUAAUAUAAAUCUAAAUAUUUAGAAAAUAUACCCACAAUAAAUGGUUUCACUCAUUAAAACAUAUGUGUGUUUAAGAAUAUAAAUAUGUAUUUUUAUACAUUAUAAUAUAUUCUCAAAAGAUGAUCAUAAUAAUUUGAAGAGGAAAGAAGAACAAAGUAGGAAGCCAAAGUGAAGGUUUUUUCUGGUUGGUGUAUAUAUAUGGUUGAUGUUUUUGAUGAGCUUUAUCCUAUCUUUAUCUUUAUAUUAUUAUUUACAGUUUUAUGUGAGAUUCUUUGAUAUAUAAUUUGAGUAGGAAGAUUGUUGAAAAGCUCUUCACUCAUGUUUUUCUCUGUCUUCCUUCACAUUUUGGUAAUCAAACUUUACGUACAAUUUAAAGCAUAUGUUUAUCAUUUUUUCAUGACUUUUUCUAAAUUGAUAUAAUUCAAGAAGAGAACUAAGGUAAAUUAAUGAUUUUUCAAGUUCAGAUACAUCGCAUUUUAAUCUCUGGUUAAGUUUCUUGUUUUUAAUUUAAUUACGAAGAAGAAUGAUAUUUUUUUUCUAAUUGAGAUGAGAAAAGAAUUAAAGCAUAUUAAUUAAUAGACAUGGACCGAUCAUAUAAUAAAGAAGCUUUCAACACUAAUGUCCUCUCCUUAGUUUUAAACUUUUAAUACUUUUUAGUCAGUUUUUGAAAAAUUAAUACUUACAUGUAUCUUGAACAUUAACUAUCUCUACCCUAUUCUUCAAAAAGAAGAAAUUAAUUUAACACAUGAAACUUGAGAUCGGACAUUUUAUUAAAAUGCAUAAAAUUAAUAGAGAUGAUGUUCGAAAAUGUGCCUAAGUAUUUUCAUUUUUUCAUUUGGUGAUUUUUCUUAUGGUGAUUAACUUUUGAAGAUCUCAAAUAAUCCAUGAAGUUUAGAUUAAAUCGAUAAUUAAACUAUAUAUAUCAUUUCAAAUUCUCGAUAUAUACAUAUAUACGUGUGUGUAUAUACAUAAACAAGGACAAUCCAUACAAACGAAAAAAAAAAACCCAAAACAAAUUUAUUAUAGAGUAGUACACUCAUAUCAUUGUUUAAAAAGAAAAUAAUAACAAUAAUUAAGAAUAAUAAUAAAAGCGUUUUUCACGUGACAAUUUGUAAUUCAAAGACGAUAAUAUUUUUUUGAUCCCUUUUUACUUCUUUGUGUGGAAGUCAACAAUUUGGUAGACAGCUUGAACAAUAAGGAUAGCGAAACCAAAAACACCGGCAUGAAACAAUGAGAGAAUAGACCAUGGGUUUUGAAAGUAACUCUGUUUAAGAUCAGCACACCAUUUAUUCCAUGAUUUAUCACAGUAUUGAUUCACCGAAAUAUAUAUUUUUGUUAAAUUAUUGGUCUCCAUAUACACUCCUUUCCCAAGUGCACUAAACAAAUUCACCGCGUCUCGAUCGUUCAUAAAAGCAUUGGCUAUUAUAUUAAUAUUACCAUUUGACAAUAGCUGGACAUCUUUAUCUAUGCGGAUCAAAUUAUGCAUCAACACUACAAAAGAUGUCACUUGACUUCCAACUUCGUCAUGGAGUUUCUCAAAUGCCAUCACAUUUAGUAAAUUUGUUUUGGUAUUAUCAUCUACAAUUAGACUUGGUAGUGUCAACACGCCUUUUUCAAAACUCACGUUUUCAAGGCUUUUGUUUUUGCUUUUUUGAAAUCUUAUUCCGACUUCGCGAAGCAGUGUUGCCUGUGGAAUGAUUUGACACUUUAGCCCGAAUUCGUCGUCCUUGUUAUUUUCCUUUAUUUCAUCCCUAAUGGGAUAGUUUAGAGUAGGUGGAUACAAUAAUGACGCUCUAUACAUAUGUAAAAUGUGCUUCUUUUCCACUAUCGCUAGCUCAUCUUUCUCGACAAACAAUAAGUUGCUUAUAAGUGAAGUCAAAGUUGUAUUUUGAUCCUGUUAGAACCCAAAAUCAUGCAAAUUGUAAGUAUUAGAUCGAGGAUAGAAGUUCUUCCACUGUAGAAUAUUAAUUUUGAUGAAAAACCGAUGUGAGGAUCCUACAUUUGAAAAACCUCUCGUAUUUAUAAUUAAGACAAAUGAAUUAAUAACUUCUUGUUGUUAAUUGAUUAUGACGAUGCUUAUUUAAUAUGGUAUUUUUUUUUUUUUUUGUGCAAUAAAACUACAAAAGUUUUAAUCUUGUUUCUAGUAAGAUCAUAAAUUUAGAAUUUUUCAUAUAACAAAAUUGAGAUGUUUUUGGUAUUGCAACUUUACUAUAAAAUACGUGUAGGAUAAUAUAUUAAAGAUCGUAGAUUAAGAAUACGUACCUUUCUAAUUGGUAAUAUUUCAUACAACAGCUUAAGAAGCUGGAAAGGCAGCUGAUUCUCAAGCAGUAAAAUGUCUCGCUUUAUAUCUGAUUUCAAAGUAAUUAGCGACCUGCAACCUUCAUCGUUCGAUAAGAAAACCAGCAUGAAACACCCAUCUAUAAUCAUCAUCUUCAUGAACUUAGCACUGCCAGCAUUAUCCUUCCACCAAUCCUCAUCAAGGUCAUCAUAUGCUCCAUACAGAUCUUCCAAAAUGUUCGACACAUCACUCACAAUCGACUCGUAAUCGACUCCUUUGACGUCUACGAGAUGCCGAAACACUUUCAGUUUUUCCUGUUCCAUUGGAGCCAAAUUUUUUUCCCCAUGAUGGUACGGCCCAAACGAAACCAUGUGUGGCAUGUACGCUUCCUUAUGGACAUCUUUAAUGAAGUUUGGUAUUUUGUAAAUCGAAGGUUUGAUGGUUUUUCCUGAUGAUCCCAACUUCUCCACAGCUACUGAUUUCAUCAGCAGUUUCUUCAGAUUGUCUUUGACUUCAACUACCACGGCAUUGUCCAUUAUUGGUAAUUGAUCUUUAUGAUCAGUUGAUCUGCAAUAGAUGGGCAGCAGCAUCUGAUUCUCUUCCGCCUCCGCCAUAUUUUAUUUCUCCUAAACUUUGCUCACCCAAACUUUAAUUUGCACAUUCAUUCUGCAAAGCCUCAUGUGGUUAUAUACACACACAGUUAUACUAUACUUGUUUGGGGUUUGAAUGACAGCUCAACUCAAAAGUGCUUAUACCCCAAGUUUACUUCCAUUUUGUAUAAAGUGAAAUUGAAAAUAUUAUUUUUAUUUAAGGGGUAUUGUUUUCCUAGAUAAUAUAAAAAAUUAUGUUAAUAUAACAAAAUAUUUUCGUCUAUCAUCUUUUUUUGUAUGAAAAUCGAUCUAUAGAUAGAAUUAAAACGAUAGAAUUAAAACAAAAGUAUUAAGAUCACAACUAAAUUCUUUAGAAAGUUAAAAGAAGUUUGUUUAAUAGACAAUAAUAUUUGAAAAAAGAUAUUCAAAUUCUUUUCUUACACGUGUAUUUGAUUGUAGAUUGGAAAGUUAGGUCUUAAUUUAAAAAAUGAUUUGAAAUGUUUUGCUUUUUAUAAAACAUAAUUAAAAACUAUAAAAAUUAGUUAGAGUUACUUACUAAAUAUUAUUAUAUUAACUAUUAAUUUUCAUAAUUAAUAAUGUAUGAAUAAGUUUAUGGUAAAAUAAUUAAUUUUUUACAAUAUCAUAUAAAUUUAUAAUAAAUAAUAAUAUGUUAUUUCUAAAUAUAACAAAAUGAAAAAAAUAUAUGAAUGGUGAUAGAACAAACUAUCAUAUCUAUCAUAUAAUAAAGAAGUUUUCAACACUAAUGUCCUCAGAUGUUUCAUCAUUACUUUGGAGAGUGGUAACUUUGUGGUGUUGAUGGAGCACUGGAGGGAGGUGUUGAGGUAUGUGUUUCCAUUGAGGAUUCAACACAGUUUGACGUUCUCCCCCAUUUGUCAAUUCAUUAUUUUGCCAAUCCCAACUAGCAUUCUCAUCAAACACUACAAUUUUAUAUGUCUAAAAUAAGUCUAUAUGCUUUGGAUUGAGUACAAUAACCAACAAAAAUGCAUUUUUCACAUUUUUUAUCAAGUUUUUGACCAACUUCAGAGGGUACCAAACCAUAAGAAAUACAACCAAAAACUCUUAAAUAACUUACAUUCGGUUUAUCAAUGUCACUCAUAGAAGCAUUUCAGUGUCUAUCAAUAUUUAUUAUUAGUAGAAUUUAAAAUUUUUGUUAUAGGUUAUAAAUAUCUAGUCAAUUUUUUUUUAUUUUUUUGAUAAUUUUCAUAUAUUAUAUUUUAUUACUUAAGUUAUUUUUAUAUAUAGCAAAAUGUUAAAAUAUUUAUAAAAUAUAACAAAAUAUAGUUUAUCUUGAUUUAUAUUUUGCUAUACUUGCUAAAUAUUUUACAAAAAGAAAUACAUUAUAUUUUGUUUAACAAAAUUGAGAUAGAAAAUAUUAAUAUUUAUUAAAAGAUUUUGUCAUUUUCAGAAGUGAUAAGUUAGAUGGAAGAAAUAUAUAAAAAGGAAUAAAAGGAUAGAUUGUGUAAACUACUAAAGUGAAUUGGAUUAAUGACAGGGGUAUCAUUCUAAUCUUAGGAUGAAUAAUAUAUAUAUAUAUAUAUAUAUAUAUAUAUAUAUAUAUAUCUAAUUAUUUUAAACAGUUUUCUUAUUUACGAUCAUUAUAACUUUUAAAGAAAAUUAAAACCAAAUUUUAGUAUGGAUUAUUUUUUUUAAAAUGACUAAGUAAGAACAAAAUGUUGGUCAUUACUUAGGACUCAAAGUUAUUAUCUAAAAAAAUCGAGUUAUCUUUUCUGAGUUAAAAGUGAUUGUAUUAUUCACUUAAUUUAUUGUAACGAAGUACAUUCGAAUAAUUGAAAUAAAAACAACUGUUCAAUAGUUAUAAUAUAAUCUUAAAUUGUUGAUUGAUCCAUGAAAGUAAAUUUAAUUAAAUUCUCAUUUCUAGGUUUUGAUAUUUUUCAUUUUCAUUCCGCACUCAAUUCUCCAUUUCAUUUUCGAAUGCUUCUCAAAUUCCUAGCCAGUAAUUCUAUUUCAUCCCACAUAGCCAAAAAUUGUAGUGGGUCACUUAAUUUUAAGAUUAGUAUAAGAUCAAAACCACAUUCAAUACCCACAAUAAAUGGUCUCACUCAUUAAAACAUUUGUGUGUUUCAGAACAUAAAUAUGUAUUUCUAUACAUUACAGUUAAUUCUCAAAAGAUGAUCAUAAUAAUUUGAAAAAGAAAAAAAAAACAGAAUAAAUUGAAGCCAAAGUGAAGGUUUUUCUUUUUCUUUUUGGUUGGUGUAUAUAUAUGGUUGAUCUUUUUUUAUGAGCUUUAUCCUAUCUUUAUCUUAAUAAUAUUAUUAUUUACAGUUUUAUGUGAGAUUCUUUGAUAUAUAAUUUGAAUAGGAAGAUUGUUGAAAAGCUCUUCACUCAUGUUUUUCUCUGUCUUCCUUCACAUUUUGGCAAUCAAACUUUACGUACAAUUUAAAGCAUAUGUUUAUUACUUUUUCAUGAUUUUUUAUAAAUUUAUAUAAUUCAAGAAGAUAAGUUUAGAUACAUCACAUUUUAAUCUCUGGUUAAGUUUUUUUGUUUUUAAUUUAAUUACGAAGAAGAAUGGUAAUUUUUUCUAAUUGAGAUGAGAAAAGAAUUAAAGCAUAUUAAUUAAUAGACAUAUACCGAUCAUAUAAUAAAGAAGUUUUCAACACUAAAUGUCCUCUCCUUAGUUUUAAACUUUUAAUAUUGGAGUUUUUCAAAAUAUAUAUUUAGGGACUUUAAUUUGUUAUAUCCGUCCGAGAUUGGAGUUGUUAUACUCACAUCAACUCUCUUUAUUUAUUUAUUUAUUUAUAUAUAUAUAUAUAUUUUCUCGGUUAAAAAAUAUCAUCACGAAAAGAACAUACUCAAUUAAAUUCCUAACCACUCAUUGUUGUACUAAAAAAAAUUAUUCUUGUGCACUCGCAAAUUCACAUAAUUUGAGAUUCAAAUCAAUAAACUUCAUGAUACACAAAUUAAACGGAGAAGGAAUAUAUUAUGUUAUACAAAAAAAAAAAAAUAUGCCCUGAAUGAACAUUAGGAAUUAAAUAGAAGAAUUUGAUGAUGGAUCUGGAGGGUGUGGUAAUGUCCAAAUACUCCAUUGAUAGUCUGAACAUAAUAUAACUUAAAUACAAUAGAAUACAUCACAUCUUGCUUGAACAAAUAUAAAGGGUUAAAUAAUAUACAUCUAAUAUAAGGAAAUUAAAAUUAAAACACACACAUACAUAUAUGAGAUGAUAGAAGUGACGGAUGACGAAGAAUUACUGCUUUCUACGAUAUAACGUCUAUCACAGCUGAAAUCUGUGGAAUGAAAUUUCUAAUGAGAGCACCCUCUUUCUUCCCUUUUCUCCAUUGUGUGGUUGAAGAGGGUAAGGAUACAUAUUUUUUCGAAGACCUGUUGGUGGGGGAAUAGUCCUCUUGGUUCCCUUGUUCCCCCACCUGUUACGUUUAUACUCCAAAAAUCCCUCUUGUUUCUAAUCUCUUGAUUUGGUUAGGAAGCUUGUUUCCCUUUUCCUUUGGGUUUAGUCGCCAUCUAGCAGAGAAAGGCCAUACAAUUGGCCGGCACCAAAGAUAUGAUCAGGGAGUUUCUUCUUCAUCAACCCCACCGUGACAAGGAUUGUUGCUCGUGGUUGACAUGGGAGCGGGCUAUGAUCAUAUUAUUUUUCUCGAUUGACACGCUAGUAAUGUUUUUAUCUCUUUGGGUUUUCUGCAUGCCUUUCUAUUCUUUCAUGUAUUUUUUCUCAAUAAAAAUAGUUAAUUUAAUUUAAAUAAUCAAACUACACAGAUGGAUAGCUGCAAAAAAAUUUCACCAACUUCUUCCUGGGAACAGUUGCUAAGUUAGACUCAUAGGUUACAACUCAAUUCCCCCAACCCUACCCUCAUCUUCUAUAUUCACUGUAAGAACUCUUCACUCUAUAACUUAUGCCACAUUAUAAUAUGAAAAAAAGAAUCUCUUUAGAGUCUAGAAGCAUAAAUUAGGUUAAGUUUGAAGUAUUCCUAUGCAGUACAAUGUUGCAAAGACAUCUCAAAUAAUUCCUCCAGUGUCUUACACAAGGCUCAGUGGCAUGAAUUCCAGUCAUCCUAGUGAUUGCUAAUACUACCAUUUAAAGGCAUGACCUUAUAUCGGAGCAUGAAAUACAAUAAUGAAUAAAAUAGUACGUAUAGCCCACUGUAACAUGCUAUCGAGGGAAGAAAUUAAAGCUGCCAUCAAAGUCAUCGGCAUCGUGAACGACAGGUGCAGCAGCAGCGGCGGAAUCUUCCUGGGGCCUAUAUAUGGUUGAUAAGGAGAGAUCGCCCUCUUUUGUUUUGCAGAAGACCAGAUUAAACCUUCCAAAGAAGAGUCAUUUUUGCAUCUGCAAUCACCAAUGUCAGAGAGAACAAUAAACAGAGCCCAACAACUAGCGAACGCCUCAUGGUGUGUUUUCUCUACCGGAGUUGGUAGGAUUAUACUUCCAAUCCUUAUCAAGAUUAUCAUAUGCUUCAUAUAGAUCUUCCAAAAUGUUCGACACUUUACUCAAAAUCUGACUCGUAAGUGGCAGCAUCACCUUUUACCAGAUGCCGAAACACUUUCAGUUUUUCCUGUUCCAUUGUAACCAAAUCUUUGUCCCCAUGAUGGUAUGGCCCAAACAACACCAACUGUGGCUUGUACGCAUUCGGUUGGAUAUCUUUCAUGAACUUUGGAAUUUUGUAAAUGGAAGGUUUGAUGGUUUUUCCUGAUGAUCCGAACUCGUCCACCAGUACUAAUUCCGUCAACUGUUUCUCCAGAUUGUUCUUGACUUGAAUUACCACAUCUUUCUUGUUCAUUGGUAAUUGAUCUUUAUGUUCAUUUCUGCGAUACAUGGGCAGCAGCGUCUGCUCCUCUUCCACCUCCACCAUGUUUAAUUUCUUCUAAACUUUGCUCACCCAAAUUUUGCACAUUCACUUUGCAAAGCCUCGUGUGGUUAUAUAUACACACAUACACAUUUAUACUAUACUACUUGUUUGGGGUUUGAAUGACAUAGCUCAACUCAAAAGUGCUUACAUCCUUUAAUUUAUUCCCACUUUGUAUAAAGUGAAAUUAAAAAUUUUAUUUUUAUUUAAGGGGUAUAUAUUGUUUCUAAAUGUAGAAAAUUAUGUUAACUCAUUAAAAAAUAUAACAAAAUAUUUUCGUCUAUCAUUUGAUGGACAUGGAGACAUAAUUAUUUCCUCUAAUCUUAGUAUUAACAUCACAACUAAAUUCUUUGAAACUUAAGAAUUAUUUAGUUUAAAAAGUUAAAAAUUUUGUUUGGUAGACAACAAUAUUUGAAUUUUUUUUUUUCAGAUGUGUAUUUAAUAGUAGCUUCAAAAUUUAGAUCUUAAUUUAAAUAGUGGUUCAACACGUUUUUUUAUUUAUUUAUUAUAAAACAUCAUUAAAAGUCAUAAAACUUAGUUGGAGUUACUAAAUAUUAUUAUAUUAACUAUAAACUUGUAUGAAUUAAUAAUGUAUAUGAAUAAGUUUUAUGGUAAAAAACUUAUGUAUAAUUAUUAUGUCACAAUAUCAUAUAAGUUUAUAUUUUAUAUUGUAUUAAUACCUAUAUUAUUUUACGAUCGAUUUCUUUGUUAUAUACUCAGUAAAUAUUUUCUUAACAAAAUUGAAUUGAUCAGAUAAUAAUAUUUAGUAAAGGCUUCUGUCCUUUUACAAAAGUCAGAAAAUUCAAGAAAUAUAUAAAAGAGAAUAAAAUCAUAUACAUUUUGUAAACUUUUACCAAUGUUUGGAUGAAUAAAACUUGCCUUGAUUGCCAAGAAUUCUCACUUUAAUCUCUUUUGCUUUUUCAUUUGCUCUCUCUCUCCUUGUCAAACACAUGGUUUCAAAUGCUAUCUUUUAUUAAAUUAAAUUAAUGGCACAUCUUUUAAUAUAAAUCAAAAUAUUUAUAAAAAUAUACCAAAAUUUCAUAUAAUUAUUUCGAACAGUUUUAUCAUUUUUAUUUAUUUUUAAAAAAUUCAAGUUUUAAUAUAGAUUAUUUUUCUAAAAGGACUAAAACUUCACUCUUGAGAACAAAAAUGGUGCUUGCUUUGGACUCAGGUUCUCAAAAGAAGUCUGGUUGUCUUUUUCAAGUUAAAAGGUGAUCAUAUUCACUUAAUAUAUUAUAACCAACUUAAGAUUCGAUAAUUGAAAUAAAAAUAACAAUUCAAGAGUAUAAUAUAUUUCUAAGUUGUUGAUUGACCUAAUAGUUUAAACUAAAAAAUAAUGAAGAUAAAUUUAAAUUUAAUAUUAUAUUACUUAACACAAUUUCUCAACUCGAUAUCAGAGGAAAACACCACAGGUGAAAAUAAAUUUUUGUUAGGUGGAAACAUUCUUUUAUGAUAUUGAGAACCGAAAGUGAAGGAUUUUUUCUUUUAUCAUAUACGGGUUGAUCUUUUUGAGCUUUAUCCUAUCUUUAUCUUAAUAAUAUUAUUAUUUACAGUUUUAUGAGAUUAGUUGAUAUAUAAUUUGAAUAGGAAGAUUGUUGAAAAGCUCUUCACUCAUGUUUUUUUCUGUCUUUUCCUUCACAUUUUGGCAAUCAAACUUUACGUACAAUUUAAAGCAUAUGUUUAUCAUUUUUUCAUGACUUUUUCUAAAUUGAUAUAAUUCAAGAAGAGAACUAAGGUAAAUUAAUGAUUUUUCAAGUUUAGAUAGCAUUUUAAUCUCUGAUUAAGUUUCUUGUUUUUAAUUUAAUUACGAAGAAGAAUGAUAUUUUUUUUCUAAUUGAGAUGAGAAAAGAAUUAAAGCAUAUUAAUUAAUAGACAUGGACGGAUCAUAUAAUAAAGAAGCUUUCAACACUAAUGUCCUCUCCUUUAGUUUUGUUUUAAUAUUGGAGUUUCUCAAAAUAUUUAGGGACUUUAAUUUUUUAAACCUGUUAGAGAUUGGAGUUUUUAUAGUACUCACUAACUCUCUAAAUAUAUAUUCUUGGUUAGAAAAGAAAUAUCAUCACAAAAACAAACUGUUAAUUAAUAACAAAUUCUAUUUACAAAGAUCACAAUAUAAUAUAUAUCUAAUAGAAGGAAAUUAAAGUUUAAAAAAAACACACACACACAAAUACAUACAUAUAUAUAUAUAUAUAUAUAUAUAUAUGAGAUGAUAAACGUGUUAGGAUGAUGAACUACUGCUUUCUACGAUGACGUUUAUCAGUGAUAGCCUGGACAAAUGGGUACGUAAAGCCAAAGGUGAAGAGAGCAAUAGAGAUGAUUUGCCAGGAAUUCUUAGUUUGGGGAACUUUGAGUUUGAGAUUUUCCAACCAAAUACUCCAUCGAUUGUCAUGAUAACAAUUCAACAUCCUGAAUAGUUCAUACAUGUGGCUCUCCAAAUAUUUUGUCUGUCCUUUGGCCAAUACAUUGAACAAUUGUACUACACCAUUACCGUCAUGAAUUACAUUAGAAGAUAAUAUUCCUUUAGAUGCCAACAAUGACACAUCUUUCUCCAUUCCUAUUAGAUUUUUCAUCAACACUACGAAAGAAGUGACUUGCCUUUCAACCCCAACAUGGAGCUUCUCAAAUGCCAUGAUGUUUAUUAAAGUCGGUUCAGUGAGGAUGUCGUCUAUUGCUAGAGAUGGCAGCCUCAGGACGCGUUGUUUGAAGUCAAACGACACGUCCAUUAGGUUGUUUGUACUGCUUUUCUCGAAUUUUAUCCCUGCUUUACGAAGUUGUGUUGCCGAUCGAAUAUUGCUUUGACAGUACUCUACGUUCUCCUCAUUGGUUAGUGUCCAUUCCAAUAUUGUGAUCGUAUUCUCAUGAGUCUCAUCCUGUUUGCAUCUUGUAGGAGACAAUAACGAAGAUCUAUAUAUAUCCAAAAUGUGCAAAGGACUUCUCAUUGAUAAUAUUUCCCCUGAAAGCCCCAUCCAGGACCAAAUCAUUGCUUCUAAAUCCAAAUUCUGUGUGUAAUAUUACCGUCACAGUUGAGAGAUCGGCAAUAAAGAAAAUAAACAGAGUUUAUAUAUAUAUAUAAAUAAAACAUCUCUCUAAAUUUGGGUUAAUGGUAUUUGGCUAGAUCUCCAUCUCUUGAGGUCGUUAGAGGUUCAAUCCUUCAUAUUAUGAACUCCAUGCACCAAAAAAAAGAAUAGAGAAGAAAAAAAAAAGAGAAAUUAAAACAAGUUGGGAGUGUACGUAGAAUACCUCUUUUUCAUUUUCAUUGGUUGUUGUUAAGGCAUGCAGUUGUUUAAGAAGUUGCAAAGGUAACUGAUUUUCAAGCAACACCAUGUCCCUCUUUAUAUCCCAAAUCAUACAACGACCAAGCGAUUUUGAACUUAAUUCACUGAUUAAAUCAAGCACAAAACAGCCAUCAACAAUCAUGAGCUUCAAGAACAUUGCAACAUCUUCCUUCCAUCUAUCAUCAAGAUUAUCGUCGUACGACCCCAACAAAUCUUCCAAAAUGCUGCAAACGCUAUCAACAAUGGAUUCUAAAUACAGAUUGUUUCUAGCUUUAAAAUGGAGAAAAGCUUUGUGUUUCUCCCUUUCCAUUGGAAGCAAAUGGGGUUUCCCAUAAUGGUAUGGCCCCAAAGACACCAACUUCGGCUCAUAAGCUUUGGGAUUAACUUCUCUAAUGAAUUGUGGUAUUUUGUAGAUUGAAGGUUUGAUGUGUUGUGUUGAUAAGAACUCUUCCAUUCCAAUACUUUCCUCUAGUUUACUCAAAAGUGCAUUCACCUCAUUUACAACCCCACCCAUUUCUUCUUGCUUCAUGAUCUCCAUAAUAAUUGCUUACCCAAAACCCUCAACACCAUACAUAUAUACACACACAUUCCUUACCUUAUUUAUUUAAUUUGUUCAUUUAUAUUAUAUUCUUAAACUUCCAUGGCUGUGUUGUCUUAAUAGAUUAAAAAUAAAUAAAUUAUUAAUAUACCUCGAAACCACAUGGAAUACAAUUAUAAUUGUUUGUUAUAUAUAGGUAUAAAAAGAAAAAUCUUUAGUAAAGAAUUUGUUUAUUAUCUUCUUGUAUUUAGCUUUUAUAUACACGUGUGUACUUCAAAUUCUUAUUCAAAUUUGAUAUUUGUUUUCCGAUCAUCUUGCUUCUUGGUAUAUUUAAAUACUAGUUGAGCUAAAUUAUUGUUGACUAAUUUUUAAAUAUAUCAAAUUUAAUUAAAUAUCUUCUAUUUUAAUUAAAGAUUUAAAAAAUUUAGAAAACUAUAUCAUAAUUAUAUGAUGGGAUAAUCCAUCCAUAUUGAAGGUUUUUGGGACACAUUAAAUCAACUUUUGGAUUUGGGUUUCAUGAAUAGCAAGUUGCCUUGGCUUCUAAGAUUAUAUUUAGUUUCAUAUUCCUAUUUUAGCGAUCUCUCUUUUGCAUAUGCUUUGCUUUUGUUUAUUAUUAUUCUAAUUUCACUAUACUGACAUUAUAAUCAACCUACUUCUUUUGAAUUUUAAGGCAUGAAAAACGAGUUUGCAAAAAUUUCCUCUCAAUAUUUCGUUCAUUAAAGACGUACUCUACAUUCGCACACCAAAAUAUGGACGGGGUGUUUAUGUCCCAAAUUUUAGGAUUUGGUCUAAAAAUACUUAUCAGCUAGAUGUAUCUACAACAUAUACCUUUACUGCACCCAAUAGAUUUAAGGGCUUCAAUAAAAAUGAGACACAAGGUAGUACAUAAAGUUGAGUUGAGGAGGAAGGAAGAGAAAAAGAGGUGAUGAUAAGAAUAAUCCCAAAACCAAGAUUUAGGGUAUUCCAAUUAAAUUGGCUUUAUUGUCCGGAAAAGAAAACUAACAGAACAAAUUAUAUAACAGCCACAUUCCCCUAGCAGUAGCUUAGUACUUCUACUUUUGAAGAAACUUGACAGUCAAUACAAAAAAAAGUGAAGAGAAAAGCAGAAUGAAGUAGAGAAGAGCUUUAAAUAAAUAUACACACACAACAAUACACAUAUCACUAACAUAAUUAAGAACAAUGAUAGUGCAUUGUAAGUAUUUUUCAUAGUUGUUCAACGGCGGGUAGGGUCAAUUCCAGCAGUUUUCAGAGUUUCAGCAUUACGUGGCCUGUAAUACACAAGUGCACCCAUGCAGUACAUUAGUAUUCUUAAUUUCCAUUCAACCAUUUUAAUUUGUUGAAAUAUAAACUUGAUCUUGAAUAGUAAUACGUUAAUAAUGUAAGUUUAAUAUUACAUCAACACACUGUAAAAAUAAGUAAACUAGGAUCAAAGAGACGUUCACCGGGUAAAUGGGUCGGGAUGAACUGGAUCGGAUAGCGUCUUCGUGUCACUCUGAAUGUGAGCAACCUUCCUAAGAAAGGAUUUGUUAAUAAAUUUGUCAGCUGAAGUGAUGACGGUGUCGGGGUCCUCCACCUCCGGAAUGCUCUCCCUCUUCUUCUUGCUACAGUUAACCAUCGGCGAAUGCAGCAGUUGUUGCUUCGCCGUGUGGGUUGCGAUAGACACGACCACUGCCACCAUCCCCAUCACAAUGUAGAUUGGGGCGUACUCGCCUUUCAUGUACUCACUCCCACCGGAACCGCCACUGUACACACAUUAAUCAUAUUAUCUCAUAAAAAAUUAAUCAAUUAAUUACAUAUACAACGAAAUGGGUUUUUUGUUUAUUAACUUGGAAGAAGAAGAAGGAGAAGAAGCAUUCUGAAUAUUAUUGGCAGAUGGGGUUGUAGUGGAUGAAGAAAAACGACGGUUCCCUUGGAUCCUAGUUUCGACAAGCAUUGAUUUCCACAUCUUAUUCUGUAACAUGUAUUAAUUAAAGAAUUAAUAAAUAUCGAGAAAAGAAAAUGGAACUAUAAUCACACAUUAUUGAAGUGAAAAACAAGAGAUUGAGGAGCUCACUGCGAGAGAGGUUCUGAAUAAACCCAUUUUCUUUUGUGGGAUUUCAGAAGUUCAAUUACGAAAUGGGGAGGUUUGAAUGAUUGAGAUAUUGAGAUCGACAAUAUAUAAAAGGUUUGUUACUGAAUUUUUGGAAGGCCACGUUAGAGUAAGAAUAGGGAAAUUUAAACUAACAAUCCCACGUUUGGGCUGACACGUCGUCUUUCGUAUCCACAUAUUUUUAGGAGUUUAACAAGUCCAACCAACCUCUCCUCACGUUGUGCCAUUUUCAUUCUAAAUUUCAAGUUAUAUCCAACAUUUUCGUCGUAAAAUAACAACUGCUUUAUAUGAUCUGUUCUCAACUUUCUACUUUUACAUUGCCUAAUCAAGAAAUUUAUAUGAUGUUUGACUACCGUCGCCAAAGCCUUGUGAGGGAAAAAGGCUAUGCCGCGCGCUAAAAUGGAUUGGUAUUUGUGGGUCACUCUCCUGACGCCAAGUCCUUGACAUCAGGAUAUGUUGUGUAGCAAUUUAAGUUUUUCCAGAGAAAAAGAAAAACCCAUGUUGACAUACUUUAUUUGGUUCUUAAUCGACUAUCAUUCUUCAGGGUUAAAAACAAAAUUCAUAAGAUUUAAAUGUUUACAAAGCUUUGAGACUAAAUCUUAACAUAUACGAAAAAGUUUGGAGACUAAGUUCUUAGAAGAUAUAAAAUACAAACUGAAUCAACACAUACACUACCAUUCAAAAACUGUAAUAGGUAUAUAUGCACACACCGAGACACACAUACAGUAUCUGUGUUAUGCAAAGGGAAUAUUGAACCCUAAACCCCAUGGAUGAAAGAGGAGCCUGCGCCUACUAGUAGUUGCUUUUAAAUGGGUUAGAGAAAUUUUGGGUUAUGUGGUCAAAAGUAAUGUUUAUUAUGAUUAAUCCUUCAAAACGAAAACAAAAUAAAUUAUCGUUUUCAGAUGCAAAACAGAUAUUUGAUACGACUUAAAUUGUGUAAUCAAUCGAAUCUGCGUGUUUGAAUUAUUUCUUUUUAUUGUUUACAACCAUUAGGCAUUUUGUUGCACACUUUUAACUAUUAAAUUGUCCUAAUUACUAAAGUUUCAAUUUACAAUCAAAUAUACAAUUUGCAUGCCUAUGUUAUUUGAACGCCCUUAAUUUAAUUAAAAAUGCACAAAUUCAGCAAUAAAAUUCUAUCAUAUCGCUAUAUGACUAAAAUGUUAUCUUUGAGUAAUGAAAAUAGAAAAUAAUAACGUUCAACUACAUUACAUUUUCGGUCCAACAAAGAACCCCUAAGUAAACUAAAUAACUCGGUCUAGUUAAAUUUUAGUGUACAUUAUUUAAUAAAACUUUUUAAUAAUCCAUAUAGUUCACAAAAUUCUCAUAAGAGUCAUAUUAUAGCUUUUUUGCAAACCAAAGCUAUCAUUAUGUAUGAUCAUUGAUUGGCCGUAAUCAGUUUAAGUCAAUUUUUUAAAAAAAAUUUCUCAACUUCAAUCCAUGAAUGCUCACACACCAUAUAUUAUCAUACUAAAUUAUAAAAAAAAUUAAAACCAUGAGCAAUCACGUUGGGUCAAACUAAACAAUGCAGCAGCUUUCGUGCAAAAAAGUGGUUCUGUCUUACAGUAGUUCACGGAUUCAAUCUUUACACUCCAAAUCAACUCAUCACAAGAACCAAAAUGUAGCAAAACUCGUUACUUCAAGACAUUCUAGUAUGACAUCACAAAUAAUUUCUUGGCUUCAUCAAUAACAUCAAGAAUAAAACGAUUUGCAAGCCCCAUAUCAAGUAUCAACCACAAAACAAAUGGACCAAUUUUUCUACAAUCAUUCGCCAUAUCCAAAGAGAACCUCACAUUAAGGAAAACAAGCGCCUAAGAAACAGAAGGAUAAGACCACACAGCCAAAAUAAAUUGUGUGGAAAAAUGCAAAUCUCAAAUCAAAUAGACAACUACUACACUACAUCAUGAUGAGAAGGAUCAAGAGGACCAAUUAAAAAAUCACUACACUGCAUCAUAUGACAUUGAGGCAGAAACAGGAAAGUCUAAUGUAGUAUAAAGAGCAGAUAAUUCAAUCAACAAACAUAUUUAAUCGUAAAGAGAUAACAUUGCUUGAGCUAUCGCACACCAAGAACAAUUCAAUAUUUCAUUUCAAACACUAAAAGAAGCAGAAAAUGCGAUUUAAUUUUACAACUAUUGCAAAUAAUGGCAAGCAAAUCAAAAUAGUUCGAUGUAAAUUACUUCAAACAAAACUUAACUUAGUUGCAUUGUACUGGAACAGGGGUGCCAAAAUGCUCUUUCUUUCUCAAGCAAAAUUGAAUAAUCAACAUCCAAAAUGUAGAUAAAGAAAACCCGAGGACAAAGACAAAAUAUGCUCAAUUGCAAUAUCAAAAUUCAAACCCACCCAUCCUUAUCCUACUACAAACCAAUUCUGAGGCAAAGAAUUAAUCGCCCUUUCU